CACGGAGACAACCAAGAUCACGGUGGAGUGGGCCAUGGCGGAGCUGAUGCGGAACCCGGACGUUAUGGCGGCGGUGCGCGCCGAGAUGAAGGCCGCCCUCCCGCAGGAGAUGGUGAUCACGGAGGCAGACGUGGCGAAGCUGCCGUACCUGCAGGCCGCGGUGAAGGAGUCGAUGCGGCUGCACCCCGUGGCGCCGCUGCUGCUACCACGCAUGGUGGUGGAGGAGGGCGUCGAGAUAGGCGGCUACGCCGUGCCCAAAGGCGCCACCCUGAUCUUCAACUCGUGGUCCAUCAUGCGCGACCCGACGGCAUGGGAGAGGCCCGACGAGUUCCUGCCGGAGCGUUUCCUCGGCAAGACGGAGCUCGGCAUGUGGGGGAAGGAGGUCAAGUUCAUCCCGCUGGGCAGCGGACGAAGGCUCUGCCCGGCAUUGCCCAUGGUGGAGCUCCUCGUGCCCUUCAUGGUCGCAUCCAUGCUGCAUGCUUUCCAGUGGAGGCUGCCCGAGGGCAUGUCACCUCACCAGGUCGACGUCACCGAAAGGUAUACAAGCGACGAUAUCCUCGUCAUGGACGUGCCUCUCNNNNNNNNNNNNNNNNNNNNNNNNNNNNNNNNNNNNNNNNNNNNNNNNNNNNNNNNNNNNNNNNNNNNNNNNNNNNNNNNNNNNNNNNNNNNNNNNNNNNCUAGCAUUUCUAGGGUUGCUUGCUUUUGAUGCGAAGGUUGCUCGAACUGCGGGCCUCCCAUGCACUUACCUUCCUCGUAUGUUGUGCCAAAGCAAAGCAAGAGAGCCAAUUGCCGUUUGAGGCUUGUUAUCUCCAUGUACUUGCCUUGCAGGGAGCACAUGUAACUGACCACUCUCUGUCUGCAUUGAGAGAGAAAACCGGCCCGAGGCCGAAAUGCCAGGAGCUGACAUACGUGGCAAUGAGUGAAGAAGUCUACCUGCCACCGUAGAUGUGCCACAAAAGAAGAUCUGGGGUCAUGGUGGUUGCCUAAUGGUGUCCCUGUGAGCAGAUCCAGCACUGCCCUACCAUUGAUGGUGCAAGGGUAGAGCGUUGCUGAUUCUGUGUCUCGUGGUCAUAUUUACAUUUCAAUCCGCUACAAACAUUGGCAAUGCUUUUGGUAAGUUGAAAUACAAAGUUGAACACUUCUAUGGGUCUACCUCUCCUUGUCCAGCCUUCCUUGGCACUUGAAUCCACAGAAUCAUUCUGAAAAUUGAGGAAAAGGUCUCAAGGAUGUUUCAUGCAACUAUCAUAGAUGAGGGAUUGCAAAAGCUUGGUGAAGGGGUUCCACCUGGUUAGUCCUGAACCGGUAAUUUUAACCCUCCAUUGGGGUCUUUGUCAUAGACUUGAUAUCCAAUGUGGUGGAAUUGUUGUAGGGGUUGCGGUGAUAUGGGUGAUGAUGAUAACAACAUGCUUGAUCGCGCUUGUCAUGCUUGUGAUCUGGCAUAUCCCAUGGCCUGUUGCCCUCAUCUUCUUUUGUUUCUUCAUUUUUGUAGAAGGAUAAUACAUGUCAUCUCUCAUGUUGAAAGUGCCCCAGGGUGGGUGCGGCUAUAUACAUCAAAGAGACAUACUUCACUAACACUCCUUUACCAUAUCUCAACGAUGUUAAGAAACAUACUGUGUUGGGGGAUGUGGUAGGAAGCACCACACUUUGGAGUUUGAAGCUACUGAGACAUGAGGUUUAAGAAGUGCUACUGCUUUGUUUGUCAAUAAAAACUCCAAUCCUAAUAAAAUACAAAAAUAAAUGCUCAUAUGUAUAAAUUAAUGUGAGCAUAUAAAUUAAUUGUAUCUGAAAAUCUUAAAUUGUACUCACAUAAUAUUUACUUUUGAUUUUAUGCUAACGAAAAUUUUGGUAUGCUCAUCUGCUCACCCGCUCACCUGCUCACCAACUAUCAACACCCGCAGGAACUGUGUCUACAUUGAUUUAUAAUCAAUGUUCAUGUUGUGGAGCCAAUGUCACUGGCACCAGGAACAGAGGAAGUUCUACAAAUAAUGUAGCCCUAACAAGACAUGGCAAAAAAUUACAACAUAUGUCCCACUAAUAAGUGCUAGUGUCCCGUUGCAAAAGUGUGUCCACCUCGCUAAAACCAAGUGUACUGCCCAAGUGGGUCCACAACAACAUAUGCUUACACUUCACAAGGUCCAAGGAAGGUCCAAGCACAACAACAUUCAAGCAAAUAGUAUAAGAGGUAAAUGCAUUUGCCUGUUUAUGUAAAGAUGCAUUCCACUGGUAGAUCCUAUGACAUUAACCCCUAAAGGACGAAAGUUUUUUUUGCGAUUUUUUAGAAAAACCUGACAUGGCCUGACUCGAGUGGAUGUAUGUUGUUGCCAAAAUUUAUCGAUGUGGAUGAACCGUACAAUGUUGUCAGUAACUAAUCAUAUAGGUGGUCAAACAUUCUCAAGUCAUUCCACCGUUGGAAUGAGUAGAUUAUAAUGAGGGAGUGACCCCCAAUUUGUAGGCUCAUACAAAAACUCAUGGAAAAACUUGGUUUGACCACCACUUUUUUUCAUGUUCCAGUUCUAGGUUCCCCUCCUAUUUUUGACCAAUUGUUGCCUACCAAGUGGAGGACAUUGUGUCCAAAUUUCAGCAUGUAAUGACCUAUUUUCAUUAGUGCCCCUUUGUAUGUAACUGCUUAGGGGUACCUGUGGGCAAAAAGAACAAGGCUUUUUCCUUGGAUGCAACGAGCAGAAGAAAUUUUGCAUGAAAUAGCAAAUUUCAAUAGUGAGUAAAUGUCAGGUAGGAAUACAAAGAGAAUGCACUAAUUCACAGUUGGAAUUUCCAAGUUUGCCUCAGGGGAUGUGGCAUACAGUGGAUUACCCACUUUUCAGCAAUGGCAGGAAACGCGUCCUUGCCCUAGGCGCUCAUUGGCCCAACACCUACACACCACACAAAAUUUGCACUUUUACACAUGUCAAAAAUCCUAGGCCACGUUGUAGUGAUCCAAAUGGCNNNNNNNNNNNNNNNNNNNNNNNNNNNNNNNNNNNNNNNNNNNNNNNNNNNNNNNNNNNNNNNNNNNNNNNNNNNNNNNNNNNNNNNNNNNNNNNNNNNNNNNNNNNNNNNNNNNNNNNNNNNNNNNNNNNNNNNNNNNNNNNNNNNNNNNNNNNNNNNNNNNNNNNNNNNNNNNNNNNNNNNNNUUUGGGGCGCACCUUCAUCGGAUACCAUCCUCACCAUGUACAACUAAGUGGAAAAACGACACGACCCCAAAACAGUCGCAUCGUCCUUCAGGGGUUAAACUAGAUUUAAGGAAAAUCCAUAAUGAAAAAUGCGGGAAUACCAGAACUUGGAGCAUGUUACCUCAAAGCACCGGAAGCGAAUGAGAUCCGGUGAUACGUGUAGGAGAAUUUGACCAUUGGACUGACCUGCAGGCAUGCANNNNNNNNNNNNNNNNNNNNNNNNNNNNNNNNNNNNNNNNNNNNNNNNNNNNNNNNNNNNNNNNNNNNNNNNNNNNNNNNNNNNNNNNNNNNNNNNNNNNGUCUCUUUACUCGUUCCGUAAUACAAGAUCCCACAACUUACACUAAGUUACAUUGCUUGCAAGGCUUGUGUGUGAUGUUGUAUUACCGAGUGGGCCCCGAGAUACCUCUCCGUCACACGGAGUGACAAAUCCCAGUCUUGAUCCAUACUAACUCAACUGACACCUUCGGAGAUACCUGUAGAGCAUCUUUAUAGUCACCCAGUUACGUUGCGACGUUUGAUACACACAAAGCAUUCCUCCGGUGUCAGUGAGUUAUAUGAUCUCAUGGUCAUAGGAAUAAAUACUUGACACGCAGAAAACAGUAGCAACAAAAUGACACGAUCAACAUGCUACGUCUAUUAGUUUGGGUCUAGUCCAUCACGUGAUUCUCCUAAUGACGUGAUCCAGUUAUCAAGCAACAACACCUUGUUCAUAAUCAGAAGACACUAACUAUCUUUGAUCAACUGGCUAGCCAACUAGAGGCUUGCUAGGGACGGUGUUUUGUCUACGUAUCCACAAAUGUAAAUGAGUCUUCAUUCAAUACAAUUAUAGCAUGGAUAAUAAACGAUUAUCUUGAUACAUGAAUUAUAAUAAUAACUAUAUUUAUUAUUGCCUCUAGGGCAUAAUUCCAACACCCAAAACACGGUACGAGCUGUGGAUAGGACAAGUGCCAUCCCUGCAACAUUUCAGGGUGUGGGGGUGCCCAGCUGAGGCCAAACUGUUUAAUCCAAACAUUGCAAAAUUAGAUCCCAAAACAGUAAGUUGCCACUUCAUUGGCUAUAUCCUAAUAGAUCAAAGGGUUUUCGUUUCAACAGUCCAGAAAUAUACACAAAGUUUGUAGAAACAAGACAUGCAGUCUUCGUAGAGGACGAAAUGAUGAGAGGGGGGGCAUGUUAGCUCGAAAAAUUGAUCUUGAGGAGAAGAGGGUGCAUGCACCUAAUCCGAUGAUUCAAGAGUCAUUUUUCUCACUACCAGUUGUGAGUCCAACCAUGACAACUAUGGGAAAAGACCCGGAACCUGUCCUUCAGGAUCCGACUGAACAUGUUGUUGACCAUGAAAGGGAUGUGCAGCAACCAUUUUUAGAAGAUGUGCCAGAAGUUGAGGCACAGAAUGUGCUAUAGAAUGAGGCACUUAGAAGGUCUAACAGGACAAGAAGAUCAACUAUUUCUAUUGAUUAUAAAGUUUAUAACACAAACUUGGUUCAUAUGGAAGGUGAUCCCGCUUCAUAUGAAGAAGCUAUGAGAAGUCCUCACUCAUCGAAGUGGCUGGAGGUAAUCAAAGACGAGAUGAACUCGAUGAGUUCCAACAAUGUUUGGGACUUAGAAAUCAUUCCUAACGGAGCCAAAAACAGUAGGUUGUAAAUGGGUCUACAAAACUAAGUAUGACUCUAAUGGGAUUAUAGAAAAGUAUAAAGCACGACUUGUGGCAAAAGAAUUUACACAAAUAGAAGGGAUAGACUACAAUGAGACUUUUUCCCCAGUCUCUAAGGGUUCCUUCAGAAUCAUAAUGGCAUUAGUUGCACAUUUUGAUUUAGAGUUACAUCAAAUGAAUGUAAAGACGAUAUUUCUAAAUGGAGAUUUAGAAGAUAAUGUCUACAUGAGACAACCCAAGGGUUUUAUCAUGGAAGGCAAGGAAGAUAUGGGAUGCCACCUGAAGAAAUCCAUUUAUGGACUAAGGAAAGCCUCUAGACAGUGGUAUCUAAAGUUUAAUGAUACAACACUAGUGGGGACGGGGCCUUUAGCCCCGGCCCGUAAGGGGCUUUAGUCCCGGUUCACCAACCGGGACUAAAGGGGCGGGACUAAAGGCCUAGCCUUUAGUCCAGGCCCUGUUACAAUCCGGGACUAAAGGUGCUCCACGUGGGCGCCUCGUAGCGCCCCAGGGGCAGGCCCUUUAGUCCCGGUUCGUUACACGGACCGGGACUAAAGAGUUUCAGAUUUUGCUUAUUUUUGGGUUUUUUUGAAUGAAAUUAUUUUUGGGUUUUAGGGUUUUAGGGUUUAGGUGUUCGGGAGAUUAACGUGAUGCCUCGUUUGGUGUUCGGGAAUUAGUUUUCAUAUAAUUUAAAUAGAAAUAAUUAUGCAUAUAUAUAUAAGAUUAACUUAUCUUACAAGCGAGCAUAUAUAUACAAUUAUAUGGAGAUCUGAAUUAUCGGGACUAGGGCCCGUCUAUUCGAUUACAUGGACGAACAUCAUUAAUGGCCCCUAGCUACACUAAAUCGUCCUUUGUCAUCUAUAGCUUCCGUCCUCAGAAAUCCCGCAAGCUCCUCUGCAACAUCAAUCGCGCGUUGCUCUGGUAGGACCUUCGUCCUCAUGGCCGUGUGCUAUAUAAGAAGAGGAGGUGAAUAUGAAUAUCAAUCAUGAUAACAAAGAAUGACGGGUAAAAAUAGAGGUGUGAAUGUUCAUUGCUUACGUCGAAUCUGUGAUCCUUGUGCUCAGAGGUAAACGUGUGAAUGGUCUCGCAAACAUAGUAUCCGCAUAGAUGCGUUCCCCGUGGCUGCUGGUCGCACUUUACGAGAAUAGAAUAUAUAUAAUCAAAAUAAUAAUCUAGCAUCAUAAAUGUAUUGAAAAUAGAAGUAUACCAUACUACUACUUACCUGAGCCGUUCUAAAGGUCAGCUUCUCAGGAAAGUUACCGGGAGUCACGCACUUGAACCGCUUCCAAACCCUGCCCGACAAGGAUAAUGAUUUGCUAAGUUUUUCAUUAAUUGAUAUAUCAGAAAAUCAUCGAAAGAGACCGAUAGAGCGCAAGAAUGAUUGAAAUUACCCUUGGAGCAUGUCCUGCAGGCUUUGGAACUGUUCCAAGGGUCUCGAUAAUGGGUCGAAGGCAUCAACACUUCCCUUAUCAAUUUGAAUGUCCAACAGAAUCCAAUGGAAGCUGCACAUGUAUAUAUAUAUAUGUGUGUGUCAGUAACUUAUCAAUUACACUUAUAAGUGAAUGGACACAAUAGAGUAAAGACCCUCACCUGAAGUUGUAUGGAAACAGUAUGUGGUCACAGAAAUUUUGAUCUAUUAGAAACCUUAGAAGGUUUUCCUUCGUCUCCUUGGGUUUAUCAGUUAGCGUCGCUAUAUGUAUUUUAUCUGGGUCAAUAAACCCAAUAUUUAGGAUGUUCUUACUUUUACAAUCCAGAAUCUUCAUUCUGCAUAAUAGAGUACAAGUUAUAUAUUGACAAUGAAUUGAAAUAACUAAACAAGUUAUUUGUAGACAAUGAAUUGAAAAACUUACAGACAAUAGCAACUCAUAAGCAAUUUGUCGAGGGCGUUGCCAUUGUACAUCUGGAAGAGUUCAUCAAAGUCGAUAUGGAUUUCUUCGGGGCGGCCGUAGUACUCCCGUGGGACACUCAGCACGAUCAUCGUUCUCCCAUUCUUUGAUUCACUUAAGUACCAUUGAUGCAAGUAACACAUAUUUGUUGGGAGAUCAUCUUUGCUGACCAAAGUCUCUCCCAUGACAAACCAUGGCUUAGGGGCUACCACAGCCUUGGGUAUCCUGUCGUCUUGGGAAGCCAGCAAAUCUUCAACCGAGAUACCACAUUCAGCCGCCAACUCCUUUGCUAUUUCAAAAGCUUGCCCCUGCACCGGAGGGGGAACAUUCUCGGUUAACACCUUGAGGGGUGGGAUCGACUGUUUGGCCUGUUGUCCAAGCUGAGGAACGUCUGAUUUUUUCUUGCUUGUAGUUGAACUUGAUUUGCUCCCACUUGCACUUGCACGUGAUCUGCUCUUUUUCACUUCCUUCUGCAAUGUGCGUGUAUAGUUAUCAGGCUUAUGGUGUAAGUCAUACUGUGAUGGAAGGGUCAUGAAGUCUUUUGCCCAUGCUAUUUGCUUCUCGGUGUAUUCCGGGCGGGGCUCGGGUUCCUUCUUUUUCAUCUGCGCAUCAUGAUGUUCCUUUGCUAUCCUGGCAUUUUCCUCGGGGGUACGAUCAUAAGGUCUGAUAGGAAGAUUAGCAUGAGGUACCUUUGGGAGGGGCGACCGUUUGCGCUUUGGGGGGCUCCGUCGCUUAGGAAUCGUUGCGGAGCGUUCUUGGUGGCACGCUUCCGCUUAGUAUCCUGUGCGGGCGGCGGCGGAGACGGACGACCCAAGUCCGGCGGCGGUGAUCGAGAUGGACUCGUGUUGUGCUGGCCGACGUCAUGUGGAGGGCUUGGAGGUAAUGGAGGUGUAGGUGACCUGCGACGACUCGGAGGCGGUGUUGUCCUUGGGGCCGAGCCUGGAAGCUUGAUGUAGUUCUUGUCCCAUAGGAUGACUCCACCCAGUACUUCUCCGAGUGUCCUCUCAUCUUCGGGUCCAGCUAUGUCGAGCUCCAUAUCAUGAAACCCCGUCAUGACUUCAUCCACCCCGACUUUAGCAAAGCUAGCUGGAAUCUUACGACCAUGCCAGCGUGCAUUAGGGCCAGAAGGUAAAGCUUGUCCGACGGCCACCUUCAUGGAUAUGUUCUUGAAUUUCUGAUGGAGUUCACAUGAUGUUGACUCCUUGAUUCCAUCCACGGGGUAGCCGGGACCGCCCUCAAUCAUUCUUCGUGCAUCGUCGCCUCGUCGGACGGGGCCUCAGAUUCAGCCACGCUGUUUUUCCGCUUAGAUGGGGCGCCGGUAAUAUCAAGUGCAGGAUCUUCCUGGCGCGCUACUCCUCUAAGCUCAUCAAUCUGCUUCUGUUCUCUCCUCCUCUUCUUAUUUUCAUUUUUCCUAAUCUUAUUUUCUUAUUUUUGUUCAUAUUUCUUCUUCUUGUAACCCUAACCUAAUUCUAAAUAUUACUAACCCUAAUAAUCUAGCACAAACCUAAUAACAAUAGGAAUUAAAUGAAAAAAAAAUCUUUUUCUUUUUCUUUUUCUUCUUUUCUUCUCUUUUUCUUCUUUUCUNNNNNNNNNNNNNNNNNNNNNNNNNNNNNNNNNNNNNNNNNNNNNNNNNNNNNNNNNNNNNNNNNNNNNNNNNNNNNNNNNNNNNNNNNNNNNNNNNNNNNNNNNNNNNNNNNNNNNNNNNNNNNNNNNNNNNNNNNNNNNNNNNNNNNNNNNNNNNNNNNNNNNNNNNNNNNNNNNNNNNNNNNNNNNNNNNNNNNNNNNNNNNNNNNNNNNNNNNNNNNNNNNNNNNNNNNNNNNNNNNNNNNNNNNNNNNNNNNNNNNNNNNNNNNNNNNNNNNNNNNNNNNNNNNNNNNNNNNCUUCUUUUCUUCUCCUUCCCUUUUUCUUCUUUUCUUCUCCUCCUCUGCUUAUUCUCUUCUUCUACUUCUCCUCUUCUUCUAUUUUUCCUCUUCUUCUCCUCUCCUCCUCUUCUUAUUCUCCUUUUUCUUCUUNNNNNNNNNNNNNNNNNNNNNNNNNNNNNNNNNNNNNNNNNNNNNNNNNNNNNNNNNNNNNNNNNNNNNNNNNNNNNNNNNNNNNNNNNNNNNNNNNNNNNNNNNNNNNNNNNNNNNNNNNNNNNNNNNNNNNNNNNNNNNNNNNNNNNNNNNNNNNNNNNNNNNNNNNNNNNNNNNNNNNNNNNNNNNNNNNNNNNNNNNNNNNNNNNNNNNNNNNNNNNNNNNNNNNNNNNNNNNNNNNNNNNUUUUCUUCUUUUCUUCUACUGGCCGGAGUGUUCGGGGGGAGGGGGCGGGGGGCUUACCGGCCGGAGGUGUCGACGGCGCGCGGCGAGGAGGACGGCGGCGGCGAGGAGUACGACGGCGACGGCGAGGAGGACGGCAGGCGGCGGCGAGCAGGACGGCGAGCAGCCUGACGGCGUCAUCGAGUUCGUCGCUGUGCCGCGCUGGGCAGGAGAACGAGAGGAAGAAGAAGAGAAAUGGACGAUUUGGGUUGGAAUUUUCUAACUCCCGCUUAUAUAGGUGGAUCUUUAGUCCCGGUGAGUGGCUCAAACCGGGACUAAAGACCCCCUUUAGUCCCGGCUGGAGCCACGACCCGGGACUAAAGGCACUUUUUCGGCAGACCAGAAGGCGGGAAAGCAGGGGCCUUUAGUCCCGGUGCGGAGCUCCAACCGGGACUAAAGGGGGUCUUUAGUCCCGGGGCGUAGCUCCACCCGGGACUAAAGCCCCUCCUCGGCUGCACGAUAAGUUUAGUCCCACCUCACCCAGCGAGGGGGACUAACACUUGUUUAUAUGCCCCGUCGCAGCUUCUCCUACGAGCUCCUCUCUAAAGCAGGCUUACGGGCCUAAACUCACUGAAAAUUGAAACUAUAUUCGAAAUUAUGAAGAAAAUUCAACCUGAAUUCAAAGUGAACUCACUUUGAAUUUAGAUUGAAUUUUCUCUAUAAAUUCUCAUACAGUUUCAAUUUUUUUCUAUUUUCAUAAUUAAUAAUUUUGACUAUCCAAACUAUUAUCUAUUUUGUUAUUUUCAAUUAAAAACUAUGUUUAUUAANNNNNNNNNNNNNNNNNNNNNNNNNNNNNNNNNNNNNNNNNNNNNNNNNNNNNNNNNNNNNNNNNNNNNNNNNNNNNNNNNNNNNNNNNNNNNNNNNNNNNNNNNNNNNNNNNNNNNNNNNNNNNNNNNNNNNNNNNNNNNNNNNNNNNNNNNNNNNNNNNNNNNNNNNNNNNNNNNNNNNNNNNNNNNNNNNNNNNNNNNNNNNNNNNNNNNNNNNNNNNNNNNNNNNNNNNNNNNNNNNNNNNNNNNNNNNNNNNNNNNNNNNNNNNNNNNNNNNNNNNNNNNNNNNNNNNNNNNNNNNNNNNNNNNNNNNNNNNNNNNNNNNNNNNNNNNNNNNNNNNNNNNNNNNNNNNNNNNNNNNNNNNNNNNNNNNNNNNNNNNNNNNNNNNNNACUAUUUUCUAUUUUCAAAAGUAAUUAUUUUGACUAUCCAAACUAUUAUCUAUUUUGUUAGUUUCAAUUAAAAACUAUGUUUAUUAAAAAUUCUUUUUGCAUAUUUGAGAAUUUGGCAUGCUAUCAUCAUUUCACCCACAUAGCAUGUGUUAAAAAGUUGAGAGGGCUACGACAAACCUGGAUGCACUUCGUGUACAAAACGGACAAUCUCUCUCGAAGUAUCAGCGUUUCACAAGGAGAAGAAGGAGAAACGACCCCCACAGCAACAGUCGACAUUCUUCUUCUCUCAUGUAUGUUGGACACUCCCUCACCUGAUUUUUUGAUCGUCGAUGAUGGUCGCUAUUCCUUCUUUCCCUAAUGCAUAACAAAUAUCUAGCACAAGGAGAAGAAGGAAAAGCGACCCCCACAACAAAAGUGGUUCCGCGGCAUGCCACGUGGUUCCGCUGGACGCCACGUGGUUUCGCUGCACGCCACGUGGGACUAAUGGUCUUUCAUUUUUAAAUGACUGUUUUAAUCAAAAACAUAUCUGUUACAAAAGGGAUUUCAUUUUUUGAACUUAUUUGAACUGAAGACUUUUUGUAUAUAUAUGUGGUCGAAAUGCAUGGUACCAUGAAGUUAGAAAGGGCUAAACCAUUCAAAAGUAGCAAAUGAAGUUAGAAAGGGCUAAACCAUUCAAAUUUGGAAACUAUAAUGGCACAAACAGAAACUAGACAUAUAUAAUUUGGUCCAAGCAGUACAUGAUACUAGUCCAAACAGUACAUAAUAAUAGCUACCAUAGAUAUAUAUACAAGUGUUCGACGUUGAGAACACUACUCGUCUGAAUCAGAAUGUCCACCUUCCUCGAGGUGACGCUGGCCAUAGUUGACGACUCGAAUCUUGCGGUACAACUCGUAUGAAACGUAUGCAUCUUUUGCUGCAUACUCAAUGUUGAUACGAUCAAGUGGGGCCUUCUCCCAAAGUUUGUGCUGAGACUUUGGGAAACUGGUCUUCAUAUCACCAUAUUCCUCGUCGAUCAAGGCAACUGCCAUAUGAGCCAUCGAAGUCCUGACAUGUCGAAGCCUGAAUACCGUUUGGAGAUCAAUGAGGCAACCAGUUGGUAUCUCAAUACCGAAGCUGUACCUCAUCUUCAGCUUGACGUUCCUUAUGUCAACGGUAGCAAAAGUGAUGCCGCUGCGAAGGAAGUCCAUGAGUUCUGGACAAUGCUUGUCACUACUGCAACAGAAACAAAUUAAAAUGGAACAAAUAUUACAUACUGCUGCAAUAAGGAAACAUGUUUCACUACAACUAAAGAGAAAAUUAUCUUUAGGAUUCAAAUAGAACAUAUGCAAUGGAACCUAGAACGAUCACUAUAGCUAUCAAAUGGAACCUAGAGAGAUCACUAGCUAUAUGCAAUUUUCAUGACUAUGACAUAUCAUAUUGCUAUCCAAUGGAACCUAGAGAGAUCACUAGCUAUAUGCAAUUUUCAUAACCUUGGAUCAAAGAACACCGCAUAAAAUUGUAUCACUACAACUAUCAUUUCAAUGGAACAUAUUGAACCAAUCAGAUUUUUCAGAUAGUGGAACACUAUUCCAAUCAGAUUGUGUUCCCUUCAACUAAUCAAAACUGUGUCACUACAACUAUUUGAAGCGAACCAACUAUGAUUCCAAUGGAACAUAUUAAACACUAGUUGAUUCUAAUACGAUUUUUCAGAUUAUGGAACACUAUUCCAAUCAGAUUGUGUUCCCCUUCAACUAAUCAAAAUUGUUUCACUACAACUAUUUGAAGGGAACCAACUAUGAUUCCAAUGGAACAUUUUAAACACUAGUUGAUUCUAAUACGAUUUUUCAGAUUAUGGAACACUAUUCCAAUUAGAUUGUGUUCCCCUUCAACUAAUCAAAAUUGUUUCACUACAACUAUUUGAAGGGAACCAACUAUGAUUGAAACAAAUAAACUUACAAUGUCAUUAUCUUGGAUCAAAGAAAGCCUCAAAACUUACCUCGCCCAUUGGAAGAUCAAGACAUGGUGUGCGAAGCAUAGUUUGAUGACGGCAACACCGCGUUGAUCGUCCGUGUACUCCAAAUCAAGCCCCAAGAACUUCUCAUGAUCCAUUGCGGCGUCAAGCCAUCGUUCCUUCAACUGUUCAAGAAAAAGGCAUCUCCCUGCUCUCGUUCGUGUACACGACAUCGAGCAUGGUCGUGCCAUGUGCGAGCACCUCUUCAAAGCGAGUUGGCAUGGUGGAAGAAGAGAAGGGAAGAAGAGAGGAGAAGAACAGAGAGCGAGAGCGAGAGAGAAGAAGAAACAGAGAAAUGGCGACUCUGCUCCGGUUCGUGCUUUUCAUCGCCCGAAACGACGCGGGAUGCAAACCGUUGGGGCCUUUAGUCCCGGGUUGAGCCACCAACCGGGACUCAAGAGUUAUACCAACGGUUGCCGCCACUACGGCAGGCCACGUGUUAGGCCUUUAGUCCCGGGUUGAGCCACCAACCGAGACUAAAGGGGGAUACGAACGGUUGCCACCACCACUGCCCACCGCGUAGCCCUUUAGUCCCGAUUUGGGACACGAACCGGGACUAAAGGCUCCUUACGGGCCGGGACUAAAGCCUCAAGGGAGGCAUUGAGAAUUGGGGCGACGUGGCCGGGCCUUUAGUCCCGGCCCAGAGGCAGGCCGGGACUAAAGGGUCCUGGCCAAAGGCCCGUUUGCACUAGUGCAAGUACAAGUUUUGGAUUUAAAGAAAAUGUUGAGGAUAACUGCGUUUAUGCAAAGUUCAAAAAUGGGAAAUACAUUUUCUUAAUUUUGUAUGUGGAUGAUAUCUUGCUCGCUACCAACGGUGUUAGUCUACUACAAGAAACAAAUAAGUUUUUAUCCUCAAAUUUUGAUAUGAAAGAUCUUGAUGAUGCUUCAUAUGUUUUGGGCAUUGAAAUUCACCGAGAUAGAAAAAUGGAGUUUUAGGACUAUCACAGAAAGCAUAUUUAGAGAAGGAAUUCAAAAAGUAUAAUAUGCAUGCGAGUAAGGUCACACCUGCUCCUAUAGUCAAGGGUGAUAGUUUUGGAAAAUUCCAAUGUCCCAAGAACCAGUAUGAGCUCGAUCAAAUGAAAGCAGUGCCAUAUACUUCGAGUGUUGGAAGUUUACAGUAUGCACAAGUGUGCACUCGCCCUGACUUAGCUUUUAUCACCGGGGUACUUAGUAGAUAUCAAGAGAACGAGGCCUAGAGCACUGAAAGAUGGUAAAGAAAGCAUUGUGUUAUGCGCAGGGCACAAAGGACAUCAUGAUAACAUACAGAAGAUCUGAUUCCCUAGAGAUAAAAGGGUAUUCAGACGCAGAUUUUGCGGGAGACAGAGAUAAUAGAAAAUCCACGUCAGGAUACGUGUUCACUCUCGCUGGAGGGGCUAUUUCAUGGAUAAGCUCCAACCAGUUCAUAGUUGCAUCGUCCAUGAUGCAAGUAGAAUAUAUAGCAUGUUUUGAACCCACCGGGCAGGUGAUAUGGUUAAAGAAAUUUAUACCCGACUUGAAAGUGGUUGAUUGUAUUCACAAACCACUAAAGAUGUACUGUGACAACCAGCCCGCAGUAUUUUAUGCUCACAACAAGAAGUCGAGUAAUGCUACCAAGACAAUAGAUAUAAAAUAUUAUGUUGUGAAAGAUAAAAUCCAAGAUCACACUAUAAGUCUCGAGCAUAUAAGGACAAAUGAUAGCUUACCAUCCAAUGUGUUCAAAGAACACUUAGCCAGCAUGGCUUUAAGGGAAAGCCUAUGAUUCCUGGAUCAUGAGAGGCCCAAAAGUAAGAGAAUUCGUUUUAAAACGGAGAUGUAUGUUGUAGUUGUCUGAUUCUAUCGGCAAUUGAGCUGUGACGAUGAAACAUGCCUUAUGUACUAAUCGGUGAUGAAGCUAGUAAAGUAUAAAGUUAAAAGAAAAGUUGAGAUCAAAGGGAAGAAUGUUAGGAUGAUCUCUCUUUCGUGUGAGCCCAACGGCCCACCGGACCCCUUAAUCGUGCCCAGAUCGAGACGCCCAACCAAACCAUGAUUGGUGGGCCCCCGUGACCCGUACUAUAAAUAAAGAGGUGGGGGCCGGGGCACGUAGUACGAGGUUCAUUGCGCCGCCAGUCUUCCUACCAACAUCCCCUUCCGAUCUAGGGUUAGCGUAGUGCUCACGGAAAGCAUCGCCGCCAGCUCACCGCUCUCAGCCUCCACCAUCAUCGCCCCUCCGUCAUGGCCACUCGAGCGAGCUCAUCGAGCCAAGGAGAAGGUAUACACCCAUCUCAUCCUCUUACUACCGCUAAUCCCCUAUCCAUGUGAUCGAGAGGGUCCAUCAGGACUAACUUAGAAAGAUUUGGGAGUUUUCCCAACUCAUCAGGAAUGGUUCCGCUGAGCUUAUUCGCAGCAAGCAAGAUAUCUUCAAGCUGACUGAUGUUUUUUAGGCUUGGUGGGAUUGUUCCGGUGAGAUUAUUUCCUGUAAAAUCUAACGACACUAGAUUGGAUAGGCGGCCUAUACGGCUGGGAACUUCUCCUAUUAGUAAGUUGCUAUACAGGUAUAACAACUGUAGAUUAGAGCAGUUUGUAAGAGUAUCCAGAAUGAUCCCUCGAAGUGAGUUGCCCCCAAGUCAAGGUACUGAAAUCUUUGGAGACGGUUGAGAGGAGGUAUCACGCCGGUGAAGCCAUUCAUGGACAGUUCCAGUAGCCUAAGGAACGUUAGAUUUCCAAGGGACGGUGAAAUCGGGCCCGACAAUGAUAGGUUCAUGAGGCUCAGCUCGAUGACUCGCCGCAUUGGACGCCGUUCCAUCUGCAAAGGGGGACGCCGACGUGCCAAGAUCUCAAGGCUUGACUUGAGUCGUUGGUGAUGGCCCGCUUGAAAUCCAACAGGGAGAUCAUGUCCGUGCUAUUAUCAUGGACUGCCGUCGUCGUUGAGGAGGNNNNNNNNNNNNNNNNNNNNNNNNNNNNNNNNNNNNNNNNNNNNNNNNNNNNNNNNNNNNNNNNNNNNNNNNNNNNNNNNNNNNNNNNNNNNNNNNNNNNNNNNNNNNNNNNNNNNNNNNNNUCGUUGAGGAGGAGCAGCGGAUGGUGCCGACUCCGGAAGAAACGAGCAGCGACGGCAGUAGCGUAAAGAUUUGGGCGAGCCUCACAGGUUGACUGGCACAUGUAAAGCUUCCCUGGCCUGCAAGUGAGACCAGCAACGGCAGUAGCAUUAGAUCGAGGAUGCUGCCGGCUUCACAAAUUGUGUCAAGAAAGAGUUUGCUGGCAGCAAUGGCGAAACUGACGGCAAAGAGAAAAGAUGGAUGUUUGCUUAGAGACAAGUAAUGAGGAGAACAGAGUACGUAUGGCACCUUUGCUCGGCCNGGCGGUAAGCUGGAUCCUCAUCUUGCUAAGGCUCCAGCAUAAAAGCCUUCUGAGUUUAAAUUAUCUGCAAUUUUUCUCACGGCCUUAUUUGAACUCUGAAGCCUACCCGGCAUCGCAGAGCGAAGACCUCGAGCUCGUCAACCCUGUCAGUGACCGCUUCCUGAAUAAAUACUUCAGUGGGAUUGUUCCCUNNNNNNNNNNNNNNNNNNNNNNNNNNNNNNNNNNNNNNNNNNNNNNNNNNNNNNNNNNNNNNNNNNNNNNNNNNNNNNNNNNNNNNNNNNNNNNNNNNNNNNNNNNNNNNNNNNNNNNNNNNNNNNNNNNNNNNNNNNNNNUUCCCUUGUUCCAAUUCUUCUAUAUACUUUAUAGCGGGAGUCGACAGAGAUAUAUGCAGUAUUGCCAUAUUUUUUCGAGAACACCUAAAAAGGGGCAGGGUUCCUGUAUUUCAUUGAGAAGAAAAAAAUUUGUCCAGUUGAUAAGGAAAACCGGACCCAAAUACCAAACAUUCUCGAAAAAAUAAGGAAAACCGAGUGAAACCAAAAAANNAAAAAAAAAAAGAAAAACAAGAAAAAAGAGGCACUAGAACUAGAAGAUAGGGACGAGACAAAAACGUCAUCAGGAGACAUCAUCUGAGCCAGACACCAGAACACCUAGGCCCAAAACAGUAAGGCGGGACUCAAGAACAACCGGACUGACCGCUAUUCGUCGAAGACUCUUCCGUCUCGGCCUCAAUGAAUCAUGUGGUAACAUUAUCUUGUGGAAAGCAUUCUGAGAGGUCCAACUUUGACUUCCCCUCUCCAAAGAGCUCAACGUCUCGAUCACUUGCGGUGAGAGUGGUUUUUUGUACAUGUCCAGAUAUGCCUGUAUCUUUUGUUCUGGCUCCUCUGCUUUUUUGACCUCCGACAGCUCACAAAAAUACUCCAACAUCCUGUUCUGCGCGCUUGGAUGUCGGGAUGUUGCAUGCCUUGUUCUUCUUACGUCCUUAUCUGAAGCCUACCCGCCAUCGCAGAGCGAAUACCUCGAGCCCGUCAACCUUGUCAGUGACCGCUCUUGUCUUGAAUAAAUACUCCAGUGGGAUUGUUCCCUUGUUCCAAUUCUUCUCUUUACUUUUCAGCGGGAGUCGACAGAGAUAUAUGCAGCAUUCACAUAUUUUCUUUCGAGAACACCUCGAGAGGGGCACGGUUCCUGCAUUUCAUUGAGAAGAGAAGAAUUUGUCCAGUUUAUAAGGAAAACCGGGCCCAAAAACCAAACAUUCUCGGAUAAUUAGGGAAAACAAAAUGAAACCUUAAACAAAGAAAAAACAAGAAAAACAAGAAAAAAGAGGCCCUAGAAUUAGGAGAUAGGGACGAGACAAAGACAUCAUCAGGACACAUCAUCGGAGCCAGAUACGAGAGCACCUAGGCCCAAAAAUAGUAAGGAGAGACUCAAGAACAACCGGACUUUCCGCUAUUCGUCGAAGACUCUUCUGUCUCGGCCUCAAUGAAUCAUGUGCUAACAUUAUCUUGUGGAAAGCAUCGUGAGAGGUCAAACUUUGACUUCCCUGCAAUCCUCUCCAAAGAGCUCAACGCCUCAAUCACUUGCGGUGAGAGUGGUUUUUUGUACAUGUCCAGAUAUGUGUGUAUCUUUUGUUCUAGCCCCUCUACUUUUUUGAUCUCCGACAGCUCACCAAAAAACUCCAACAUCCUAUUCUGCGCGCUUGGAUGUCGGGAUGUUGCAUGCCUUGUUAUUCUUACGCCCUUAUCUAAAGCCUACCCGCCAUCGCACAUCGAAGACCUCGAGCCCGUCAACCUCGUCAGUGACCGCUCCAGUCCUGAAUAAAUACUCGAGUGGGAUUGUUCCCUUGUUCCAAUUCUUCCCUAUACUUUUCAGCGGGAGUCGACAGAAAUAUAUGCAGCAUUUGCAUUUUUUUUCGAGAACACCUCAAGAGGGGCAGGGUUCCUGCAUUUCAUUGAGAAGAAAAGAAUUUGUUCAGUUUAUAAGGAAAACCGGGCCCAAAAACCUCACAUUCUGGGAUAAUUAGGGAAAACCGAAUGAAACCUAAAAACAAAGAAAAAAGAAAAACGAGAAAAAAGAUGCACUCGAACUAGGAGAUAGGGACGAGACAAAAACAUAACCAGGAGACAUCAUCGUAGCCAACCACCAGAGCACCUAGGCCCAAAACAGUAAGGCGAGAUCCAAGAACAACUGGACUGGCCGCUAUUCGUCGAAGACUCUUCUGUCUCGGCCUCAAUGAAGCAUGUGCUAACAUUAUCUUGUGGAAAGCAUGCUGAGAGGUCCAACUUUGACUUCCCUGCAAUCCUCUCGAAAGAGCUCAACGCCUCGAUCACUUACAAUGAGAGUGGUUUUUUGUACAUGUCCAGAUAUGCCUGUAUCUUUUGUUCUGGCCCCUUUGCUUUUUUGAUCUCCGAUAGCUCAGCAAAAAACUCGAACAUCCUAUUCUGCACGCUUGGAUGUCGGGAUGUUGCAUGCCUUGUUCUUCUUACGUCCUUAUCUGAAGCCUACCCGCCAUCGCAGAGCCAAGACCUCGAGCCCGUCAACCUUAUCAGUGACCGCUCCAGUGCUGAAUAAAUACUCCAGUGGGAUUAUUCCCUUGUUUCAAUUCUUCUCUAUACUUUUCAGCGGGAGUUGACAGAGAUAUAUGCAGCAUUCGCAUAUUUUUUUCGAGAACACCUCGAGAGGGGCAGGUUCCUGCAUUUCAGUGAGAAGAAAAGAAUUUGUCCAGUUUAUAAGGAAAACCGGGCCCAAAAACCUAACAUUCUCGGAUAAUUAGGGAAAACCGAAUGAAACCUAAAAACAAACAAAAAAAAGAAAAAUGAGAAAAAAGAGGCACUAGAACUAGGAGAUAGGGACGAGACAAAAACAUCAUCAAGAGACAUCAUCGGAGCGAGACUCCACAGCACCUAGGCCCAAAACAAUAAGACGAGACUCAAGAACAACUGGACUGACCACUAUUCGUCGAAGACUCUUCUGUCUCGGCCUUAAUGAAUUAUGUGUUAACAUUAUCUUGUGGAAAACAUCCUGAGAGGUCCAACUUUAACAUCCCUACAAUCCUCUCCAAAGAGCUCAAUGCCUCGAUCACUUGCAGUGAGAGUGGUUUUUAAUAGAUGUCUAGAUAUGCGUGCAUCUUUUGUUCUGGCCCCUCCACUUUUUUGACCUACGACAGCUAACCAAAAAACUCCAACAUCCUAUUCUGCGCGCUUGGAUAUCGGGAUGUUUCAUGCCUUGUUCUUCUUACGCCCUUAUCUGAAGCCUACCCGCCAUCGCGGAGCGAAGAUCUCGAGCCCGUCAACCUUGUGAGUGACCGCUCCAGUCCUGAAUAAAUACUCCAAUGGGAUUGUUCCCUUGUUCCAAUUCCUCUAUAUACUUUAUAGCGGGAGUCGACAUAGAUAUAUGCAGCAUUCGCAUAUUUGUUUCGAGAACACCUCAAGAGGGGCAGGGUUCCUGCAUUUCAUUGAGAAGAAAAGAAUUUGUCCAGUGGUAAGGAAAACCGGGCCCAAAAACCAAACAUUCUCGAAAAAAUAGGGAAAACUGAGUGAAACCAAAAAACAAAGAAAAAAAGAAAAACGAGAAAAAAGAGGCACUAGAACUAGAAGAUAGGGACGAGACAAAAACGUCAUCAUGAGACAUCAUCUGAGCCAGACACGAGAGCACCUAGGCCCAAAAGAGUAAGGCGAGACUCAAGAACAACCAGACUGACCGCUAUUCGUCGAAGACUCUUCUGUCUCGGCCUCAAUGAAUCAUGUGGUAACAUUAUCUUGUAGAAAGCAUCCUGAGAGGUCCAACUUUGACUUCCCCUCUCCAAAGAGCUCAACGUCUCGAUCACUUGCGUUGAGAGUGGUUUUUUGUACAUGUCCAGAUAUGCGUGUAUCUUUUGUUCUGGCCCCUUUGCUUUUUUGACCUCCGAGAGCUCACCAAAAAACUUCAACAUCCUAUUCUACGCGCUCGGAUGUCCGGAUGUUGCAUGCCUUGUUCUUCUUACACCCUUAUUUGAAGCCUACCCGCCAUAGCAGAGCGAAGAUCUCGAGCCCGUCAACCUUGUCAGUGACCUCACUCCAGUCCUGAAUAAAUACUCAAGUGGCAUUGUUCCCUUGUUCCAAUUCUUCUCUAUACUUUUCAGCGGGAGUCGACAGACAUAUAUGCAGCAUUCACAUAUUUUUUUUCGAGAACACCUCGAGAGGGACAGGAUUCCUGCAGUUCAUUGAGAAAAAAAGAAUUUGUCCAGUUUGUAAGGAAAACCGGGCCCAAAAACCUAACAUUCUCGGAUAAUUAGGGAAAACCGAAUGAAACCUAAAAACAAAGAAAAAAGAAAAACGAGAAAAAAGAGACACUGGAAUUAGGAGAUAGGGACGAGACAAAAACAUCAUCAGGGGACAUCAUCGGAGCCAGAUACCAGAGCACCUAGGCCUAAAACAGUAAGGCGAGACUAAAGAACAACCGGACUGACCGCUAUUCGUCGAAGACUCUUCCGUCUCGGCCUCAAUGAAUCAUGUGCUAACAUUAUCUUGUGGAAAGCAUUUUGAGAGGUCCAACUUUGACUUCCCCUCUCCAAAGAGCUCGAACAUUUUUCAUUUACAUGCACUCGAACAUUUUUUUCUAAAUACAUGGUGAACAUGAUCUAAAUACAAGAUGUACAAUUUUCAAAUAUACGAUGAACAAUUUUUCUGAAUACAUGACGGACAUGUUUUGAAUACACGGUGAUUGGAAGUCUGAAUGAUAUCCCUGUCCAACUAGUUGAAAUUGGAAGAAUGACAUUUUUCUCUGUAACUGGCAUGUGCUAGAAGAAUGUUAUUUCCUUAUGUAAUUGGCAUGUGCUGUUGGAAGUGGCAGUAGAAAUUUUCUCUCGCUGUUGCCGCAGGCACCAAAAUUAUGCUCUCCUUCCACCUUAGCAUAUUCCAGAAGGAUUCAUCGCACAUAAAAGUGACGGCUUGGGGCUUACAUUACGCCCCAUGGCUGCAUCAGAUUGCAAACUGUCGCCCCACUUGUAUUAAUGGCUCUGGUUUCAUUCCUUGAAGUAUUUGAUGAAUUGACUAUGUGGAUUAUACAGAUAAAGAUAUGGUAGAUUUGUAAAUGUGUACAGGGCACACAAAAUUUAGAUCUGUUUCUGUUAAUGCUACAUGCUAUAGAUAAAUGUACGUCUCUUACAUAUUUGUGUGCUCCAGCCAUAUUUAUAUUUCAGAGUGGCUGUGGCGUGUGAAAUGGGAGAGGCGAUUGAGGAUAUAGUGACCCUGAGGCAGAGCAUCCUCUGCUCCCUUGCAUCAAGGAGUGACAUGAAACCAGGUAUUGUUAUGAGUAGUCCCAUACUGUGCUUCUUCUCUCCGUGAGAUGGCAGAACAUGGGAGCAGAUCCAAUGUUCCUUCAAAAAAAAAUCCAUGUUGUCUCCAAGUGAGACGGAACUGUUAUUUCCAACGAAUACUCUUGUUUCAUGGCACACCACCUUGCAGAUUAUUAUCAGACAAAUCCAGAUGGGUGAGCUGCUUUAAGCCGCCAAGCUCUGUUGGGAGGAAGCCCCAAAAAUUGUUUCGCUGAAGAAUUAGGUAUUCUAACAAUACAAGAUUACCAAAAGAACCUGGAACUUGACCAAUGAAAUUGUUGGAUGACAAGUUUAACAGUCUUAGCCCUGACAUAUUGCCUACCGAAGCAGGGAGAUGACCUUCAAAAUUGUUGUUGUCCAAACAGAGAUGUUGAAGAUUCAGGAGGGUGUCACCAAAGUUCGAUGGCACUGUUUUCCCUAGCAUAUUGGAAUAUAAGUAUAAAUACUGGAGUGAAGACUGGUUGUACUUGUACAGGGUUUCUGGGAUUCCACCUGAUAACAUGUUAACACCAAGGCCUAAAUAAACAAGAGAUGUGAAUUCUCCCAUCUCAUCAGGAAUGGUUCCCGUGAGCUUAUUAUCAGUAAGCACGAUGUCUUCAAGCCGACUGCUGUUUCUUAGGCUUGGUGGGAUUGUUCCGGUGAGAUUAUUCGAGGAAAGCCAUACUUUCCUUAGCUUAGAUAGCCGACCUAUACCAAGGGGAAUUUCACCCAUUAGUAAGUUGGCAGAUAGGUCUAGGAUCCUUAGCGUGGAGCAGUUUGUGAGAGUAUCUGGAAUGGUCCCUUGCAGUAAGUUGUUUCCCAAGUCAAUGUAUUCCAAUCUGUGGAGACGGUUGAGAGGAGGUAACUCGCCGGUGAAGCCAUUUCUGGACAGGUCCAGUGUCCUAAGGAACGUUAGGUUCCCGAGGGAGGGCGAUAUCGGGCCCAACAACCCUCGUCCGCUGAGGUAAAGCUUAGUGACUCGCCCCGAGCUGCAGUGGACGCCCUCCCAACUGCAAAGAGGGACGCUGGCAUGCCAAGAUCUCAAGGCUUGUCUUGAGUCGUUAGUGAUGGCCCACUUGAAAUCUAGCAGCGAGAUCAUGUCCGUGAUGUUACCAUGGAUGGUCGUCGAGGAGCAGCGGAUGAUGCCGACUCCACAAGAAAUCAGCAGCAGCGACAGUAACAUAAUGAUAGGGGCGAGCCUUAGCGCUUUACCAAGGACCCUGUCACCUGCAAAGUGUGAAUGAAGAAUAAAACACUGUGCGCACUAUGUUUAACGCGAGAUUGGUCAUUGUGUGCAUCAAUCGAUACGCCAUCUUGUUUCCAAAGAGAAAAAAAACCUUAUGAGUAGGUUCAGUGGCGGAGCUAUUAGGGGGGACUGGCAGGAGCCAUGGGUCCCCCAUGACCUAGUAAGUGUAGUAUAAUGCCCCUAUUUCCCUUCAGAUUUAAAGAAAUUUUGUGAAGAUUACCAUCAUUUGGCCCCUCUCAUCAAUAUUAUCACUCAUUUUCCCCCUAAUCAAAUUUUCCUCGCUCCGCCGCAGCGUGGGUCAGCAACAAUACUAGUAGGUUUUGUGAGGUUGCUCUCAUGAACAAUACUAAUAGGUUUCAUGAUCCGAUUAGGGAAAAUACUAGAAGUUGAGCUGAUGUGAAAAUAUUAGAGGGUGUUUGUUUCCAGGGACUUACUGAUUUAGGGACUUAAAAAAGUCCCUAUAAGUCCCACCUAAACCAAACACAAGGGACUUAUUGGGACUUAUUGNNNNNNNNNNNNNNNNNNNNNNNNNNNNNNNNNNNNNNNNNNNNNNNNNNNNNNNNNNNNNNNNNNNNNNNNNNNNNNNNNNNNNNNNNNNNNNNNNNNNNNNNNNNNNNNNNNNNNNNNNNNNNNNNNNNNNNNNNNNNNNNNNNNNNNNNNNNNNNNNNNNNNNNNNNNNNNNNNNNNNNNNNNNNNNNNNNNNNNNNNNNNNNNNNNNNNNNNNNNNNNNNNNNNNNNNNNNNNNNNNNNNNNNNNNNNNNNNNNNNNNNNNNNNNNNNNNNNNNNNNNNNNNNNNNNNNNNNNNNNNNNNNNNNNNNNNNNNNNNNNNNNNNNNNNNNNNNNNNNNNNNNNNNNNNNNNNNNNNNNNNNNNNNNNNNNNNNNNNNNNNNNNNNNNNNNNNNNNNNNNNNNNNNNNCGUUCUGCCUCGGUUCGUUGCAGCGGUGCCUCCAAUCGCCGGACAGGCCAUCUCCUGAGCCUCGUUGCAGCAGUGCUUAUCCUAUGUGUCGUACGCGUUGGCUGAUGACGAUCCAUAUGAACAAGUGUAUUAUUAGAUGCAACAUGGACUUAUAAAUCGUCCCUGUAAACAAACAGGUAGGGACUCGGGACUUAUAAGUCCCUGUAAACAAACAUGUAAGGACUUAUGACUUAUAAGUUGGGACUUAAAAAAGUCCUAAGACUUAUGAAACUAGUUUUGCCUUUUUGCGAGAUUUUUGUGUUUGACAACAAACAAGAUGGAAGAGCAAUACUUUAUUUCGACAAAGGGUGAAUUUUAUUGGUUUAAAAUGAAGCAUCAAGACGAUACAACACAAUGGAUAUACACACGGUCUCUGCAUAAUUAAGAUGCACACGUCCAAUCAAACAUACACACACAAACGAAAGAAGAAGAACUUGAGUGAGUAACCAGGAGGAGGAGGAGGCACCUUUGCCCAAGAGAGAGUAGCUAGGGCACCUUUGCUCGGCCGGAUCACACGGAACGGCAGCCUCUCUUGCAUGGUUUUGCCGCCGGCCGACCGAGCUGUGAGGUGUAUCAGCCGUGAAGCCUGUGAGUUGAGUUGGAAGUUUGAACGCUGGAACGGAUGGGUUUCUUUUAAACCUGUGCAAGCAAAGCAAGCUGAGCGUCCAGCAUGCUCACACCUGCAAAAAUAUUCUCACGCACGGCAUUUUAUUAAAAGUCUAAAGCAGACAAGAAUAGACCUCGCCACUUGGGCUUAGUGCUUUCUUUUACACGCACAUACCUCACUUUAUCACGCGCGGCAGCAUAUAGAAAAAUAAUUUAUUUAUUUAUUGAUUUUACGAUCAACAAACUUGACGAAUGGUGAGUUGGUAAAGCGAGCAUGACUUAUCACCAGACAAGACUUUUAAGAAGAGCAUUAGCAACUUGUUGUGCAUGGUGCGCUGUCUGAAUCAUGACAAAGUCUAGCAACUUCAGCACUAGCAACUUGUGUGACGUGUUGUGCAUGGUGCGCUGUCUGAAUCAUGACAAAGUUUAUAGCAACUUCAGCACUAGCUAAUUGAGUAUUGGAAAAGGACGCACGCCAAGACCGAUUCUCGUAUCCUAUAUUGCUGUUGUGUUGGAAUGAAAGCGUCAAUAGCUCAUAUGCGACAUCUUUGAGGUGAAUUAAGAGGAAUGAGACGUUUUUUGUCCGAAUUGCCUUGAUGCGACACUUCUGAACGAGGAAAUGGCCCAGACGGGAGAUGGCCCUUAAUCCGAACUGAUGCCCCCCAUUAGCUGUUAAGAGCUGGACCCAUAAUUUAUCCACGUAAGCGCGGGCCCUACUUGGCAGUGCAUCGAGUUACGGGCCCCACUUGUCAGUGCAUCAGGUGAAACGUGUCUCCGUGCCUGUCCGAAUGGGUAUCCCUGUCUGAACCUGUGUUGCUUCGUCCUGUUCGUUCCCCGCGGUGAGCCGGCGGCGGCGGCGGUGCUUUUUGUUCUGGGUGACAACGGCGGCGGAGCUUGCGUUCUCGGCGACGGCGACGGCUGUGGUGAGUUAAUCCGGAACCCUGUCCUGUUCGCCUCCGUAUCGAGUUAGAUCUCAACACAUCGCCUCUGUUUCCCUUUGUUUUUGAUCGAUUUGAUCCAGUUUUGGAUGAGGAGGAGGAAGGCUAACUACAGUGGAGCCGCCAGAGACAAUAACAUCCUUUCCAACCUAUGCGAUUUGUGCCUCGUCUGCUUCCGCUAGCUCACCUCAUACUGCCCCGCCAUUGACAAACACGGGUCAUGGUGCUCGGAAGUUCGAAUUCACUGUGGAAAUUUUUCCUUCUAAGAUGAAGCUAGGUGAUGGUAGCAUGCGGGACAUAUAGAGAGAUACAAUUGUGAAGUGAGAGAUUAAUUUUGCAGAGAUUGAUCCACAAGACAUACAGAGCAUGGAAGAGAAGGUCGUGAAGAAUAUGGUGGAAAAAAUUGGAGAGAGCAUUUUUUGGGGUCCAGAACAAGAGGUAGCAUUGUUACGGUUUGAUAAUUGGAAAGGAGAGUAUGUGAGAAUUGAGGAUGGCGAAGAGAUGGUUGAUGAAAUCGAUCGACAAGACGGCUGGACAACCAAACAAACUAUGUUUCAUGCAGAGCUUGUUGAUCUGCAAUCAGAUUCUAAGGUUGGAUAUGUGCCCUCAAAGUUAGCUUGUUUCAUGCAUGCAGAGCUUGUUUCAUGCAGGGGAUGAUGCCGACUCCACAAGAAAUCAGCAGCAGCGACAGUAACAUAAAGAUGGAAGUGAGCCUUGGGGCUUGACCAAGGGCCCUGUCAGGCUGUCACCUGCAAAGUGUGAAUGAAGAAUAAAACAUUGUGCGUACUAUGUUUACUGCGAGAGUGGCCAUUGCGUGCAUCAACUUAUACAUAAGGCUCUAGGCUGCAUAUCUUGUUUUCAAAGAGAAAUAAAACUUAUGGGUAGGUCAUGAAUGAACAAUACUAAUAGGUUUCAUGAUCCGAUGGGGGCAAUAUUACAAGUAGAACCCAUGUGAAAAUAUUAGCUUUGCCUGUUGGGAGAUAUUGGUUCUUGACAGCAAACAAGAUGGAAGAAGCAGUACUCGAGUGAGUAAUCAGGAGGGGUCACCUUUGCCCAAGAGAGAGUAGCUAGGGCACCUUUGCUCGGCCGGAUCGCACGGAACUGCAGCCUCUCUUGCCGCCGGCCGCCGGUUUUGCCGCCGCCGGCCGGGCUGUGAGAUGUAUCAGCCGUGAAGCCUGUGAGUUGAGUUGGAAGUUGGAACACUGGAUGCCGGACGUUCAGCUUGCAUUGCUUGCACGGGUUUUAAAGGAAACCAUGCUCACGGUUACGUCCGCGCACCUGCAAAAAUAUUCUCACGCACGGCAUUUUGUCAAAAGUGGAAAGGAGAAUAGACGUCUCCGCUCGCCACUUUGCUCAGUGCUUCUCAGCUGGAAUCGGAUAGAGAUGCUCUCCUUUAAGGAUGGCAAUCGGUAGGAUUCGGCUCGGAUUGAAUAAUAGCAAAUCCAUAUCCAAAUCCACGAAGACAUUCCUUAUCCAUCCAGAAAAAACCCACAGGCAAAAGAUUGCAUCCAUGUUCAAACCUGAUGGAUAUUCAUCGGAUUGUGCAAAGACGUAUAAAUCCGUUUCAUAAUAUAAUGCGUUUGUGUUUUACCAGAUUCAACUUUGAUUAUAAAUUUAACCAAGAUGCGCGACUGUUGCGUGGGUGAAAAUGAUAUCAUCGAGUUCGUAUUCGAAAAAAGUUUUCAAUGAUUUAAUUUUCACUCCCGCCACAGUUGGUCAUGCCGGUUAAAUUUAUGGUCAAAUUUUAAUCUUAGAAAGCAUGAACGCACUCAAUUUGGGACAUGGUUUGAAUAAGUUUAAAUUCUAAUGUUGAUAAAAUAAUGAAACUUAUAUGAUACUGCCUCCAUCCACAUAUAAAGGGCAUAAUACGUCUUUCGAGGUAGCAUUUAACCAAUGAUAAAAUUAUUAAUAUAUGAUAUAAAAAUUAUAUCAUCACAAACUCUUUUCACAUACGAAUUUGAGGGUGUGCUUUUUGUGACAUGCAUGUCAUAUAAUGUUGUGUUAACAAAUAAUAUAUGAAGGGUUUUAUAUAUAUAUAUAUAUAUCAAAUAGUACAUCACUAAAACCGGAGUGAACCAAUAAUUAAAACAUGCAAAAAAAGCAUAAUGAAACUUAUAUCAAAAUCAAAGAUGAAACAUUAAUGAUGUGUGGAAUGAAACAGUGAGGAAAAACAUGCAAAAGAGAGUGCAUGGAAAAAUAAUGAAAACAGAGCCGUACCACAGAAAUAAAAUAGUAUGGGACUCAGCCAAACCAUGGAAGAUAAUUUAACAAAAUAACAUGAAAACUUAUGUCAAGAGUAAAAAAAAUAGAAAAAAAAUCUGAAUGAACUAGUGCCGAUGUUUGGAACGAAAAACAAUGAAAACACGCAAUGAAAAAAUAAUUUGAAUUUUAAAAAAAAUCAACCGUGUCCAAAAUUAAUCUUGUUUUGAAGAUUUAAAUAUCAUGAAUAUUAAUAUCCAAACGGUUUGUCAAUGGAAUAGUUUGGUGAAAAGAUAAAGUUGAUACAAACAAUGUAAUCAGACUGAAAAGGAUGGGUGGGUGGAAUGUAAUACUAUUUUUUAACUUCAAACUUAUCCGCUAGUCACUAUGUCAUGGGGCCUCCUCGCUCCCUGUCCCACACGUCAUAGAGAUGGAUAAGAAAGUUAGCUUGAUGGUAGGAGAGAGAACAUAGUGUGAUGUAUAUGUAUUAGACAAUGUGUGAGAUUAUCAUAAUGGAGCAAUACAUGCACACAUUCUCAAACGAAAUGUGAGGCAUCUUCCUACGAGAUGAAUAUCGAUACCGCCAGAAAAACCACUCUCAGGCAAAUACCACAUGAGCUUGAAAAAAGGCACGGAGACAACGAACGAAGCAACAUUUUGAUCCAAUCAAUAUUAUACAUCUUUAUUGCAUAAUAUUUUAUUAAUUAUUUAUAUAUUCUUGCUGUAUCGUCGUAUUAUUGUUUUGAAAAAUUGUUGUAUCUCGUAUCCUUGUAUCCGUAUCGUCUAUCCCGUCCCCGUAUCUGUGCUUCAUAAGCGCGAGGGUGCACCAUAUGUGGAGGCGAUAAGACGAUGACCGACGAUGCCGGAUAUAUCAAGGGUUGUGUGCAUAAUAAGUUGAGGAGAUGAGGCGAUCCUUAAUGAAGCGUUUAACAAGAGAUGGGAGAAUAGGAAGGGACAGUGGAAUAAAUUAGAUUGGACAUUGCACAAUUUCCUUUGCUUUUAGAUAUAAGGAAAAAAAUAUGAUGGGGGAUAAAAUAGUGGGACAGAAUACCAUGGAUACUUAAUUAUAUCCAUGCCCUACCCACCACAAUGCAGAUACGAAGUAUUCCACUAACUUUGCUUUAACACAUGUGAUUUUUUCCUGGCCUCAAUCAGUGUUUGACAAGAGAAAUUUAUUCCACUCAACAUAUUUUAUUAUUUCAGCCCAGGAUCAUUAACCCAUCCUUUUAGUUUGAUUCCACACUCCGUAACACUUUUAACUAUUGAACAAAUGAUCUGUUUUUAAUCGCUUCACAGAUUCGGUUUCAUGACAUUUAAAUCUUUAAAGCAAUAUCAAUUUUGGACAUAGUUUGAAUAAGUUCAAUUUGGAAUGUUGAUACAAUAUUGGAAAUUAUAUGAUACUCCCUUUAUCCGCAUAUAUAGGGCAUAAUACAUCUUUCGACGUAGCAUUUGACCAAUGAUAAAAUUAUUAAUAUAUGAGAUGUAUGAUUCUAAAAUUAUAUCAUCAAAAACUCUUUUCACCUAUGAAUUUGAGGGUACGCCUUUCGUGACAUGCGCAUGUCAUAUAACAUUGUGUUAACCCAUAAUAUAUGAAUGGUCCUGUAUAUAUAUGGAUGGAUGGAGUAUCGAGUGGUACAUCACCGAAACCGAAGUGAAUCAAUAAUUAGAGCGUGCAAAAAAAACAUAGUGAAACUUAUAUCAAAACCAAAGAUGAAACAUUAAUGAUGUAUGUAAUGAAACAGUGACGAAAAACAUGUAAAAGAGAAUGGAUGGAAAAAUGAUGAAAACAAAGCCGCGCCACAGAAAUAAAAUAGCAUGGGACUCAGCCAAACCAUGAUAGAUAAUUUAACCAAAUAACAUGAAAACUUAAUUUCAAGACUAAAAAAAUAGAAACGAAAUCUGAAUGAAUUAGUGCCGAUGUUCGGAAUGAAAAAGCAAUGAAAACAUCCAACAAAAAAUAAUUUGAAUUUUAAAUAAAAUCAAUCGUGUCCAAAAUUAAUCUUUGUUUUCAAGGGUUAAAUAUUAUGAAUAUUAAUACCCAAACGGUUUGUGAAUUGGAGAGUUCAUUCAGAAGAUAAAGUUGGUACAAACAAUGUAGUCAGACUGAGAACGAUGGAUGGGUGGAAUGUAAUACUAUUUUUUUUUACUUCAAACUUACCCGCUAGUCACUAUGACGUGGGGCCUUCCUCGCUAGCGGUCCCACACGUCAUAGAGAUGGCUAAGAAAGUUAGCUUGAUGGAAGGAGAGAGAAGAUAGUGUGAUGUAUACGUAUUAGACAAUGUGUGAUGUAUACGUAUUAGACGAUGUGUGAUGUUAUCAUAAUGGAACAAUACAUGCACACAUUCUCAAAAGAAAUGUGAGGCAUCCCAUUACUAGAUGAAAAUCGGUACCGCUAGAAAAACUACUCUCGGGAAAAAAACACAUGAGCUUGAAAAAAGGCAUGGAGGCAACAAAUGAAGCAACAUUUUGAUCCAAUCAAUAUUAUAUAUCUUUAUUGCAUAUUAUUUGAUUAAUUAUUUAUAUAUAUUUGCCAUAUUGUUGUUUUUAAAACUUGCUGUAUCUCAUAUCUCCGUAUCCGUAUCGUCUAUCCCGUACCCGUAUCCGUGCUUGAUGGGCGUGAGGGUGCACCAUAUGUGAAGGCAAUCAGACAAUGACUAGCGAUGUCGGUUAUACCGAGGGUCGUGUGUAUAAUAAGUCGAGGAGAUGAGGCGAUCCUUAAUUGUCGUGGUUUUGUCACGGCAGAUGUCCUCGUGAAAGGANNNNNNNNNNNNNNNNNNNNNNNNNNNNNNNNNNNNNNNNNNNNNNNNNNNNNNNNNNNNNNNNNNNNNNNNNNNNNNNNNNNNNNNNNNNNNNNNNNNNACUUAAUAGAUAAUAUCCCCAACAUUAGGCCCCAAAUUGACUUGAACCCUCAUGCCAAUGCUUUCAUUUCAUUUGAAGGUGAUUCACUCUUCGACGCUCUUCAUACGCCAGAAAUUUUAACUCGCCAAACGAUACCGAAAGAAAUCUUUGAAUCGCCAGCACAUUUCCCGUCGGCGCCUUCCUUAGCCCUUGAUUUUUGGGAACUCCAACACAAUCCCAACGGAUCCUUCGGGCGCAUCCUUAUCCCGAAAUUUUCGGACGUCAUCAAAGCGAAUCUUCUCCUUGCCAACGGUUCCCGCUCAUGACGCCUCGAUUCCUGCGCCCCUCCUUAUAAAUAGACGGAGGGGACAGGGCUGACAGCAUCUACCUACCAGUCCUGUCGACCCCCCCCCCCCCCCCNNNNNNNNNNNNNNNNNNNNNNNNNNNNNNNNNNNNNNNNNNNNNNNNNNNNNNNNNNNNNNNNNNNNNNNNNNNNNNNNNNNNNNNNNNNNNNNNNNNNNNNNNNNNNNNNNNNNNNCCCCCCCCCCCCCCACCAUCAUCACAGCAAGGAAACGCAAGGCGACGCAUCCCGAAGACUCCGCCGCCGGCCACAGCCUCUGCUCGAGGACUCCGGCGCCGCUCGCGCGUCACCGCUGCUCGAGGAAAACCCCGGCGCCGCCNNNNNNNNNNNNNNNNNNNNNNNNNNNNNNNNNNNNNNNNNNNNNNNNNNNNNNNNNNNNNNNNNNNNNNNNNNNNNNNNNNNNNNNNNNNNNNNNNNNNGGGGGCGGGGGGGGGGGGGGGGGGGUGGGGUAGGGGGCUUGGCCUGAUCGACGUUGAGGUUCAAAACACAUGUCUUCUAUUGAAGAUGGUCCAGAAAAUCUUCAAUGGCGUCCGUACCCCUUGGACUGUCUGGGUGCGCCAUUGGUACUUGGGUGAUUGUCCCGCUGCUUCGACCCCCUCGUGGAAGGCGUUCGCCUCCCUCAUGCCUCUUUAUCGUUCCCUAACAUUGGUAAGUGUCGGAGACGGCGUGGGCACAUCCAUCUGGCACGACAACUGGACCUCGGUUGGGGCCCUGACGGCCGCUCUUCCCGCCACAUACUCUCAUUGUCUUCACCCCCUCGCGACCAUUGGGACUUCACGCGGCUUGGUCCAGAUGCAAUUCUUGUCAUCACCGUCUAUCUAGGGCUGCUGUGUUGGAGCUCCGCCUACUUAAUUGGUAUGCUCUUGACCACGUGCAGUUCUCUACGAGAGGUGACGAGCGGACCCUUUCUUGGGGUGUAUGUCUUCAGUUCAGGUAGGUGCGGUGUACCGUAUGAUCAAAAGCUCUGGUUGCGGGCUCCUUCUUCAUGGCUUCAACUGGGACGGGUUCAUGCCCCUCAAGGUCAAGGUGUUCGCAUGGGUCCUACGGCAUGGAAACACCAGUACGAGGGCCUUCAUUCAUCGAAUCGGGUUCCUCGACUAUGAUGAUUCCCCCCUUUGCCCAGGACAGGCGGAAACAAUCUAGCACUUCUUCUUGAAGUGCCCCCGCUUGGGUCUGAUGUGGGCGCGUAUCCUCAGCCAUUGUCGCUUGCCUGUUGGUUGCGUGGUGGAAGAGGUUUGGUGAUCGUUCUCUGCCCGUCNNNNNNNNNNNNNNNNNNNNNNNNNNNNNNNNNNNNNNNNNNNNNNNNNNNNNNNNNNNNNNNNNNNNNNNNNNNNNNNNNNNNNNNNNNNNNNNNNNNNNNNNNNNNNNNNNNNNNNNNNNNNNNNNNNNNNNNNNNNNNNNNNNNCCCCUCCUGGAGCCAUCCUCUCCUCGGCGCGGCAAUGUGCUCUGUCCUCUCGGUGGUCUGGAAGUCUAGGAACCAGACGGUGUUCGGUAACAUCCAUACCUCAGAUAUUGACUUGUGUCACUCAAGUAUGGAUCANNNNNNNNNNNNNNNNNNNNNNNNNNNNNNNNNNNNNNNNNNNNNNNNNNNNNNNNNNNNNNNNNNNNNNNNNNNNNNNNNNNNNNNNNNNNNNNNNNNNCGGAAGGUUUUCGGAGUUACCGGGAAUGUACCGGGAAUGACGAAUGGGUUCCGGGAGUUCACCGGGGGGGCAACCCACCCCGGGGAAGCCCAUAGGCCAUAAGGGUGGCGCACCAGCCCUUAGUGGGCUGGUGGGACAGCCCAAAAGGGCCCUAUGCGCCAUACAAAGAAAAAUCAAAGAGAAAGAAAAAUAAAGGGAGGUGGGAAGGAAGGGAAGGACUCCCACCCACCAAACCAAGUCCAACUCGGUUUGGGGGGGGAGCCUUCCCCCCUUGGAGUCGGCCAACCCCCUUGGGGCUCCUUGAGCCCCAAGGCAAGGUCCCCUCCCUCCCACCUAUAUAUACGGAGGUAUUGGGGCUGAUUUGAGACGACUUUUCCACGGCAGCCCGACCACAUACCUCCACGGUUUUUCCUCUAGAUCGCGUUUCUGCGGAGCUCGGGCGGAGCCCUGCUGAGACAAGGUCAUCACCAACCUCCGGAGCGCCGUCACGCUGCCGGAGAACUCUUCUACCUCUCCGUCUCUCUUGCUGGAUCAAGAAGGCCGAGAUCAUCGUCGAGUUGUACGUGUGCUGAACGCGGAGGUGCCGUCCGUUCGGUACUAGAUCGUGGGACUGAUCGCGGGAUUGUUCGCGGGGCGGAUCGAGGGACGUGAGGACGUUCCACUACAUCAACCGCAUUCACUAACGCUUCUGUUGUACAAUCUACAAGGAUACGUAGAUCACUCAUCCCCUCUCGUAGAUGGACAUCACCAUGAUAGGUCUUCGUGCGCGUAGGAAAAUUUUUGUUUCCCAUGCGACGUUCCCCAACAGUGGCAUCAUGAGCUAGGUUCAUGCGUAGAUGUCUUCUCGAGUAGAACACAAAAGUUUUUGUGGGCGGUGAUGUGCGUUUUGCUGCCCUCCUUAGUCUUUUCUUGAUUCCGCGGUAUUGUUGGAUUGAAGUGGCUUGGAUCGACAUUACUCGUACGCUUACGAGAGACUGGUUUCAUCGUUACGAGUAACUCCGUUGCUCAAAGAUGACUAGCAAGUGUCGGUUUCUCCAACUUUAGUUGAAUCGGAUUUGACCGAGGAGGUCCUUGGAUGAGGUUAAAUAGCAACUCAUAUAUCUCCGUUGUGGUGUUUGCGUAAGUAAGAUGCGAUCCUACUAGAUACCCUUGGUCACCACGUAAAACAUGCAACAACAAAAUUAGAGGACGUCUAACUUGUUUUUGCACGGUAUGCUUGUGAUGUGAUAUGGCCAUCAUCACGUGCUUCUUGAUCUUCAUCACCAAAGCACCNNNNNNNNNNGUUCACUAACGCUUCUGCUGUACGAUCUACAGGGGUACGUAGAUCACUCAUCCCCUCUCGUAGAUGGACAUCACCAUGAUAGGUCUUCGUGCGCGUAGGAAAAUUUUUGUUNNNNNNNNNNNNNNNNNNNNNNNNNNNNNNNNNNNNNNNNNNNNNNNNNNNNNNNNNNNNNNNNNNNNNNNNNNNNNNNNNNNNNNNNNNNNNNNNNNNNUCGUGCACCCACCCUUAAUGCAGGUUUCGUCGGCUCAUACGGUCGCGAUAGGGGGAGGCGAGUCAGAAAGCUCGUGCACCCACCCUUAAUGCAGGUUCUGUCGGCUCAUAAGGUCGCAACAGGAUGAUAUUGCUUUCUUUUAAAGAAGCUCCCAAGAUAGGGAAACAUUAUAUUAAUUCAUAAUGAAACUGGAAAACUUACAAAGCAUGGAGCUUUUUAAAAAAAAACUCAAGUGUAGUAAGGCCGCAAAUGGGCAAUAUUCCAAGGGCGAGUUGACUCAGCCCCCGUGGUCGGUCGAUCAGGCCGAAGAUCCAUCAAGUAGUAAGAUCAGGCCCAAGGGGACGAAAGUUUGUGCAUGCCUGCCCGAUCUUGAAUCAAUCGAAGCACCAAAUCUCCUUCCUGGAAAAUCCGACUCUUCACUCGGCGACUAUGAUAACGCCGCAAAUCUUGCUGAUAAAUCGCCGAGCGAGCCGCCGCUAAGUCGCGUGCCUCCUCCAAAGCAUCCAAAGAAUCCUGACGCGCCCGCUCAUUGUCCCGCUCCACAUAUGCGGCGACUCUAAGAGAAUCAUGCCUUAUGUCGGUAGGGAGAACGGCUUCUGCUCCAUACACCAAAAAGAAAGGGGUGAACCCCGUGGACCGAUUUGGGGUGGUCCGGAUGCUCCACAAUACCGAAGGUAACUCCUCCACCCAACAUCCUGGAGUUCUUUCUAGGGGAGUUAUGAGCCGAGGUUUGAUUCCUCGCAAGACCUCCUCAUUCGCCCGCUCGGCCUGCCCGUUCGACUGUGGGUGAGCAACUGCAGAAACAUCCAGCCGAAUGUGUUCACGGCGACAGAAAUCCAACAUCGCUCCUUGGGACAAGUUGGUACCAUUGUUUGUAAUGAUGCUGUGAGGAUAUCCAAAACGGAAAAUCAACUUCUUCAGGAAUUUUACCGCGGUCUCUGCGUCGCAAGCCCCGACUGGUUCCGCCUCAAUCCAUUUAGUGAAUUUAUCAACCGCCACCAACAAGUGAGUUUUCUUGUUGGAAGACAUCUUAAAGGGACCGACCAUGUCCAGCCCCCAGACCGCGAAAGGCCAAGUAAUGGGGAUCAUCCUUAAUUCUUGAGCCCGCACAUGAGCCUGUUUCCCAUAUCGUUGGCACCCCUCACACCGCCGCACUAUGUCUUCUGCGUCUGCGUGGGCCGUCAGCCAAAAGAAACCAUGCCGGAAAGCUUUUGAUACCAAAGAACGUGACCCGGCGUGGUGCCCACAGUCUCCAGAAUGGAUGUCAUUUAGGAUCACGCACCCUUCUUCGGAAGAAACGCACCGCUGAAAGACUCCCGAAGUGCUUCGUUUAUACAACUCGCCAUUAAUGAUAACCAUGGACUUGCUACGUCGAACAAUCUGGCGAGCCAGAACUUCGUCAGUAGGUAAUUCGCCACGAGCAAGAUAAGCUAAGUAAGGCAGAGCCCAAUCCGGAGCAACAUGGAGAGCCGCCACAAGCUGAGACUCGGGAUCUGGUAUCGCCAAUUCCUCCUCCGUGGGGAUAGUCACAGAUGGUUUAUGCAGGACAUCCAGGAAUACAUUAGGGGGAACUGGCUUUCUCUGUGAGCCGAGUCGCGAGAGGGCAUCGGCUGCCUCGUUGAGUCGCCGAUCAAUAUGAUCAACCUGGUAGCCAUGAAAAUAGCCCGCCACGUUGGAUACAGCCCGCCUAUAAGCCACCAUCAUAGGAUCUCGAGAGUCCCAAGUGCCCGAAACCUGUUGCGCCACCAAAUCUGAAUCCCCAAAACAUCUGACUCGGGUGAGGUUCAUCUCUUUUGCCAGGCGCAAACCGUGAAGCAGGGCUUCAUACUCUGCCGCAUUAUUUGUGCAAGGGAACAUGAGCCGGAGGACGUAGCAGAACUUAUCUCCUUGGGGGGAUAUUAACACCACACCCGCCCCCGAACCUUCCAACUGCCUGGAUCCGUCAAAAUAAAUGGUCCAAUAGGUAAGGUCAGGUCGAUCCUCCGGAACUUGAAGCUCCGUCCAGUCAUUGACGAAAUCAACUAGUGCCUGGGACUUGAUGGCCGUGCGAGGGGUAUACUGUAUAUGAUGUGACCCGAGCUCUAUUGCCCAUUUGGCGAUUCGCCCCAUUGCCUCGCGAUUUUGGAUGACGUCACCAAGGGGUGCGGAACUGACCACGGUGAUCGGGUGUUCCUGGAAAUAAUGUUUGAGCUUUCGACUCGCCAUGAACACCCCAUAGACUAGCUUCUGCCAAUGUGGGUAUCGCUUUUUGGAAAGAGUUAACACUUCACUGACGAAGUACACCGGGCGUUGAACCGGGUAUUCCUUUCCUUCCUCCUUUCUUUCGACGACCAUAGCCACGCUGACCGCUCUAGAGUUCGCGGCGAUAUACAGGAGCAUAGGCUCCUUUUCAGUCGGGGCCGCCAGGACCGGCGGGUUAAUCAAUUGAUGUUUUAAGGCCUGAAACGCCUCGUCAGCCUCCUCUGUCCACACGAAUCGGUCCGAUUUUCUCAACAGUUGAUAGAGAGGAAUCGCCUUUUCGCCGAGGCGGCUCACGAAACGGCUGAGAGCCGCUACACGACCCGCCAAUCGCUGAACCUGAUUGACGUUCGUCGGCUUGCCGAGUGAGGUAACUGCUUCAAUCUUUUCCGGGUUAGCCUCGAUGCCGCGCUCUGAUACCAAGAAACCCAGUAAUUUUCCCGCAGGUACGCCAAAAACGCACUUGGUAGGGUUUAGCUUCAUCUGAUAUACUCGUAAAUUAUCAAAGGUUUCCUUAAGAUCCUCGAGAAGCGUUUCCCCCCGGCGAGUUUUGACCACAAUGUCGUCAACAUAAGCGUGGACGUUGCGGCCAAUUUGGCUAUGAAGACAAUUCUGGAUGCAGCGUUGGUAAGUCGCCCCCGCGCUCUUGAACCCGAACGGCAUUGAUACAUAGCAAAAGACCCCGAACGGGGUUAUGAAAGCAGUCUUCUCCUGAUCUUCCACAACCAUUUUGAUCUGAUGAUAGCCCGAAUAGGCGUCCAAGAAACACAAUCGUUCGCAUCCCGCCACCGAGUCGAUAAUUUGGUCGAUGCGGGGAAGAGCGAAAGGAUCCUUGGGACAAGCUCUAUUGAGGUCCGUAUAGUCAAUACACAUACGAAACGUGCCAUUCUUCUUGAGUACCAACACCGGGUUAGCUAGCCAUUUGGGGUGGAAAACUUCCACGAUGAACCCAGCAGCUAAGAGUCGGGCGACUUCUUCCCCAAUCGCCUUCCGUCGCUCCUCAUUAAAACUGCGAAGGUAUUGCUGGACAGGUUUGCACUUUGGGUCAAUAUUAAGAUGGUGCUCAGCGAAUUCUCUCGGUACACCCGGCAUGUCGGAGGGUUUCCAUGCAAAGAUGUCCCGAUUCUCACGGAUGAAUUCGAUGAGCGCGCUUUCCUAUUUGGGAUCCAGGCCCGUCCCAAUGGUAAACUGCUGGGAUCAGUCGCCAGGGACGAAGUCGACUGUCUUCGUGUCAUCCGUUGCUUUGAACUUGAGGGGAGACUCGGAAUCUGUAGUUGGCUUUUUCAGUGGCGACAUGUCGGCCGGGUCAUCAUUGGCCCGGUGAUUUUUGAGUUCUUCUGCCGCGCAGGUGACUUCCGCAUAGGCCGCGUCUCCUUCCUCGCACUCCUUCGCAAUCCUUCUAUCUCCGUCAAUUGUGAUAGGCCCAUUGGGACCCGGCAUUUUGAGCUUGAGGUAGACGUAGCACGGGCGGUCCAUAAACCGAGCGUAAGCCGGUCGCCCGAACAACGCAUGGUAUGGGCUUUUUAGUUUGACCACCUCAAAGGUCAAAGACUCCGACCUGUAAUUCUGCGCGGUUCCAAACGCUACCGAGAGCCUAACCUGGCCUAUGGGAUAAGCCGACUUGUCCGGGACGAUGCCGUGGAAGACCGUGGUUGAAGGCAUCAAGUCUUUCUCUAACAGGUUCAUCCUCCGGAAGGUGUCGAAGUACAGGAUAUUGAUGCUGCUGCCACCAUCCAUUAAUACUUUCGAUAGGGUGUAUCCCCCCACUUGGGGAGCCACGACCAGUGCCAAGUCGCCCGGGUUAUCUAUCCGUGGCGGGUGAUCCUCUCUGCUCCACGUUAUGGUCUGCUCGGACCAAUGGAGAUAUCGGGGAACUGCCGGUUCAAUCACGCUGAACGCCCGGUGAUGUACCUUUUUAUCACGCCUGCAGGCAUUAGUGGUAAAAACAUGAUAUUGCCCAUUACUUAGCUGUUUAGGGUUGUUGCGGAAACCCUCGUGGUCAUCUUGAUCCUGCGGGGCCCCCGGUGAGGGCGGUUGCUGAAAAUUUCCCGGCGGGUUGUACCGCCGGUGGUGGUGGUGCACCGGGUACUGGCCGCCGCCUGGCUGCGGGCCCCCUGUGCCUCCUGUUCGGGAAAACCGCCGAAGGGGUUGUGCCUUUGGUUAGGUGCGGCGAGUUGGUCCUGGCGACGGUUCGGAUCUUCGCUCUGGCUCUUUUUGAUCGCCUUGGCCCGGAAUUCUCGCAUCACGAAGCAGUUCUCCCAAGAGUGACCCGCCGGGCCGUCGGUCGUGGCGUGGUGCGGGCAUGGGCCCUUGAGCAGCUCUUCGUAGUUACGCGGUCUUUUUCCACUGAAGCCCCGAUUCUUCUUUUUGCCGUCGUUGGCGUUGGUGUUGGCGACCAGGUCCGAGGGCUCCUCAUGCGGCCUGCGCUUGCCGUUGGUCCCCUGGUUGUGACGGUUCCGGCUUUGGAGGCGGGUGUGGCUUUUAGUCGAGUCGCUCUUCUUGGGUGAGUUAGCUUUACCAUCCUCACCGGGAUCCUUGGUAUCGUCAGCCUCGGCGUACCUAGUAAGGGUAUCCAUCAGCUCGCCCAUAUCCUGAACCUUCUGCUUGAGUCGCCCCAGCUUCUGGACCAGUGGUUCAUAGUGGCAGUUGUGCUCGAGGAUAAGCACAGUUUGUGCUGCCGUGAUGCCAUCAGAUGAAUGAAUGAUUUCUGCGACUCGCCGCGACCAGUGGUGCGCCGACUCUUCCGGGCGUUGCACGCAGUGCUGUAAGUCGACGAUCGUCAUUGGCCGUUUGCAGGUUCCCCGGAAGUUUUUGAUGAAACGCUCCUUCAACUCGGCCCAGGACUGGAUGGAAUUGGGGGGGGGGUAGGUUUUUCAACCAGGUGCGCGCCGAUCCUUCGAGCAUCAUGGUGAAAUAUCUGGCGCAAACCGCCUCGUUCACGUCGAGCAUGUCCAUGGCGAUCUCAUAGCCCUCGAUCCAAGAUAUUGGUUCAAGAUCUGGUGUGUAAUUAGGCACCUUCCUUGGUCCUUUGAAAUCCUUGGGCAUCCUUUCGUUUCGAAGGGCCAGGGAUAAACAGGGCACCCCCACUCGCCCUCUGGUUCCCGCGGGAGGAGUCUGGAUGUCUUGAAUGUUAGGGGGACCUCUGCCCGGCGGGUCCCGAUCCGGCGGGUUGUCUUGUCGCGGGGCGCUGUUUACGGCUGGCUGGUCCUCCGGCCAGCCCCUGGUGUAGCUCGCCUGGGGGGUGGAAUGCAAUCGCUCGGGGCUGUGUGAGAACUGCGCGUUUUGGACCACCGCCGUUUUUAACAUCUCGAUGGCGUUCCUUGCUUCGAUCUCGGCGGGGGUGUUGCCAUGGAUCGGGAGAGAUUCGAGAUGGCGAGUUGCGGCAAGCACAUUAUCCACCGGGUUCGAGAAGUGACCUCGAGGGGUACGGAACCGAGGGAUUUGACCCUCGGUAGGCUGGUUCGGCGGGUUAGGGGGGCGUCCCAGCCCUCCUGCUGGGGCGGCUCACAUCCCGGGUGUCUGAGGAGUGUCGAACAGGCGAGUCGGAUUGAGAUCGUGGGGCAGGCGUCCCUGGUGUCACCGCUGAUGGACGGCGUCGGUUGCGCGCUGCUGUCUUUCGAGCCGCCAGUUGUCGGUGUUGAAUCGCAUCAUCUUGGCCGUAAUCUGGGCUUGUCGAGUCUCCAUCCUGGCGGACUCUGUCUCUGCGUCCUGGUGGGCCUUCGCCAGCGCCUCCCUCAAUUUUGCUAACUCCGCAUUUACCUCUUCUUGGUUCUCUGGCGUCAAGGGGGUCAACAUUAGCCUUGUGAUUUCUGCUGCUAAUUCCACCAGGAUCGCCGACACACUUUUGGACGUUCCGCCGGUUCCAUCGCCCCCGGCGGGAUUGUGCGCGGGUUGAGUUGCCCCGGCCAUGUAGAUGGCGAUCUGGCGGCGGGUUCGGUCGAGGAUCUCCGGAUCCAUGGCCAAUGACAAGCCUCCGAGGCCGUCUCCGUGGAGGGGCUGGAUGGAGUCUGAAUCGCCCAUGGAUGACUCGUCGUCAGAGUUGACGGGGGUGACUCCUUGAGCCGCCGCGUGUUCCGGCUCCUCCGAGCCCUGCGUGAAUCCCACAAAGACUGGGCGGGUCAGAUUCCGUGUUAUGACUGGAUGAACGUACCUGGCCGGCUCGACGAUGUCGGAGGAGAUGCCCGGCUCAGGGACGGGUGACCCGAUUAUGCCGAUGAAGACGUUGAUCUUGCCGAAGGGGACCCUGUAGCCUGAUUCCAAGGAGUUUGCUUCGGGUCCCCACCGCUGGUUGUCGAUGUAGGCUAUGCCGCGUCGGUUCCAAGUCAUGAGCGCCGCCGCGUAACUCCCGAACCCUGGUAGGGCUCCCUUUGAGAACUCAACUCCACCGUGCGUAGGCCCCACGGUGGGCGCCAACUGUCGUGGUUUUGUCACGGCAUAUGUCCUCGUGAAAGGACUUAGUACUGGAGCCAUCGCACCCUGGUGGCGACUCAAAGGGGUUAAGCGGGAGAGACACGGCGAUUUACCCAGGUUCGGCCCCUCCGAGAAGAGGUAAUAGCCUACGUCCUGCUUUGUGUGUAUUGAUGUGGAUUCGAUUACAAGGGAGGCGUAACUCGCCCUAACCUAGCACUCGAUGAUUUCUAACCUGCCUCUUCCUCCCUAAACCCGCCUUUAUAUAUAGGUCGAGCCCUUAGGGUUUAGAAGAGUCCUUUCCUCCUUACAAAUCAUGAACACCGCGGUCUCCAAGUCGCCACCUUGCCAAUCCUGGAAACCUGCCGUAAAUCAUAUCCAUCUUGGAACGUCGAACCGUCCAGGCAGAAGCCCAACUAACCUUUAAAGGGUGAAUCGCCCUAUAGGUAACCCGGCCCAUAACUGGCGGGUCACUUAAUAGAUAAUAUCUCCAACAUUAAUGAAGCGUUUAACAAGAGACCGGAGAAUAGGAAGGGGCGAUGGAAUAAAUUACAGUGGAUAUUGCACUAUUUCCUUUGCUUUUAUAAUACAUAAGGAAAAAAUAUGACGUGGAUAAAAUAGUGGUACAUAAUCAUAGAAUAUUGGGAAAAUCUAAGGAGAAGCGCCGCAUCACAUCACUUCCAUGCGGCGGCUUACACGGGCAUGCAAAAAUCUUCUAUCCCAUGAUAACAUCAUCACAUUAAAUGCUUUUUUGAAUUUUAAAAAUGAUUUAUCUCAUAGAUUAAUAAUUUGAUUGAAGAUUCGUCUUCACCGUUAGGUUUGUCUCGACGAGACCUUUAAAAUAAGAUCCUAUAUUAACAUGUUUCGUUGAUAUUUUUUCGUCGUUCCUAGUUGCCACAUUUAUGUCAUUAUAGUUGUCAUUUUACGGAUGUACAGUUGUCACAAAAAUUAUGCAUAGUUAUCGGGACAAUAAAUUUUUAUUUUUUAAGUAUUGUAGUGUUAUGUGAAGCUAAAAAGUGGUUAUUAAAGCACUAACAAUAAGCAAGUAAAUGCAUGAACCAGUAGAAGUACAAUGAAUCAAGUUUUUUAUGGUGUAUAUCAACAUUCUUAAAACCUGGUAACCAAGUUGAUUUAAUGUGAGAACUAUGUGAUAAAUAAUGUGACAAGUAAGUGAUAAUAAUUUGGCAAAUACCGACGUAAAUAAAAGUUAUCGAAACAUAUCGACAUGGGAUCUAGUUUUAAAGAUUUCGUCACGAUAAAGUCAGUGGUGAAAACAAAUCAUUAAUUGAGAUAACGGUUGGAGAGAUAAAUCUUUUUUAAAAUACAAAAUCAAAAUAAUACGUAAUGAUGUCAUGUUGCAUGCAUGCAAAAUGAAUGAAAGGGAGCCGUCGCAUGAGAAGACUAAUAUACGGCGCCGCUUCCUAGUAAAGUCCUAGAAUAUUUGCUUGCCAGUCAUAUUAUUAGGUCGCGUUUGGGUAUACAUAAUUAUAUCCAUGCCUACCCACCAUUAGUCGGAUCGGGUUUGGGCGUUGUUCAUGGGUGUUGGAGCUGCCACCCCUUGCCACCCGUCUACCCCUAGCUAGCUCGCUCCUAGCUGCCGCAGCUGGAUCGGCCAGAGAAGGAAGAAAGGAUUCAGAGAAGUUCAGAGACAACAGUGGACACAUGGAUUCUUUCGGCGCUCUAACGCCUUCUCCUUUCCUCGAGCACGAACUCGACCAAGUCAUCUGUUACAACGAUCAUCCCGUGGGUUUAUAUCCCCGAGCCAGUGUAUUGGGCACGUACCCACGCCACUACUCGGCCGCGAUCUUCUCCACGUCCUGCAUGCUCUCGUCGCACCCGCUACGCACCCGCGCGCGCCCGCGUCUCGCGCUGAGCUGCACCAAACGAUCCGAUCGCGCCGCACGCUCGCCAACAGACACACUCACACCCUACCCUGGUGCACGGACACGCCCAUGCGCCCAACGCACGCACACACGCAGGCCCUGAUCCUCGGACCAGACGCGCCCAGCAUGUCCAGUGCGCGCCCAUACCCGCAUUGGACGUGCCCGGCUCGUCGUCGUGGCUUAUUCGCCUAUCAUUCACGCCCUAAGCCGCGGCUCAGAGCAGGCCGGCGUCCUCGACGUCGGCGUCCAUCAUCAGUGCAUGUCCCGCGGCUGGCUCCUUCCGCAGCAAAGGGCACUCCCUCUUGAAGUGUCCACUGACGCCGCACGUGUAGCACUUCCCACGUCGGUUGUCCCUGCCGCCCGAUGCCGUGCUUGCGGUGCCGUCAUCUUCGCCCCCUCUGCGCGCACCAUCUCGACGCCGCUCACGCGCACGCCACUGUGUCGCGGUGAGCAAGAGCUGUUCGCCGUCCGUCUGCCCGCGCCGGCACAGCCGCUCGUCGAAUGCCUUCAAGCGUCCGAGCGCGUCCUCGAACAGCAACGUCGGCAUGUCACAAAACUGCUCCAUCCCGGCGACCGCCGCGUACAAGCGAUUCGGGACGCAGUCCAGGAACUUCUUCACCAUAGCCGCGUCGUCGAGAGUUGCUCCCAGCCCGGCGUAGCGCGCCGCCAUGCCGCUGAUUUUCCCCGCAAAUGCAUCCAGCGACUCGUCGCUGGCCAUGCGCAGGAGCUCGAACUCCCCGCGCAGUGUGCCCAGCUGAGCCGCGCGCACACGGUCCGCGCCGACGAAACGUGCCUUCAGGCUAGCCCAUAUCUCCGCCGCCGUUUUCUUCGCGGCCACCUGCAACAGAAGAUCGUCGGGGAGCGCCCGGAGCAGAUACGCCCUCGCCGACUUGUCUUUCUUGGCGAUCACCGCCGCCGAGCCCUCCGACGGAGCCACCGCCUCCCAGAGUCCUGCGGCGUCGAGGUCCGCCUCCACCUUGAUGGCCCAGGUGGUGUAGUUGUCCCCCGUCAGCAUCGGGACGGACGUUGCCAUUGUCGUCCCCGUCCCGCCGGAGUACGGGACCAUCGCCAUGUCCGGCGAGCCCUCCCGUCGCCCGAGGCUCUGAUACCAAAUGUUGGAGCUGCCACCCCUUGCCCUAGCACCCGUCUACCCCUAGCUAGCUCGCUCCUAGCUGCCGCAGCUCGAUCGGCCAGAGGAGGAAGAAAGGAUUCAGAGAAGUUCAGAGACAACAGUGGACAUAGGGAUUUUUCCGGCGCUCUAACGCCUUCUCCUUUCCUCGAGCACGAACUCGAUCAAGUCAUCUGUUACAACAAUCAUCCCGUGGGUUUAUAUCCCCGAGCCAGCGUACUGGGCACGUACCCACGCCACUACUCGGCCGCGAUCUCCUCCACGUCCUGCAUGCUCUCGCCGCGCCCGCUACGCACCCGCGCGCGCCCGCGUCUCGCGCUGAGCUGCACCAGACGAUCCGAUCGCGCCGCACGCUCGCCAACAGACACACUCACACCCUACCCUGGUGCACGGACACGCCCAUGCACCCAACCAACGCACACACGCACGCCCUGAUCCUCGGACCCGACGCGCGCGUCCAGCAUGUGCAGUGCGCGCCCAUACCCGCACUGGACGUGCCCGGCUCGUCGCCAUGGAUUAUUCACCUAUCAAUGGGUAUAAAAAUAUAUCCAAACCCUAUCCAUUCGGAUCGGGUAGGGAGGAAGCUGCAUGCAUGCAGCUAUCCUAUUGCGCCGGCAAGAGGGUCAAGUUGUUUUUUAUUAGUAGUUUGACAUUUGGAUCAAGCGUGUGCAUGAAUACAUCAGGCUAAGCUAGCAACGAUGCAACAUGAUAGAUGCAGAGUAAUGCUACAUCGACGGACCCUUACGGGGUUUUACAAACUGAGUUUGAGCUGUCAAAUUAUCAUUGGAUUAAGGUGAGAAAGGGGGCCAUCCACCUGAAAAUCAGGGGAGGGUGGAGAGCAUUAGAGGGAAGGUCCCGUAAAGUUCAUGUAAGGGUCCCUAUGUUUAGCAUUUCGGUAGAUGCAGGUGCAGCUUUGCCCCUGGGGUCGGGUAUCUACAGAUAUCCAUGUUUCCUGGGUAAAACUGCCAUCUUACUCUCCUUUGACACUGUACAAACGGUUGGUCCUCACUUCUCCAAGAUCGUCCAAAUUGUAGUAGUACGUUGAAGCGAUAGGAACGCGGUGGUCUUCGGCGGCGAAGGCGGAUGCCGUGCUCCAGGCCUCCAGCAGCGGCGCCUCGCCCCUAGCCAUUCUAUAUUUAAAUCAAGCAACAUUCAGGCGCGCACAGCAGCAUGCAUGUAGAAGAAGAAUUUCUUUAUUUCUUUAUUUAGCGAUCAAUAAACUUGAGGAAUGGUGGGCUUAUUAUCAAACGAGACUUUGAAGAAGAGCACUCCAACUUGUCUGCCGUGCUGUGCAUGGUGGGCUUUCUGAAUCAUGGCAAAGUCUAGCAACUACUGCACUAGCUAAUUGAGUAUAGGAAAAGUAUGGUCCCAAGUCGCUUCCGACCCGAGCUGUUCCCACAAGCGGGCAAACCCUAGCCACCGUAGCUCGAACCUCCCACUCUGACCUCCCUCCCCCGCCGUCGCCGCGAGCCACCGGGCUUGCGCAGGUGGCGGUGGGGCGCUCCUCCCUCUCGGCACGGGCGGCGCAGGCCGUGAGUCCGAACGACGGGAGGGGGGAGGGGGAGGAGGGUUUGGGCUGCCGCACGGCCCGACGGCGCAAGGAUGGGCGUGAGAGGCGGCUGGUCCUUUGCUCCAAGGCGGGGUGGCGGAGUCCCGGCGAUGUGCGGUGGAUGCGGGACGACUUCCUUCGGGUGGUGGCGCGGGGGUCGUUCUCCUCUAGUCGGAUCUGGUGUCGGCGGAUCAUGGGCUGGCCGGGCCUGCGGGCAGCAAGGCCCAUUGCCUUCUCCUCCCGGCUGGUUGCAUGGGUAGGGCCGGCGUGGCGGCGGCAGUGGUGGUACGGACUUGGGGCGGCGGUCGAUCGAAUCUGGCGGUGGUUACUGCGCAUUGAUGGCACUUGCCCGACGACGUCAGGUGGCGGCGACAAUCUUUGGCCGCGGGCAUGCGACAACUGGGUGCUGUUGGUUGGAGCAGUGGCCCUUGACGUUGGUGUAGAGGGGGCGGAGCAUGUCGCAGGGAGCCGUUGGAUCCAGGUGAUUUGCGGCCGGAGGUACCGGUUACCACAUGAUGGUCGGAGGUCCCGGAUGCCAUGGGGUCUCCGUGUCCUCCUCUCGAGGUAGUGCUAGUUGGCAGUUGGCCAACAGCGCGAGCUGGCCGCCGGUAUUGGGGUUUGACUAAGUCCCCCUGCCGCGGGCUGGUUGCUCUCUUGCAACUGUCUCGGCCAUUUCUCUGCACAGGUUGAGGUGGAGGCUCGUGGCUUGGUGGGGAGGCAGCCUCAUGUUGUGGCGUCGGUGUUGAGUUGUUGGGGGAUGUCGGGAUGGCGACUUUGGGUGGCGGGAUCCACGGUGGGCUUUCUGGCGGUCCUCGUGCAAUAAUCCUACAUCUACGUAAGGUUCUACUUACUUAUCAUUUACAAAAUACUCUUCUUCCUCCUGAUUUCAACGUGGGUGGGCCUCAACCAUUAAUCCUAAUCCAAUUAACUACCUCUAAAUCAGCCUUUACGUAGAAACCUCACGUAACAUUAUGUGGGUGUAGCAUUUCCCGUCCUCGUGGUGACGCUGAUGCCUAAUCCUCUUGUCUGUGUGGGCGGCGGGGGUAGAGGUGGAUGGCUCUGGCAGGCUCUGGUCUUGCCCGAAUUUGGCGGGGGUUGGGCUGUAUCUCGCGGGGGGAGCAGCAGGGGCACCUCCUGGUGGUAGUGGCGAGUACCCAAGCGAAAGCUUCACACUUAGCACCGACACCGGCGGCGACCCUAGGUGUCGUUCCCUUCUCGAAGGCGUGGCCGUGGGUCUUCUUCAUAUGCUAGGGCUUCGGGUGAAAACCCUUGUGUGUUCUCAGACUCGGCAGUGGCGACGCAUUGCACCGUCACCCUCCUGGGGGCAUUGUCGUGGAGUUUUGGUAUCCUCGCUUGGUCCUAGGCGAGGUGUUAGGCUUGCUCUAGUUUCUCGUUGUAUCUAGCGAUCCGCUUUGUAAGAGAGUCAUCUCAUCACAUUAUAUCGUUCGGCCAUGUGCUCUUUGGUGUUGUUGCUUUAUAUAUAGGAAAAGUAUGCAUGGCAAGACCGAUACUCCUAUCGUAUAUUGCUACCUUGGUGGAAUUGGAAUGUAGAGAAGUUGCUCCGUCCAUUCUAUUUUCAAUCUGCCAUUUCCCUGAGGAAAAUAUAGAUGGCUAAUAUUAUUGUGGUGUUGUUUUUGUUGUAUUGAUCUGACCCUCAUAUGGGGUAUAUAUAGAAUACACGAGGGGGUAGAGGCUUAGAGUACAAGACAAGUAAUACAUGGUUUAAACCUAUUCGAUCUCUACUCCUUAUCUUUAUCUUUAAACCCAAAGUAUGUUCUAACAUUCCCCCUCAGUCGUAGAGGGAGUGAAGUGGACGAUUGCGACUGAAUUUGAAGUCAUGCGCCUUUGUCAUAUUCUCCGCCGCGUCAUCAUCAAUUGUGUCUCUCAUGGGUCGGCACCUAGGGUGGUGACUGCGUCCCCUUAUCUCUAACUUAAACCCAAUUAUACUUCUAACAUUCCCAACCAAUAUGACUAAGCAUGCGCUCCUCUUCCGAGGAACUGCACUGCUCCUUUGCCUAUUGAUCUUCCAAGCAGGGUCCACUUUGCAUAGCCAAGCGAGUGUAUCCGGAGCCUGCAUCAGCAGCGAGACCGUGUUGGCCAUCUCCGGUCAUGGCAGGGUGACGAUUUUUGCCAAUGGAAGGGGGUCUGAUGAUUGUCGCAGGGGACAUGAGCUCUUAUUUGGCUACUUUAACGGCACAAGCAUCCCUGUAUUCUUGGCUUUCCGCCAUAACAUAAGCUAUCUAAGUUGCAAUAUCUUGAUCACAACUGGAAUUAUUUCCAAACAAUGGAUCAUGAAUGGUCUCCAGGUCUCUCUUUGUUAAGCCAUCUUGAAAUGAGUGGUGUUGAUCGUAGUUCUAAGAGGGAUUGGCUUCACAGGGUUAACAUGCUUCCUUCUCUUAAAGUGCUUCCAUUGCCCUAAUGUAUUCGAAAUACUAGCAUGUCUACUAUAGUAUAUCACGUUACAAACUCACUCGUCUAAAAAUUCUUGAUAUGUCUGAGGACAACUUCAAUACAUCACUCAAGCAUGGGUGGUUUUGAAAUCUCAGAGGCCUUAAGGAUCUUUACCUCUCAAAUUCGGGAUGGCUAGGGCCCAUUCCCAGUGAUUUGGCAAACAUGACAUCCCUUCAAGUCAUGGACAUCCAAUUGAAAGCAUGCCAAUGUUCCUUCUGUCAUUUUUUGAGAUACUUGUUGGGGUACGAAAAAGGUUGGACUUCUAUAGAUCUCGUUUCUUUUGGUAGAGUGAUGAGAUCAAAAGAAGAUAUAGACUCUCUCGUUGGGAUAUUAUUUGUAGAUCCAAAAUACAAGGAGGUCUUGGGAUCGAGAACUUGGAGGUCAAAAACAAAUGUCUGCUUAGAAAAUGGUCUUACAGUGUCUGUAGAGUCCGAAGGCAUGUGGGUACAAAUUUUGAGACAUAAGUACCUACAUGCUAAAACUUUGGCUCAAGCCACUUCAAAACCUAGUGAUUCACCCUUUUGGAAAGGACUUAUGAGAACAAAAGUGGCGUUCUUUCAUAGGUCUAAGUUGAUCGUGGGUAAUGGGGAGUCUACGAGGUUUUGGGAAGACACGUGGUUGGGCGAUACGCCGUUAGCCACGCAAUAUCUGGCUCUAUAUAAUAUUGUGCAACGUAAGGAGGCUUACGUGUCCACUGUAUUACAGUCUGUUCCUCUAAACAUUCAGUUCCUAGGAGUUUGUUGGGAGAUCGUUGGUUGGCAUGGCUUGAUCUAGUCAGGAGACUGAUGGAGGUUAAUUUACCGGAUGAGGCCGAUACACUCCAUUUCAAGUUGUCUAAGAAUGACAUCUUUUCGGUGAAAACGAUGUACUUAGACCUCAUUGACUUUGGAUCAAUCCCCAAAUUGAUUCAUACUUGGAAGAUCAAAGUUCCUUUAAGAAUCAAAAUCUUCAUGUGGUUCGUUUACAAGGAAGUUAUUCUUACUAAGGAUAAGUUGGCAAAACGUAAUUGGGCUGGAAACAAAAGAUGUAGCUUUUCUGAUCAACUUGAAACUAUCAAACACCUCUUUCUCGAUUGUCCUUUAGCAAAAAUACUUUAAAGAUCCAUUCACAUAGCCUUUAAUAUCACACCUCCAACUAGCAUUCGCAUGAUGUUUGGGAAGUGGCUAAACGGGGUAGACAUUGUUAUGGCAAAGAAUAUUCGCAUAGGAGUCUGUGCGUUACUUUGGGCUAUUUGGAAUGGAAGAAAUGAUAUGGUCUUUAACAGACAAAAUCGCACAAAUUUCUUGCAGGUUCUGUACAUGCCAACGUCCUUGAUCCGUACAUGGUAGCUACUCACUCCUGCGGAGAGCAGUGAAUUUUUGGCUACUCGAUCUAUCUGAUGGGAGAUGGUAGCACAGUAUAUCUACAAUCAGUUUGGAUGACGGUCCAAUAGUAGAAUAGUUGGAUAGAUUUCUAGUCCUAUUGUACGCCGGUUGUGGCUGUUUAUCUGUUCCGGAACUUCUUUGUAACCUUGUUUUGAACUGCAAAUAUUUUUGCUUGAACUUUAAAUAAAGAGGACGUAUUCAUCGCUCUGAUGCAGAGGCCAGAGGCAAGCCUCCUUAUCUAAAAAAAUAUCGUGGGUUUGAUGCGAGGUAAAUUGGAAAAUUUGUGCAAUUUGACAAUGAUACAGUUUGACGGCAACAACUUAGGAUAGAGCAUAAGGGAGUUCAUGGGGCUCUUGCAAAAGUGCUCAUGGAAUACACUGCAAGAAUUCUCAAUGCAUGAUGCAAAUAUGAUCGGUAAUCUUCCCAUCUUGAUUGGGAACAGGACCAAUCUCAGUGUUCUUCAAGCAUCUGAAAACAUGUUAACUACUCCCUCCGUUCCUAAAUAUAAGUCUUUCUAGAGGUUUCACUAAUGGACUACAUACGGAUGUAUAUAGACAUAUUUUAAAGUAUAGAUUCACUCAUUUUACUCCGCAUGUAGACACUUAUUGAAAUAUCUUAAAAGACUUAUAUUUAGGUACGGAGGAAGUAGCACUCUACCUAUAGGAGUUGGAGCACUCAGCAAUUUGAAAACACUUGACCUCGGUGACAAUAACUUGAGCGGUAUGCUCUUGAAAGAACAUUUUGCAAGUUUGGAGAACUUAAAAUGUUUGGACCUCAGCUACAUCAACUUCAGUGGUGUAUUCUUCAAGGAAAAUUUUGCAGGUUUAAGUAAUUUACACCAUUUCCACGUCAGCUAUAACAACUUCAGUGAUUUGCUCUUGAAAGAACACUCCACAAGUUUACGUAAUUAAAAGCAUUUGGACCUCAACCAUAAUAAAUUAAAUAGUGUGCUUGUGGAGGAGCAUUUUGCAAGACUUUUUAAACUAAAGUAUAUGGACUUUUCGUACUCUUUGAGGUUAGCUUUCAACCAUAAAUGGGUUCAUCAAUUCAGAUUGAAGGUCGCGAGAUUCCGGUCAUGCAAACUAGCUAGGCCCUAGUUUUCCAGAGUGGCUAAAAUGGCAAUCUCACAUUGAUGGUCUUGUUCUUGCUAAUGCACAUUUGGGUGAUGUUAUUCCUGAUUAGUUUUGCGCAUUCCUGCAAGCACCAGGAAACAAAUUGCACGGCUCAUUACCGGCAAAACUACAACACAUGUUGGCUCGGUAUAUACUUCUUGGUUCCAAUAAGGUUACAUGUCAAGUAGCACAGUUGCCCGUAACUAUAUCCUGACUCGACCUAUCAUCAAACUCUUCUUGUGGGUCAUUGCCAUCACAGCUAAAUGCUCUAUUACUCAAAGAUUUGUUGCUUGCAUCAAUUCAAGGGCACUAUCCCGCAGUCUAUAUGCCAAUUGGCUACACUAAAAGGAUUGUACAUAUCAGGAAACCAUUUAACACGAGAUAUUAUUGAGUGAUGGAAGGAAUCUGAUUCAAACUCUGCAAAUCGAUUUGGUUUGGGUUUUGAGAUGUUCAGGUUAGCCCUAAAUAACAACAACCUCACUGGUGAAUUCCCUAAAUUUAUUCAAAUGUCAUCAGGCUUGAUGUUCCUUGAUCUUUCUAACAAUAGGUUAUUUGGAGUAUUGCCAUAAUGGUUGACAGAAAAAUAAACCACAAUUGAUGAUAUUUAGAGUGAGAUCAAAUAUGUUCAAUGGUCAUAUCCCUAAGAGUCCCACUUCCCUUCAGGGUCUUCAUUAUUUGGACAUAGCACAUACCAACAUAUCAGGAAGAACCGAAGAAUACCAUGGUCUUUGUCAAACUUGAAGGCAAAUGAAGGCAGUGGUGUCACAUGACACGAAGGAUUACUACUAUGAAGAGAGCAUCCCAGCAAUUAUGAAGGAUCAAAAGCAUGACUACACCUUUGCGGUUUACAAUAUACUGGUAAUUCUUGAUUUGUCAAGUAAUAGCUUGGUGCUGUAUGCAUCUCUCGAUGCAGAGGCCGGGGCGAGGCCUCCUUUUCUAAAAAAAGUAAUAGUUUGGUGGGACAGGUUCCAAAGGAGACAAGUCUACUCACUGGGCUUACCAAUCUGAACUUGUCAAAUAAUCAACUCAUAGUACUUAUUUGCACCACAGAGAAACAUGGAGUCCUACGAUACAGCACAAAAGUGCAUUUACAAGGGUCUCUCACGCGAUACUAGCCUUCUUAUCAAGGCCAUUAUGGUUGACCACAGUCGUUUCCUUGAAUUUCUAUGCCUUUCGUGCCUCUCCAAAAAGCGGCUUGCAAUGUCCGUAAACCGCCGGGGGUCCUUGUGGUGACACCAAUUGUAGUACAAGGCUGUGGUGAGAAUCCAGGUUAUCGUGAUGAACUCAGUGCUGCUGCUGAGCUGCCUGGCAUGUGAGUCAUUGCUGCAGUGGCUGGCGGCGUAGCACAACAUCUCCACCCACACCCGUGCGAUGAGUCGCAACACCCUCUCAACACCGCGACGAUUGUUGCACCGAUUCAGCACUUUAUAUGCAAGUUGUACUUCUGGUUGAUUGUCGUAUGGUCCUUGCUGCCCUCGCCGGUUAUCCAUAAACCCAUGGAAGUUGGAGCAAAAGCUAUCGUACUGGCUUCGGCGAACAGGGCUUGGCAACAAGUGAGGCCGCUCCACAAGAAGGAACACCAUGUAUCUUGACAGUGUGCGGAUGGUUUUGACGAGGCUCUUUUGCCGUCUCCUCUCUUCACGGGUCAUGUCGGGUCUAGUCGGCUUAUCCAAAUUGCAUUUCCAGAGAAAGGCGUCGGUGGCAUAGUGCCAAGCGAGUAUGCUGCCGUCAAAACCAGCCUGGUCCAAUCCGGCCACACUGGCGUAUAAUGAACCGCCAGCACCAUCCUUGCCCCAUCCGCCUAGCACGAGCUGUCCAAGGCCACUCUGGGUGCGGUUGUGGUUCUUUUUUACAUAGUCUUGAACCAUAUGCUCUAUGUGGGACACCACCAUGUCCUCCACAUCGCGUGACAUAAUGACAGAGCCGAAGAAACGCAGCCUGAUCCACCGUUGCUCAAGCCGCAAACAGUCCAUCAACAAGUAGCAUGUGCUCCUCUUGCGAUAGCUGUGCAGCUCAAAAAUGUCAUGCUGCCCGAUGGAGGCCGGCCACUUCCUGCAUCCCUCUGCUUCCUUGGCACCCCGGCGGACACGCAACACGGCCUCGUGUAGUUGUAUGAAGACGGAACACGAUGAAGCUCUUAACGAGGCACAUGUCCAUGUAGACAAUAUGGUCCUCAGCAGGGAUACAACCUCCAAGACGAAUGCCCCACCCAACAAGGUGUAGGUGACGACCAUGUCCCGCCUGCUGUAACCUCUGCCACCACCCAUAGCGGAACUGUGCUCACGGAAGAGGCAGAACGCCACGACGGUGGCGGCAAUGGAGGCAGUACGAGACAGGCAUCCGUACCAAGCUCCAAUCACCAGGGCCUUGGUGUAGAGAAUGUCCCGCAUCAGAGAGAGCUGCAUCCCAACCAGCUGUGUCAACAUGCUGCGCCCAGCUUUAGGAUUGGUACCACCAUGAUACGCCGCUAUGGCUCUGGUCUGGAACAGGGACGGCCAGACCCUGUAGUCGACCAACUGACCCAUGCAGAUAUGGAGAAGGUCGUGGGCUCCCUGCAGGACCUCCUCCGGGUCAUCCGGAGAAGCCAUGUCUUGGUACGGCUUGUCACGUUCCGGUACCGGCACCUCAAAGCCGUCGAGGAACUUCCUGAUGCUGUCAAGGCCAGAGGACUUGAGGGCGUAUAUCCUCUCCCCGUACUUGACGACGCCCACCAUGAACAUCAGCAGUGACGCGGCGAGUAAGGCCCCGCGACCGACGUACUUGUACAGCACGUAGGCCGCCCCGGCGGCCUGCACCACCAGGGUUAGCAAGUGCCGCAGCCAGAGAUCGUUGUCCUCCAUGGCGUAGGCGGUGAUGGUGUCCUGUCCGCCGAGGUGCACCAGCAGUAAGGACGCCCAGAACGCCAUGAGCUGCUGCUGCUCGCGUGGCUUGCAGCUCAGCGCCAUGUGCCCCAACACGUAGAUCGCCACCGAGUCGGCCAGCAGGUAUAGCAGCCACAUGAUGCCAUUCAGCGCGGCAGACAGUCGAGCCCAGCGGGAUGCACGCCGGCGCCACUCGGUGAAGACGAGCAGGAGCACUUGCAGCAGUAAGCUUGAAAGCAGCAGGAUCUGCACCUCCCAUCCUCCCAACUGUUCUGCCAAUCCCCCCAUCGAUCGGUUACUGACCAUGCAAAAAAAAAAACACCAAUCAGUUAGGACUUAGGAUGCAGUUCAUGUUUCUCUCGAUAUGAACUCAAAAAAUUACAAAAACUGAAGAGAAAAAUUCAUCUUAAUUAGCUUAGAACCUUGAGGACCCAACAUAUAUCUGAUUUGGAACGUACCUCUUGGCCAUCAGCGUCGGCACUGGUUGGGGAAUUUCUCCCCUUGGCGUAUGGAGGAGCUAGCCCACCGAGAAUCUAAGGGGAAUUAUUGGUGGGGAGUAAAGGGAGUUAGACGAGAGCGGAGUGUUAUCGCAUAAGAGCAGCAGGAUCACACAUAUAUAAGCAAUAAUCAUGCAUGAAAAUUAAUGCACAUAAUCGAGUGAACAAAGAUGUGACAAGUAGCAGCUUCAAUACCAUAUUCCUCUUAUAUUAUUUUAUUACAAGAAGACAAGACAGGAUUCAAACUUGAAGUAAGCCGAGGAGAAAGUAAGCACAGAAGAAGAAAGAGAUCCCUGUCAAAAAAGGAAGAAGAAAGAGAUGUGCUUUUGUACAUCACCCUCGUAAACUUUUGAAAACUAUAUUUUCAUCCAUCCAUAUAAAAUAGUACUCCCUCUAUCCCAAAAUAAGUGACUCAACUUUAUACAAAGUUAAUACAAAACCGAGUCACGGAGGGAGUAAAAGAUUAAGCCACCCCCGUGUCCCCAUCGUCGCUCCCAGGGCAAGAAACCAUGUCGACAUCGGCUCCUCCCCACCGUGAGACGACAAAUCUGUAGUUUGACUGUGUGGCACACACCACCGACACACCGAAAGGCCCUCAAGUCCAUCACGUUGCUCGUUCCCUGGAUGAUAUGGAAACAUAGGAACGUAUGCGUCUUCGGCAAUGCGACACCACCAUUGAAUAGCUAGUAGAUAGGAUCAAAGACGUGUUGGGCAAAGGCUGGCCCCAGAGACUUAGGGUUGUUCUUCCAACAUCCUAGAACAUCAAUUGAUCGGACUCAAGACACUGUAAAGCUCACCUCCUCAGAGGACCAUUCUAUAUUUUCAAUGAAAUGAAACACAAAGGUCCUUUGCGUUUUCUUGAAAAAAUGAAAAAAUGUCUGACCGUGCGUGAUCUGCGCCUAGCGGAGUGAACAUAAGCAUUAAUGCGGCCCUACAAUCACAUUAAUGUGUAACUCGUCGGAUCUACUAUGUUUGUACUUAUGUCUUCAUGCCUGAGAGUUCAUAUUGGCAAUUCAGUAGUACUGAAUUUUUAACAACUAUGAUCAGAUUAUGGGGUAAUGGUUACGACAGCUGAUUCGAAAGGAAUCUUUUGAAAGAGAGAGGUUUCCAAUAAUAUGGCUAUUAUCAACUACAAGAAAAAUAUCAUGUCAACGUAUCUACAAAGUUCCGAACUUCAGGGAUCGACUAUCCUUUUCCUUUUCAGAUAGUUUCUUUUCUUUUCUCUCCAGGAGAGCACAAAUUACUGUGGACUAUGGACAUAUAGAGGAUAGAUUACAAGAAUGGAAACAGAAAAUGGUGAGGUACGAAAAACAAUUGUCCAGCUACAAGCUUACAACAUAACAAAUUAUGCUGAUAAACAUGUUACAUGCUGUGUAAAUAUUGUAUUAUCGAGUGCUCAUAUUCUUUGCAGAUGCAAAUGCAUUAGCAUAAUUGUCCAGUAUCCUCCCUUAAUUCUCAACAUUUGACAAAACAAACCGACAAGGUGAUGUCAGCACAUGUUCUAUUGCCAUCAUAUGGAAAGUUAUAGACACUGACGCAAAAAAGGAAGCAGAGAACUUCUCAAUGUUUCCAAACAUCUACUUGAUGUAGCCCUAGUCUUCACAACAGAGGCAGCAAAAUAUAUAGUGAAAACAUUUUAUAACUUUAAGAUGUCCUCAGCACAGAUAGUAAUUACCUUCUCCUGAGAAGCACUUCAGCAGCUUCUUGGCCACUGAAUAUCUCCUUCAGACUUCCUCCAAAUAAUGUCCCCUUUCUGCAGUGGCAAGGAAGAAGAAAUGUAGUUUCAGUUUAUGGUUCCCAUGCUGUAAAAGCAACACUAUCGCAAAGAGCAAGCUCACGCGAGAUAUCUACAACCAGUUUGAUUGGCGAGCCAGUAAUAGGAUAGGUGGAUAGUCAUCGCAUUUUAUUUUCGCCGGUUGUGGCUUUAUUUUAUUUCCUUUGCAUUUGUUCAGCUCGGUGCGAGCCUAUUUUGGAUCUAAGGCAUUUGUUGCAUGAUUUUUUUUUUGCGUAAUAAAGAGGUUGCAUGCAUCAUCAUGAUGCAAAGGCCGGGAGUGUUCCUCCUUUUCUAAAAAAAAUGUGUGGGGUGAUGUUCAUUACUAUUUGAUGCACUGGGUGCUAAUGAGUCUUCUACAUGUGAAAUGAUGUUAGUUACUGUUUUGGUGUUAUAUAUACAGGACAAGGACAGAUCCAAGGUUGAGUAUAGGGUGUGGAACGCCUUCAGCUCUAAGCUGGCCAUUACCGUGCUCAGCAGUGUUGACAACAUCUGCAUUAUAAGUAAUUUUGUGCAUUAGCUUGUGUUCUAAAUGGUCCGCAAACCAUGCAUGUCAACGUUGCAAUGUAAGUUAGAUACAUUAUUGUCAUAGACUUAUAGUAGUUGAUGAUGCGCUUUUGUCCUAGGCUCCUGGUAAUCGUGUGUGUAUCUUGGUGCUGCCCCUGAAACAAUCAUGUCUCACAUGUCUGAUACUUUGAUAUUGUUAGACCAGUGAGAUCUUACCACAACUUCCUUUUUUUUUGUACCAUUCAGAUCGAGUGGUGUUUCUCGAUAGUGUCUUCCAUCUCUUCAUUCGGUUGGGAACCUGAAAUUGCAGUUUCUUGAUUUUUGCUUUUUGCAUUCCCGACACGUGGUGAUUUUCUUCCUCAAAUUGCACGCCCAUCAGGAUACAUUCCACCAGCAUCUAAGUAAAAGUCUCUGCUCGAUUCUCGCAGAUGGAUUCCACUUUUAGUGUUCUUUCCAUUUUGCGGAGACAGGGGGAUUUCAGAAUAUCUUUGUACCAUUGAAGCGAUAGCUGGAACUGAAGCACCUCCUUCUCCAUCUGCACUGGAUUAGCUCCUCUACCUACACUAAAUAACUUGGUCUUUCAUCAAGGUGGUGGGAUGUGUAUGAGGAAGCGAUGACACUGCUGAGCAAAUUUGAGGAUGUAGAUGUUUGCAAGAUCUGGUGAGAGCAAUAAAGUUGCCCAUAUAGUGGCUAGUCAUGCUACAAAUUUUGGGGAUGCUCAUCCUUCUGGUAGGAGAUGCUCGUCCUUCAGCACGUCUUGUUAUUUCGACCCAGUGAUCAUCUAUCAAGGUCUCACUUCCGCUUAAAAAAACUUGAUGUUUCAUGGCCUUAACAUUUUUAAAAAAAAGGAGGAUUGCCUCCGGCCUCUGCAUUAUGAUGAUGCAUGCAACCAUUUUAUUAAAGUGUAAGAUUCCAAACAAGUGCAAUAUCCAGCAAGAGCUUGAAAGAACUCAUAAUAAAAAAAACUAAGAUUACAUGCCACAUCUGGCAAGAUGAAAAUUACCUACGGUGACUAAACACCUAGCCUAGUGUGCCGCCAUCCAAAUCGGUUGAAAAUAGUCCGUGCUGCCAUCUCCCAUCGGGUGCACCCAGUAUCCAAAAGCUCUCUGGACUCCGCAGGUGUGUGUGUAACAACCACGUAUAAAUCCAUGUUGUAGCUCUGUAGAUGAUCUGCAAAAGAUUGGUGAAGUUCUUCCUAUUAAAAAUUAUAUCAUUCCUGCAAUUUCAUAUAGCCCAAAGCAUGGCACAUGUUCCUAUUCGAAUUUGUCUAGCAAUGGUAACAUCUGCUCCAUUAAGCCAUGUCCCAAAUAAUGUGUUCAUACUUGUUGGAGGAUUUAUAAUGAAAGCUAUAUGAAUAGUCUGUCAUAGAAGCGUAGCUAAAGGGCAUUCAAGAAAGAGGUGUUUAAUAGUCUUAUUGUGGUCGCAGAAGCAACAUCUAGAGUUACCCACCGAUCUUCGUUUAACCAAGUUAUCUCUAGUGAGUAUCACACCCUUGUGCACAAACCACAUAAAGAUCUUGAUCUUGAGUGGUAACUUUAUUUUCCAAAUAUGUGGAGAGGUAGGUAAUAUUCUGCCAUUAAUAAGGUUUGUAUACAUUGACUUCAGAGUGAAGCUACUGCUUGUAGUUAACUUUCAAUGAAUUGUAUCUGGUUGGUCUGAUAGUUGAACAUCCAUCAACCUACGAACCAAAUGGAGCCACGCACUCCAUGGUUCUCCUACUAGAGAUCUCCUAAAUUGAAUAUUAAGAGAGACCGACUGUAGAAUCGUAGCAACGUACGCCUCCUUGUGUUGCACAAUGUUAUACAAGGCCGGGUAUUGUGUAGCUAGGGGCGUCUCUCCUAACCACGUGUCUUCCCAAAACCUGGUUGUGUUACCGUUCCCAAUGUGAAACUUGACCCUAUGGAAAAAAGCUUCCUUAGCCUUCAUAUAUCCUUUCCAGAAUGGUGAGUCAGAAGGUUUCACAGUAACUUGGGCCAAGGUUUUGGAUUGUAGGUACUUGUUAUGUAAUAUUUGUACCAUGUACCUUCCAUCUCCACCGAUAGUCUAUAAACCCACUUGCUCAGUAAACAUUUAUUCUUAAUUUUCAGAUUUUCAAUUCCCAACACACCUUGGUCUUUGGGCCUGCAUAUCAUGUCCCAUUUAGCUAGUAUGUACUUUGUCUUACUUUCAUCGCUUUGCGAGAAGAAUCCUGAUCAAUAGAAAUUAAGUCUUUUCCACACCCCCACCGGUACUUCAAAGAAUGAUAAUAGAAAUAUCGACAGACUUGUCAACAAUGAGUUUAUAAGCACUAGCCGACCCCCGUAAGACAUAAGUUUUCCUUUCCAACAACUUAGUCAUUUCUCAAAUCUAUCUUCUAUGAACUUCCAUUCCUUAUUUAUUAAUCUUUGGUGAUGAAUAGGGAUACCCAAGUAGCUAAAUGGAAGAGAGCCCAUCUCACACCCGAAUAGUUGCUUGUAAGCAUCUUAUUCUUCUUUGGAACUUCCAAAGCAGAACAAUUUACUCUUUUUGAAAUUAAUCUUGAGUCCCGAUAGUUGUUCAAAUAAACACAAAACCAGCUUCAUAUUUCUGGCAUUAGCAAGAUCAUGUUCCAUGAAAAUGAUCGUGUCAUUCGCAUAUUGUAGAAUGGACACCCCUCCCUCUACGAGAUGCUGAACCAACCCUCGUACUAGAUCGCUCUCCUUAGCACAUCGUAUGAGUACUGACAGCAUAUCAGUAACUAUGUUGAAAAGGCGGUGAUACAUCCAAAAUGCAUCACUAUUUUGUAUCAUAAUCUAUCUCUAUUCAUUGAUAUAUUUCACAAUAUGAUGAUGUACUUAUAGUGUUUUGGCUUAUUUUAUACAGUUUACAACUUUCCGGUGCCGAAACAGCACACGCAGGAUUCAGAGGAGAAAAUAGCACGAAGAGUUACCAUAUGAGAACAUCUCCAACUGCGCUGAAAUUUUGAGGGAAGAAGUUUCCGAACAAAUCACGAAAACUGGCCGAAGGAGGGCCGGAGGGGCGUCACCGAGGCGACUUCCUGGCACGGGCCCCCUAGGCCGUGCCAGGUGGCCGCCUGGGUGGUGGGUCCCGCCUCUGGCGCUCUCCUUUGGCCUAUAUGUCCCUCCUGAUCUAAAAGUUACGGGGGGCGGAGAGUUUUCGUGAUUGCGCCGCCCCUCCGCGGUGGAAACCUACAGAGAAGAAAAGACCUUUCCGGCGGGCAGAUUCUGCCGGGGAGAACUCCUUCCGCAAGGGGAGAUCGUCGUCAUCAUCAUCACAAUUGUCACGGGUAUCAUCGAGAUCAUCAUCACCGCACCAGCGCCAUCUCCAUCUUCACCCAUCUCACCUUACCAUUGCAAUUGGAGUUGUACCUUGCACUAUUCAUCCCCUCUACUCUACCGGUGUUGAUUACACUUUUGUGGUGAAUGCUAUUGAGUUUUGGUGGAGAAUUAUUAUUAUGACCAAAUUGUUUAUCAUAUUCAUAACACCCCUGAUCAUGAUCUCUUUUAUGUCUUGUGAGUAGUUCCUUUAGUUCUCGAGGACAUGGGAAAAGUCUAGAUGUUAGUAGUCAUAUGAUGUUGAAGUAAUAUGUGUUAAGUUAUGGUGUUAUUCUUCUAGUGGUGUCAUGUGAAUGUCGACUACAUAACACUUUGCCUUUUUAAGGACCUAGGAGAAUGCAUCGUGUAUAAAGAAUGCUUAUGGUGAGUUGUCGGAGUGACAAAAACCUGAACCCCAGUUCGCAUACUUUUGCAUGAGGGAGUAUUGGAUCCUAAAGCUUAGUCUUAUGGUUAGACUUUGCCAUAAUUUCUCUCUUGUAUUUGCGGACGGUUGCAAGAGGGAUUAAUCAUAAGAGUGUACUUGUCUUAGCCUAGAUGGUGCACUAGUUAAGAUCCACCCACAUAAUACUUAUCAAUACAAAACAUGCUACUAUGAGAAUAUGGCGAAAGCACUUGACUAUCUCUUAGUCUUUAUAAGUUCAUUCCACCGGAUUAUCCUUUGCAUUCAAAAGGAUUGGGCCACUUGCUGCACCUCAGCACCAUUUACUUUUAUUGCAUUUAUUUUUGUUUGCUUAUACCCGAAAACCCAUAAAAAGUUACCUUUCAGUACUUGCAGUUAUUCCUUGCUUAAGAUCACUUGUCAGUACCUUCUGCUCCUCGUUGGGUUCGACACUCCCAUUUAAUGUCUUGCUCUCUGAGUAAAGCGUGAAGCUUCUCCUCAGCCUCAUUCCUUGUCCUCUGAUCAAGAUUAUUGAGAGUUGUUGCCUCAGCUUUCAAUUCUAACUCAUUAAUUUGUUGUAUCAGCCUUAAUGUUUCCAUUUUAUAAAUUCCACUUUGGUUCUUAUCCCAACCCCUCAAGAACUGUCGUAGGUGUCUAAUUUUGUUUUGCCAUUUGUCCAUACUAGAAGUUCCUCCAUUCUCUUUGGCCCAUUCAUCCUCUAUUAACCCUAGAAAUCCUUCCCUCUUGAACCACCCUAAUUCGAAAGAGAAGACAUUUCUAUUACCCACAUGUGAAGACAUUUUUAUUAUCAUGGCCUUAACAUGCCACAACUGCACUGCAUCUGGCUCACAAGUUCCACGUUUCAGUAAAUGAAAUACCAUCUCUUAGCAAUAUAAGUUCAGGAUGGCGUAAUUGGGUAAGCCCGUCGUUGACGCGUUAAAAAACAUAUGCUUGCUGAUUUUGUUCUACAUUCCUUCCUUGUGUUAUUAUUUCCAUCUAGCAGCACGGAGGAAAAUGCUAUGACGUUCACUAAUGAACACACAAACACACAAUAUGCAAACUACCGUAUUCCUAAUCUUUAGAGGAGAAAAUGAAACAAGGAGAGCCAAAUCUUGUCCUCCUAAAGUCCUAAUUACGGAUGACUUACGUGUUUGUCAACCAAAUCCUCCACAUGGUCGACUGUACAAAUCUUUAUAAAUUUCAGGCAUAACUUAACUAGAAGAAAAGUAUUCAUGCAUUGCAAGACCAUGAUGUGGACCGAGAAUGUACCGCUUCUCUCUAUUAUGUAUAAGAAGUGUAACUAGAGACUAGUGGACCAAACUCAGACAUUUGGCGGGCACGCCCUGGUUAGCUGGAAGACGAUCUGUCGCCCCAAGUAUCUGGGUGGUCUCGGGAUUAUGGAUCUUGAGAGAUUUGGUCGGGCGCUUCGUCUCCGCUGGCCAUGGCUUCAGUGGACGGACCCCUGACAAGCCUUGGAUGGGUUCUCAGCUGCCGUGCGACCAGGCUGACGUGAACCUUUUUCGUGCCUGCACUACCAUAACGUUGGGCAAUGGGAAAAGGCACUUUCUGUCAUGACAACUGGAGUGGUAAAGGGCCCCUCAAGCUUAUCUCCCCUCAACUGUUCAAGAUAGCCUCCAGGAAGAACAGAACAGUGCACGAAGACUUAUCAAACGAGAGUUGGAUCAGGGUGGUCUCUAGCCUUCGGUCCAUACAUCAGCUGGGGAAUUCGUGUGCGUUUGGGGUUGGAUCAGCCAAACCACCCUGUUGCCGGCCAUUGAGGAUCGCAUUUCUUGGAACCUGACUGCCAACGGGGCCUACUCCACCGCGUCGGCAUAUGGGGCGCAAUUCUAUGCCUCUCAUCCUAGGUUUGCCCCCACCAAGGUCUGGUCCGCUCAUGCUGAGCCCAAGUGCAAAUUCUUCGCCUGGGUGGCCCUUCACGGGAGGAUUUUGACGGCGGACAGGCUGGCAUUGCGGGCUGGCCGCAUUACCCCAGAUGCGUGCUCAGCUGCUCUGCCUUCGGGAGCCAGAAACUGCAAGCCACCUCUACAAGGACUGUCCCUUUACACUCGUGGUAUGGAACCAAGUGCACACAUGGACCGACGAGGGCUUGCCGAUUUCAGGUUUCUUACCUGAGCCCAGAAGCGUGUCAGAUUGGUGGGACGCCUUUCUUGCAAACCAAUCAAAGCAGGUGCGCCGACGGCGCAGCGGGAGGAUCAUCUACACCCUAUGGUCAGUAUGGAAGGAGAGAAACAGGCGUGUUUUCACCGGUAUUCGUAUGACACACACAGAGGUUGCUAUGCUGGCUUUGGAGGCAAUUAAACAACGCGAGCUGGCAUUUGUUGGGGCCAUGCCAACCGAGGGGUCGGCUAAUUUAGUUUUUUUGUGGCAGUGCCAUGUUCGCGUUUUUGCCGCGUUUCCUAAAAACAUGCGCCCUCUGUAUAUCGCGUUUCCCACUUUCCUUCUAUAUUGAAAACGCAGUGCUCCUGUCGAUUCCUAAAAAAAAACUUUAUUGAUGAUAACUUCCCUCAUCUCCCCUAAUAAUAAGUCGUCCGUCGCUGGCGGUUUUGCAAAAACACCCCUCUGUUUUUUCAUAAUCAACCCGCGGUCCUUCAUUAAGUGGAAAAAAUGUUUCGUUUUUUCAAAAAAAAACUGCAUCGGGGCGGGCCAAGGCAGCAGCCAGCCACCGACUCCUCCCGAUCCCCUGAUCUGCUCACCGCACCGCCGCCCCGCUCUUCCCGCCGGUCGCCGCCUCGCUCCUCCCGCCGGUCGCCGGCCCCGAUCCACGCCGGAUCCCGCCGCCGGCGAGCUUCCGAAGCCUUCGCCCCCAGCCCUGCCUCCUCUGUAGCUCCGCCCAGAUCCGUAGCGCAGGCGGAGCAUCUGGCGGUGGAGGAGAUUCUCACUGAUGAGGGUCACCGGCGUCGAGGUGGGUCUCUCCCGGCCAUGUCUCAGGGGGAGGAGAGAGAGAGGGACUGUCGUGCCAUGCCAUGAUGGCCGGUGUGACAUCAUCGUAGGCGGUUAAAGGGAGGACACGGCUAGCUCCUCCGAAAAGAAGCUGACGGCUCUGCUUUGCGACCUCUCUCUUUCUUCCCUUUCUUUCUUUCCUUCCUUCCUUCCUUCGGUGGCCGCUUUUCGGUCCGUCUUUUCUCCGUCGGCUUUGGGGUGGGGGGAAAGGAAUGAUGCGAGGUUCCGUCCAUGCCUGCCUAGAUGUUGUGCCCGCUCCUCUUUAGUAGUAGUAGUAGUACUACUACUACUGCCUGCGGUUUGAGCUGCGGUGGCGGGGAAAGGGCGGGGUGAAGGGAGGUCCUCCUCCUGGCGAUUCGCUCGGUGCCUCUGAUAGUCCUGAGAUUUUGAGGCGAUUCUGCUCUCGUUGUGCUCCGUGGUCUCCGGGGAGGUGCUGAUUUGGUGGAGGAUUGGGGGGCGUCUGCGCGUGGCCGGAGCCGAGGAGGAUUGCGAGCAGGAGAGGUAUGUGUUACGCACUUACGCUCCUGAUUAUCUUCAUUUUGCUGCUUGUUAACCUCAAAUUGGUCUCCCACAGUCGCCAACCACGGAAGCUUUUAGGUCGAUUUGGUAGUUUCUGAUUUGGCUACUUUGCUCCAAUUUGCUCAAGAUUGAGCAAAUAUGUAGCCAGGCUCUAGAAAUGUCUGGACUCUGUCCGGUAGUCCAUGUGUGUUUACAGGGCAGUAUGUUUCAUCAUGAAUCUUCACAACAUUUGCUGUCUGGGCUUCAGAGGUCUGUCCGAAUUCAUACAAGUUUUGAAAUGAAAAAACAGAGAGAUCUACUCCGUAGGUGUGAAUUAUUAACUAGGAGGUGUACAUAAAGAAGGCACUGUAAACUAUCUUGGUGAAUUUGUUCCAAUUUGCUCAAGAUUGAGUAGUCAGGUUCUAGAAAUGUCUCGAGUUGGUUUGGUAGUUUGAUUAUGAAAUUUUCGAUAAUUUGCUGCUGGUUCAAAUUUCUUAUUGGGCUUGAGAGAUGGGUCGGAAGUUUGUACCACUUUCGAAAGGAAGAAGAAAGAGAGAUCUAGGUUGUGAAGUAUGGACUAGGAGGUGUCCUCAGACUGCACAUAGAGAAUCUACUGUAAACUGUUUUCUCUUUACUUUUUGAUGAAAUCUUCUCAUCUUUACUUGCAGAGCAAAAUAUUCAUACUAUUAGUUCCAGCUUCAGUUCAUCACUCUAACUCCUGUCUGCUACUUUCUGUCAGGUGUCUAGGUGUAUGAAUUCAUUUCCUAAAAGAUACAGUGUGGCCAUUGCAGUAGAAGUUGGCUCAAGUUAUUGUUGUUUGUCUCAGGGUAGAAAUAAGGAGGUUUGCAGUUUGAUCCUACAGUACCGUUAUUAAGUUACUAUGUGACGUACUUUUAUCAUACGAAUGAAUCAGUCAAUUGAUAUCAUACCAUUUUGAAGCAAACUCUUCUGCGUUCGAUAUGAUAGCAAACUUGCUCUUUCUGUACUGUGUGAUACAUUGUGAAUAUAUGUUAUCUUGGUAUCCGUCAGUAGCAUUUUGCAUCACCAUCUUGGCACACUGCAAUGGGGAUAUUUAAACCAGUACAGUUCAAAAUUGUAGUUAAUCUACAUUUUUGAAAUGGUGAAUAUGGCAGCCCAUAUUUCUCAUACAUGAAGAGCACCAGGUGAACUGUAGUCCUACGAUUAAAUUAAUGAAAUGAGAGUCUUGGCCUGUGUUGGCCUGAAGCUUUUGCUUCUUCAUUCAUAUGAUUCAUCAAGGUGUCAAGUGAAUGUCCAGUCUUCUUGCCUAUUUGCUUUUCAGGUGUUAGGCAUUUUGUCCUGAAUAUAACAAGGUCACUAUCGUUGAAUUAAACAACUGACAUCAUAUAGAUGUGACGCAAAGCCAGUGUGCAUCUGGCAAAGACAAGGGAGUGUCCUACAUGAUCCACACAAAAUAGGCUUCAGGACAAAGCAUUGUAAGUAUUGUAUUUGCUUCUGCUUGUUUGCUACGUUUGACAAGUUGCUGGCAGAAGGGAUGGUUAUCUAUCUUCAGGGCUUCAGCAACCAAAAGUACAUUAUAUAGUCUAUAGUUCUGCUCUGGUUAGCUUUGGGUGCUGAGACAAUGAUCUUAAAUUAUUCCAGUUCAGGGCAUCCUUCGUUUGUUAGUAUGGUGCUCAAUGACUUAUAACCUGCACCAUGAAUUCAUAUGUAGUGUAUAUAUAUCUUCAGGCUUCAGCAGCCAAAAGUCUAUUAUAUAGUCUAAAAUUCUACUCUGAUUAGCUUUGAGUGCUGAGACAAUGAUCUUAAAAUAUUCCACUUCAGGCUAUCCUUCGUUUGUAAGUAUGGUGCUCAUUGACUUGUAACCUGCGCCAUGAAUUCAUAUGCAAUGUAAUUCAAGGCUGUUUUGACCAUCUCAUGGUUGCUAACUUGCUGAGUUAAUAAAUUCCAGUUUCCUAUGUAUUUGGAGAGAAAACAUUGCUUGUUGGUCUGAGUCAUUCAUGUACGAUAUGCUUAGAAUUUUUUAGAUGAACGAUGGAUAAGCAAAACAAUGGUAGUCCUUCAACUGAUCGUUGUUCUUAAAAUUUCUUAUUAUGCACAAAUAUUUACCUUUUAAUCCAAACUCAAAAUGCCAAUUGAGACAAGAUCCUUCGGUCAGCUAGAAUAUUUCUCUACUAUGUUCGACUAUGAUAGGAAACUUGUCAAUGGAGAUAUUUAAACCACUACAGUUCUGAAUUGUAGUUAAUCUACAUAGUUGAAAUGGCGAAUAUGUUAGCCCAUAUUUCUCAUACAUGAAGAGCAUGAGUUGAACUGUAGUCCUGGGAUUAAAUGAAUAAAAUGGGUGUUAGCCUAUGUAGGCCUGAAGAUUUCGCUUGUUCAUUCGUAUGAUUCAUCAAGGUUUCCAGUGAACUGUCCAUUACUCUUGCCUAUUUUCUUUUCAGGUAUUAGGCAUGUUGUCCUUUAGUAUAACAAAGUCACUAUCCUUGAAUUAAACAAUUGAUAUCAUAUAGAUGUGACGCAAAGCCAGUAUGUCUCUGACAAAGACAAGAGAGUCUCCUACAUGAUCCACACAAAAUAGGCUUCAGGACAAAGCAUUGUAAGUAUUGUAUUUGCUCUGGUGGCCAGAGGUGGGUCGCCGCCGGGCACGCGCCGCCGCCGGCAUCCACGAUGUAGGAGCCAAGGAAGGGGUGAUGCAUCGUGGCGGGCGUCUGCGCCGCCCGAGCCCAAGAAUGGCCCGAGCCGUCAUGGUGGGUGUGCUUUUGCGUCGCCCGAGCGCAGGAAUGGAGAAUGGCGUUGCUGCGCCUCUCCAUUAAUUACACAUUUAACAUUAUUAUACACAUUUAUUACAAUUAAUGUCGCAUAAUGGCACAACAAGCAGGUUGGAUACUUUUUCUUACCCGAUGCAACACACGGGCAUUUGUACUUGAUCCAAAUAAAUAGUUGGUUGUAAAUGACAUUCAGUUUCUAGCUUACAACGGAAUCUAGACAUGUAUUCUUUAACAAUAUUAUGUGCUUGAUUAUGGUCCUAUGUAUUGGUUGAGAUUGUUAUGUUGUUUACUACCAAUAUUUUUUCUUACCCGAUGCAACGCACGGGCAUUUGUACUAGUAUAUAUAAAUAGUAUAAGGGUUGUGUGUGGGAAAGACGCCUGCUCGGCAAGGGGCCCACGUAACCAGUGGCGAUUUGCAAAUUAGCAACCUCUUCACGGUCCCAAAAGCAUGGAUUGUACAUAAUAAACAUAUGUAAACUAAUCCUGACACUCCCCACACCAUCUGUACCGUUCCUUUGCUUAUUGGGUUGCUUUGACUAUCCACCUCAUUACAAGCUUUUGCCAUAGAUCUAGUGUUAGAAAAGUCAGCAAAAUGACAAAACCAAAGACGUGUACUAGCUUCGCUUCUAGACGUCCAUACAAUGGGAGUGGUCGGUAUUGAAUUGCUUUGCGUGGUUGACUGUUCAAAUCGUUAGAAGUUUCCACCUAACUUCAGUAUUUGAAUAGUAUGCAUAUAGCAUGAUAAGGCCAAGACUUGGACGAGCUUAGCUUCUAGACCAUACAAUGUGGGUGGUCUGUAACUUGCCACUUACUAACUACAGACAUAGCUCUGAUGAAAUUUUCAGAGCUGUUAUUUUCAUUAUUUUUGCUGAUUGCUGAGUGCUGAGUCAUUGUAUUUAAUAUUUAUGUGUAUAACAAACAUAUAACUCGUUCAUUUUUUGGGGUGGAUUAAACUGAUCUUGGGAAUUAUUUACUUCUAAUAUAUCAAAAUUUCUGUAUUUCAGGUAGUGGCAAACAAGGAAGAGUUGCCAACAUUCAGAAAUCUCUGGACCUUAAUGCUAGCUGUGUGAUCUGAGUAUCUGACCCACAAUGUGCAGAUAUUAUUGGUGUUAUUGAGUCAAUCUUGGAUAGAAAUUUCAACUCCAACUUGUCUACCGUGAUGUGCAUGGUUGACUGUCCGAAUCAUGAUAAAUUCUAGCCAUAACUUAGGUAUAGGAAAAGUAUGAAUGGCAAGACCAAGACGUGGCGAUACUCCUCUGUAGUCCAACUUAAAUCUUAUUAACGCGGGAUGUUGGUAUCAUAAAUAUAUAUGACCAUGCAUGAGUUGGUAACAGCAUCAUUUCUGGCACUCGGCUGUGCUCACAUGUCCUCCAAUUGAGGGAGGGAGAGAGAGAGGGAGGGAGAGAGAGAUAAGGCACGGUGAAGAAGAAUACCAUGUCGCAUGUAGCCAGUUUGCUCGCGUCGGCUGUGAUCCCAGUGGUGGCCAAUAAGCUGGGUUCCGUCAUUGGGGAUGAGGUCACGAUGCUGUGCAGCUUCAAGAACGACCUCAAGGAGUUGAAGGACACGUUAGAGUACAUGGAGGCGGCGCUCAAGGAUGCUGAGAGGCGGUCUGUCAUGGAGGAAUUGGUGCGGUUGUGGCUCAAGCGGCUCAAGAACGCUGCCUACGAUAUCUCUUACAUGCUCGAUGAGUUCCAAGCCAAUAGUGAACCAACCUCCAGAAAGGUACAUAUAUGCCGCAUGUCUUCUCUCAAUAAGUUUUUUUCUUUAAUAUUCCUAGCUAGUAUGGUUUUUGUUGCUUUAGUUAACAAUUUGGUUAUUUUAUAGUGUCCGCAAAACCAUGAUCGUCUGAAAUUACUUUCCCAUGUAAGAAACUUGUGCGCCAGUUAAAUUUCAAUGUUUGAAGCUUGAAAUUUGUUGGUGCCCUUCUAAAUUUUCUGAACGAUUGGUGUACAAGAGUGAUUUAUAGCCUACUUAAAUCAGCUCUUGUGUACAAAUCCUGGCCAUGAAACCGGGUGUCCAAGAAUAAAUAAAAACUGAACUAUAAGGGAGUUAUAUCUGUUUUACAUCCGUGCAAAAGUUAUAAGUUAAUUCCAAGUGUGUCGCAAUAUGCAUCUACCAUGCAGCAGUUCUCUGGUAGAGGGGAUCGAAAAUAGUUCAUCUUAUUAAUGCCGUCGGAUGAAGAUGCUCCCAGGUUUUGUAAUAUAUCAUUAUAACUUGUUGAAAUUCCUUCCUAGAUUAUUGGAAAGCUGGACUGUUUUGCUAUUGCACCCAAGGUUACCAUGGCUUAUAAGAUGAAGAACAUGAGAGAUCAGCUGAGGAAGAUCAAAGAGGAUCACGAGAGUUUCAAAUUCACACAUGAUAACUCCAGCCUAAUUAAUAUGUGGCAAUUUCCUGAUCCACGGGAAACAACAUCAGAUGUGACUGAAUCACUCAUCAUAGGGAGAGACAGAGACAGAAUGAAUGUCCUUUCUUUGUUAUCCACAAGCAACAGCAAGGAACAUAUCACAAUUCUUCCUAUUUGUGGGCUUGGAGGAAUAGGAAAGACAACUUUGGCACAACUGGUCUUCAGUGAUGCUCAAUUCAAAGAUUAUGAUCAUCGGGUAUGGGUCUAUGUAUCCCAGGUGUUUGACAUGAAAAAAAUAGGGAACUCCAUAAUUUCUCAAGUAGAAAAAGGAAGCCAGAAUCUAGAUACAAGGCAGUUGAUAAACCAACAUCUUAAACAUCUACUUCAAGACAAGAAGACACUGCUUGUUUUAGAUGACCUAUGGGAGACAGAUAGCACCCAACUGAAUCAACUCAAGCUUAUGUUAAAUGUAAGCUCCAAGAUAAGAGUCUUAGUCACCACACGUAGCAUAGACAUUGCAAGAAAAAUUUGUACUGUUGAACCAGUAAAGCUAGAUCCCUUGGACAAUGACAUGUGCUGGAGAAUAAUCAAGCAAAACAGUGGCUUCGAAUCUAGAGCUGAUAAAGAGCAAAUCGAGCCAGUUGGACAGACAAUUGCAAAGAAAUGUGGAGGUUUGCCAUUAGCAGCUCAAGCACUUGGAUUUUUGCUAUCUGGAAUGAAUCUUAGUGACUGGGAAGCAAUAUGCAAUAGUGAUAUUUGGGAUGAACCAUUUUUUGAUAGUACAGUGUUGCCAUCCUUGAAAUUAAGUUACAAUACUUUGACACCAUAUCUGAGGUUAUGCUUUGCCUAUUGUGGCACCUUUUCUAAAGGUCGCAAUAUAAGUAAAGAUGAUCUCAUCCACCAAUGGAUUGCUCUGGGUUUCAUCCAGUCAUCUACUAACUUUUCGGCCAUACAACUUGGCGAGAAGUAUGUUAGGCAAUUCAUGGGGAUGUCUUUCCUUCAGCAUUCAAAAUUGCACAAGGUAAGUUACUAUGGCAUACCUAUACAGUUAGAAACUUAGAAUAAAGAGUAUUUUUUACCCAAUUAUGAAAUGACAUGGAACAGUUACUGCACAAAAGCAUACAUGGUAUAUUUUUUGACAGUUUGGUACAUUAAUCCAAGUAUAUGUUUUGCCCUUCAUGGCAAAUAAAGCACUCCAGAUAUUAGUGCAUUAGAUCAUGCUCCACACUCUUUCCUCUAAAAAUUGCCCAACUGUGGGGAACCUAUAUAUGGACCCGCGGCAAGAAAAAACAAAAGUAACUCCUUCAUCCAUCCUGUUGUAGUUUACCCUUGCCAAAAGCCAUCCUGUUGUAUUUUGUUUGCCUUAUCAAAUACAGUAAGUAUAUAUAUAGUGUACUUGGCUGAAUAAUCAUUUUCCGUCAAAGAAUGUAACACAUGCAUACAAGAUGGAAGAAUCCAAUUAAGAGUUCGGGAGAUGUGCCAGUAAGUUGCAUUAGAAUACUCUAAAGUUAUGUCAUUCCCUUAGUAAAUACUUCCACGCUUGCAUAUUUGCACCACCAAAAGAGGUGGCACAUGCGGAAAAAUAUAUCAAUUCUGACCACCUGGCCAGCUUGACAUUGAAGAGACUCAUAUUGGUGCAUUAGAUUAUACUCCGUUCCUCUAAAAAUUGUCCAAAGUGUGGGGAACCUAUAUAUGGACCUGACGCAAGAAAAAGAAAAAGAAAACUCCUUCAUUCAUCAUGUUGUAGUUUACUCUCAUCAAAAGCCAUUUGGAUCACUACACAUACAGUUAAUAUAUAGUAUUGUAUUUUGAUUGGCUUAUCGUAUAGAGUUUUUAUAUUUGGCUGAACAAUAAUUUUCCCUAAAAAAUGUAACACAUCCAAAUAGGUAGGUAGAGACGUACAGUGCACGCCUCUACAUAUAAAAAAAGAGAAAAGAUAACGCCCAUACGCCGCCCACACGCAUGGAUCUGCGUCCGUUUUUGGUUUGCACUAACCUUGGCAGAUUUUUUAUGCCAUGUAGGAAGGGGCUAGUGUGUGGGCGUUUAGCAGUUCGCUCACAUACCUGUUUCACGCACGCAGAGUUCGCGGCUGCCAACUCGACGUGUGGUUGAACUGAUGUCGCGCCCACACGCCGCAUACAUGUCAGUUGCCAUGUUUUCCGAGUGUUACAUGUAAACAGAGUAGAACUGUCAUGCCCGCAUGCCUGUCAGUUGUCAUGUCUUCCGAGUUUUACAUGGCAACUGAGUGGAAUUGCCGUGCCCGCAUGCCUAUCAGUUGCCAUGUCUUCCGAGUGUUAUAUGGCAACUGAGUGGAACUGUAGUGCCCACAUGCGUGUCAGUUGCCAUGUCUUCCCAGUGUUAUAUGGCAACUGAGUGGAACUACCGUGCCCGCAUGCCUGUCAGUUGGCAUGUCUUUCCAGUAUUACAUGACAACUGAGUGAAACUGUCACGUGAGGGGCACGUGAGACCGCGGGGUGGCAGGCCGAAUGUGUGGGCCGCGAGGCAGAAGGCCGGACGUGUGGAUGUUAGUUGUUUUGCCCACACGUAUGCAUGUGGAUUGUUUCUCUACACACCAUACGAGACGUGUGGCAAGACUCCUUAACGUCCACACGUUGCCGCCACGUCCAUAAAAUGCAUGGGAAAUGCACAUUGAUGCAUGAAGAAACCCACGCCAUGUCGGCUCCGCCGUCGACACUGCCCUACUCCUCUCUGGUAGCCGCUGACCUCCCCUACCCCGUCCCACACCUCCACCGUCUGUCAUCCUUCUCUCCGGCCGCCAAGCGCCCUCGGUCACUGUCUGCACCACCGCAUGGUCCUCCGUGGCCACCUUGACACCACAGGAAGCUCCUCCACCACCUUAUCGAGCCCUCCUCGUGUAGGUGACCCACGGUGAAAAGUAAGCCGUUGCAUACACCCUGCAACAGCCAUGAGCUCUACCUCCGCCAGCAGGACCUCCACCAGCUCAUUGUUGGCUUUUGAUCGCUGGAUCAAAUCAUCCAAAGCAAACACACAUACGUGCAAAGCUAGUUAGCAGCCUGAUGGAUUCACCUGGCUCCUACGUACGCAUGUACGAGUCGCCGGCUGCUAGUCACUCGAACUCUCACGAGACAACACGCCGAGCUGGCCAAAGGCUCAUGUCGAGCCUUCGUAAUCUUUUUUUAUCUGAUCUCGUACACGGGGGUAUACAUGUAUGUAUACUACUAGAGCCAGCUCCCUUAGCUAAACCUAUUCAGCUUUGAACUCUAAUACUACAUGGACACGGACACAACAUUGAAGACGUACUCUGUGUCGUGCUUACCUAACAUUCAUCCCCUAAACAUGACAUGGUCGUCAUUACGGACCUCGGUCCCAAAUGUGAUUACUUGUAGGUUUCAUCCUGGGCGUUUUCUUCAUCGUUCCUUGUAGACUCCCAGUCACCGUGUCUGCUAUCGUCGGCUCAUUCGAGCCUUGACGACAACACUCCUUCUUGGUCGCAUCUUCAAUCUUCACCUCUUCUUCGGUGCUUUGUAGAUUGUCCUUCGAAUCAUCGAAGGCACAUCUUUUGAACCUGAGCGUGACCAUACUUUGAUCUAACUUUAAAUUCCAAGCUACUGGCGCUUGUUUCAGUCCGUAAAGUGACUUCUUGAGCUUGUAAACUUUCACUUGUUCGUCUUUCUUCUCGUAGCCGAGGGGUUGUUUCACGUACACUUUCUUUGUGAGAUCAUCGUUGAGGAAAGCGGAUUUAACAUCCAUAUGAUGAACCUUCCAAUCCUCUUGUGCUGUUAAAGUUAGGAGCACUCUCACUAUCUCGAGUCGAGCAACCGGUGCAAACACAUCAUCAUAGUCAACUCCUUGACGUUGUACGUAGCCCUUUGCAACGACUCUUGCCUUGUACUUCACAAUGGCACCCUCCGUGUCCUUCUUUAACUUGUAAACCCACUUCAAACCUAUCGCCUUUUGGUUUGGAGGUCGGGUUACCAAAGUCCAUGUGCCAUUGCUCUCAAUCGUCUUCAUCUCCUCAUCCAUGGCGUGCGUCCAACUACGACUUUUGCUCGUCUCUACGAAGUUUGCCGGCUCCUCAACUCCGAGCAGACAUAGUCCGGAGUAUUCGAGCGUAACUGGCUUGGUGUACUUGUAGACUUUCUUGAGCAUCUUGUAGCGACGAGGCCCUGAGGAGUCCGUUGUGGCUUGCGAAGGAGGUGACACAAAUUGUGUCGAUGCUGAUGCACUUGAGGAAGAUGGCUGAGACCCGGGCGUUCAUCGACAUCAGUGUCGUCGGCGUAGUCGUCGUGACCAUGACCAUCAUCUUGAUUGUCGUCAUCACUAUGCGCCUCGUUGUCGAUGUUGUCGUCGAGAUCUCUGCCCGUGUCACGCGCGUCGUUGUCGCUAUCUCCUUGCGACCUAUGCGUGUCGUCAUCGGUGUCGGCACCAUGAUGAUCACUGCCAUGGUGAUCACCUUGGUUGGGCGUCUUGCCAACCACCUCGACGUCUUCUCCUGCAUCAUCGUCAGUUGGAAAUUCAACUGUGAAUAUGUUACCGUUUGGAGCAUCGUCGGCUGCUGCGCUCCAAUUCCACGCUUUGUUUUCUUCAAGCACGACGUCGCGUGAAACCCGUAGAUGCUUGGUUUGUGGAUCAAAGAAGCGGUACGUCUUGGUGCCGGAACUCCUCUCAUAUCCGAUGAACACCAUUUUGGUGCUACGAUCGGCAAACUUUAAGAGGUGCGGCUCCGCCGUCUUCAUAUGUGCCACGCACCCGAACGUCCUUAGAUGAGACACAUUUGGCUUACGUCCGUAAAUUGCUUCAUACGGAGUCUUGCCGAUCACCGCCUUCAUUGGAGCCCGGUUGAGAAGAUAGACCGCCGUCGAGACAACUUUUCCUCAAAAAGUCCCCGGCAGGUUCUUGCUCUUGAGUAAACUCCUUGCCAUGUCAACGACGGUUCGAUUGCACCUUUCAACGACCCCGUUCUGUUGUGGCGUAUAAGGUGUCGUGAGGAACCUUUUUCUACCAAUCUUCUAGCAGUAAUCGUUGAAUUCGUUCGACGUAAACUCUCCACCGCGAUCUGUCCGUAGAGCACGAACCUUCAGCUUGUGUUCCAUCUCCGUUGCAGCCUUCAGCUUCUUGAAUGCUUCAAACACCUCAUCUUUAGAUCGUAGGAGAACGACUCACAUAUAUCUCGAGUAAUCAUCUACCACAAGGAAGAAGUACUUCUUUCCUGCAUGAGUUGCCGGGGUGAUAGGGCCACACAGAUCACCAUGGAGCAGCUCAAGUGCAUCACUUGCACGAUAGAUAGACUGAACAGGGAACGGCAUGCGGUGCUGUUUUCCAACCAAGUACCCGUCACAUACUCGAUCAACAUGGUCGAUAACUGCAUCCCGGAUACCAUCUCCAUCUUUGACAUCUUCUUCAAGGCGUAGAAGUUAACGUGUCCAAAUCUAGCAUGACAUAACCACGAAUCAUCAUCACUCUUGGCGAGCCAACACUCCGAUUGAGAUUGAUCAAGGUUGAGGAUAUAGAGCCUAUUCCGUGUGCGAUUAACAUGAGCUAGUAUGUUUCGGAGGUUGUCGAAGAUCGUCAUCACUCCUUUCUUGAUAUCCACCUUGCAUCCAUUCUCGUCAAGCUUCCCAAUAGAGAUGAUGUUGUUGCGAAGCCGUGGGAUGUAGUACACUCCCGUGAGUAUGCGAUGUUCGCCUGUGAGACCCUCGAAGAGGAUAGAUCCUUGCCCGCAAAUCUCCACAGCUGAACCAUCACCGAACUUGACCGAGCCUUCAACAUCGUAUUCCAGCUCGAGGAAUUUCUCCUUGCACCCCGUCAUGUGGUUACUGGCACCCGUGUCGAGAUACCACGACACGUUUUGUUCACCGGAUAACUUUGGUGUCACUUUUUUCUCAUGAAGUAGCACCUUCCGGCUUGGUUUCGCAACUACUGUUUCAGUGAGAUCACAAACUUCGGCCAUCAGAAGACCUGGACCUUCAUCUUCCUGCUUUGUCAAAUUUGCCUUGAUCUCCCGCUUGUUAGGCUUCGGACAAUCCUUCGCAAAGUGACCCAUCUCGUUGCAGUUAUAGCACUUGACCUCGGAUAAAUCCAAGUUCCCUGGCUUCCGCUCUUUAGAUUGGUCCGCCUUACCACGACCUUGUGGCUUGCCUUUUCUUUUGCCUUUUCCGGUUUGUCCGUCGCGCUUCGCGUUGCUUGAGCCUUCGCCACCGUCACGCCUUCCUUUGCUACUUGGGGCCUUCCAAUCUACGCGCGAGUACAUGAGUUGGUCACUACCUCCUCCUUUGUCUUUCCGACAGCCACGAGCAUUCUCUUCCCACGUUUGCAGGCGUCCGAUCGCCUCCGUUAUGGUCAUGUCAUCGAUGUCGUAAAGCUGCUCGAGUGUGUUGAUGAUGUACGUGAAUUUGUCAGUCACUGAACUGAAAAAUUUCUCCACAAUCUCGGUCUCAUCGAGCUUUGCACCAAGCGCGCGGAUCUCUCCCACCAAAGUAGUAAGACGCAUGGCGUAGUCGUUCACCGAUUCAGUCUCCUCCAUCUGCAACUUGUGAAAUUGGCGCUUCAGCACUUGUGCCCGAGCCUUGGUGACGCAAUCUUCUCCGAUCCUCAUCUCCUUGAGUGCGUUCCACGCCUCUCUUGCCGUCUCGAACUCCGCCAAUGUCAUCAGCACGGAAUCCGGCACGGACUGGGCUAUGGCGGCCAUGGCACCUUCGUCGGACUCGUCAUCGACGUCGUCGUCCGUGAUUGCCUGCCACACUCGGAGGGUUCGGAGAAUAAUCUUCAUCUUCACCGCCCACACGCCAUAGUUGGCAUUGAUGAGCAUCGGGUAAUGGAUGGGGACGUUGGCGCCGUUCGUUCCUCCACCACUCGUUGCUGAUCGACUUGAUGCCCUUCUUCACCUUGCCGCCGUUCUUGUUCGACUUGGCACCGCCUUUGCCGGACUUGACCGACUCAGCGUCGUUGUCCGUCAUUGUAGAUCGUAGAUCGUCGAGGCUCUAGAUACCAAUUGUUGCCUUUUGAUCGCUAGAUCAAAUCAUCCAAAGCAAACACACAUACGUGCAAAGCUAGCUAGCAUCCUGAUGGAUUCACCUGGCUCCGAGGUACGCAUGUACGAGUCGCCGGCUGCUAGUCACUCGAACUCUCACGAGACAACACGCCGAGCUGGCCAAAGCUCGUGUCGAGCCUUCGUAAUGUUUUUUAUCUGAUCUCGUACACGGGGUAUACAUGUAUAUAUACUACUAAAGCCAGCUUCCUUGGCUAAACCUAUUCAGCUUUGAACUCUAGUACUACACGGACACGGAUACAAUAUUGGAGACGUACUCCAUGUCGUGCUUACCUAACACCGUUGACAUUGAGUUCCGCGCACAUGAGGUGCUGAUGAAAUCCCUACAAGGUGCUCGACGAAAUAGGACGAGAGAUAGAACCAACUUAAAACAUAGGUAGAGCAUUAUAGGCAAAUUGCUAGAGGAGAGGGCCACACCCCAGUCUGGUUACCGACCUCCUCUACUCCCCGUUCUCACAUCUGCCGACCGUAGAGCCCAAACACGAUGACGUCCGAAUUCCUCUCGUCCCGGCACGGGUUGUCGUCCUCCGCAAGCCAUCCACCGUUGUCCGUGCCAUUGCAUGGAUAGCCGUCACUACCCAGAUCCCACGCGGAGCUCUUCCGCCUCCUUGUCGCGCCCCCGUUGUGAAGGUGACCCACGAGUUCUACCUCCACCAGCAUGACCUCCCCAAGUUCCGUGUCGACAUCAUGGACCCAAUUAUAGUAGCUCCCGCCUGCGUUGGAUUUGGCACACAUGAGGAACUCAACGAAAAAGGAAGAGAGGUAGAACUAGAAACACAAUGCAAUAUAGGUGGAUGCAUUGCAGGUAAAUUCCUGGAGGAGGGGCACUUUUUUUGCUCUACGUAUUAGGCCAGUCAUAAUGGGAGUAACAUAAAUAGUAACGUAGAUGUCAACUAAGCAAAAAUGAUGAUGUCACGCGUAGUUAAUGACGAGAGAGACAAAUAGAGUAACAUAUUAAGUUACUAUCACAUAGUGCUUAACAAUGCAAAAAUGAUUUUACAAAGCAAUAAGUGAACUCAUAUCAUAUCUAUGACACUAUCCACUAUUAAAAUAGUAACAUAUACUAGUAACAUAUGCCUGUUACUAGUCUAAGUUACUCUCCACUAUGACUAACCUUAUAGGCACUCUACCUAAAAAAAUAUUAGGCUGAGAAAUUUAGAUAACUGCCCGACUUGCUCUAAGCGAGUUAGGCUGAGAAAUUUAGAUAACUGCCCGACUUGCUCUAAGCGAGUAAGGCCAAGCAUAGGUGGGAUGUUUUUUAAGGCAUGUGCAGUAGGGCUGCUGUGAAUGUGUCGAGCGAGGGGAAACCCUUUUUCGGUAAUAUGUCGAGCGAGAGCGCAGAACAAAGACAAUUUUAUAGCCUGUCAAGUUGAGCAUAUUAGUCUCUCUGAAUGAUCAUGUCACAUCAUUUAUAUAAAUAUUAUUAUUUUUGUUUCAGGAUUUUCCAAAAACAACUUUCACCAUGCAUGAUCUGGUGCAUGAUCUUGCAAGAUCGGUCAUUACUGAAGACUUAGCAGUCUUUGAUGCUAAAAGAGCGAGCAGUACUAGAAGAAAUGAAUACUGCCGCUAUGCAUCUCUUACAAAUUACAAUAUUUCAGAUUACAACAAGGCAAGCAAGAUGUCAACUAUUUUCCUACCUAAGUUAAGGGUGAUGCACUUUUUGGAUUGUGGAUUCCAUGGUGGUGCAUUUUCGUUUCCAAAGUGUCUGCGUGUCUUGGAUCUAUCUAGAUGCUCCAUCACAGAGUUUCCAAGCACCGUAGGACAAUUGAAGCAACUGGAGGUUCUUAUUGCUCCAGAGCUGCAAGAUCGACAAUUUCCCGACAGUAUCACUCGUCUCUCAAGAUUACAUUACCUGAACCUCAAUGGAUCACGUGAAAUUUCAGCAAUACCAAGCUCGGUUAGCAAACUUGAGAGUCUUGUGCAUCUUUACUUAGCUUACUGUACUAGUGUCAAAGUCAUACCAGACAGCCUUGGAAGCUUAAACAACCUUCGUACACUUGACUUAUCAGGGUGCCAGAAACUAGAGUCUCUUCCAGAGAGCCUUGGAAGCCUUGAAAACAUCCAAACACUCGAUCUCUCAGUCUGCGAUGAACUAAAGUCCCUUCCUGAGUGCCUUGGAAGCCUAAACAACCUUGAUACCCUUGACCUCUCAGGCUGCCGUAAACUAGAGUCCCUUCCAAAGAGCCUUGGAAGCCUGAAAACCCUUCAAACACUAGACCUCUCAGGCUGCGGUAAACUAGAGUCCCUUCCAGAAAGCCUUGGAAGCCUGAAAACCCUUCAAAGAAUGCACCUCUUUGCCUGCCAUAAACUAGAGUUCCUUCCGGAGAGUCUUGGAGGCCUCAAAAACCUUCAAACACUCGACCUCUCGCACUGCGAUAAAUUAGAGUCCUUACCAGAGAGCCUUGGAAGCCUACAAAACCUUUAUACAUUUGACCUCUCAAGCUGCUUUGAACUAAAGUCCCUACCAGAGAGUCUUGGAGGCCUCAAAAACCUUCAAACACUAGACCUCACAUUCUGCCAUAGACUAAAGGACCUUCCAGAGAGCCUUGAAAGCCUCAAAAACCUUCAAACACUUAACCUCUCUGGCUGCUAUAGGCUAAAGUCCCUUCCGAAGGGCCCUGAAAACCUGAAAAUCAUUGGAAGAGAUUGAAGUUAUGGAUAUAAGAGCAUCAAUUUUUUGACACGUUGUAUACAACAGAUCACCUGGCCCUCGAUGUUAGAUAACGCGUGCAACAUAGAGUGAGCUGAGGCUGCUAUGUGAACAAGGCUUUCCCAGCAUAAAAAACAUUGUAAGUGCUCUACCAAGUUUUACUAUGUAAAUGCGGCCUUCUAAGCCUUCUUUAUGCUGCACGCAAUGUACAUUUGUUGUUAUUUUUCAUACAGUAGCCUGGAGUUUCGAACAAAACUGAAACGCACACUAACCAGAUGCUGAACCUAUUCUAUUUUCUACAGAAACUGCAGACGUGAUCAAUCAGCUGAAGUGAUGGGAGUACGUCCUGUCUGGGAGAGCAAAAAAAGCUUCAUGGAGCCGUCCAAAGAUGAGGUCUAAGCUCUGUACAUGGUGACUUGAGUAUUGAAUUCAGUACUCUGGUCAUACUCCCAUGUUCAUACUCUAUUUACACAUGGUGACAUGAGUAAACGUAGUAGACUGGUCGAAAAACCUUAUAUGGUGUGGCAGUUGUGCUGUGAGCAUUCCAAACUGAAGGAACGCUCGCCAGUUUCCACCAAUUAAUGCUUCUAUUGUGGAGGACUGACCCUAGCCGCCACCGCUCGCACCUCCUCCCCGCCACACCACCCCUUACCCUCGCCGCCGCCAGAGGACGCCACCGGGCGAAGCCCAACUGGUGUGGGCGGCGGCGGGGCUCCUUCUCCCUCCUCCCAUGGUGGCUACAGCGCGGGACGUGGCGAGCGGGCGAGGAGCGCGACACUAUCGUAUGGGAGAUCUCGUCGUAGGGCGUUGCGUCCGCGACUCGGACGGCCGGCCUUGGGCACGGCGGUGCGUGGGUGCGGCGGCGGCUGCAUGAAGGUGGUCGAGCGGGCCGGCACACCGUGAUGGCGGGGCUGCUGGUGCCAGUUUCCUCAGAUCUGGCGCCGGGAGCCGAUGGCUCUAGGCAGCACAGGCCGGCGUCCUUCGUCAUGGCAGCGUACGUGAUGGAGGGAGCGGUGUGGUGGUGGUCUUUGUGCUCUUAUCACAUCUCGGCAAUGGUAUGCAUGAUCGGUCCUUCUUGAUCUGGCCGUCGACGUGUUCCGAAUCUACUGCCGGAGAUCUUGCCCAAGAAUUUUUGGAUCGAUAUGAAUCCGGUCGUAUGCGUCCAUAACAGGCUACUGAGCUCCGUGAGGGCGUACCACGAAGCUCUAUUGUUUGUUGACAUCAUGGGACAUGUUGAUAUCUCGAUUUCUAUGGCACAGACAGUGGCGGAGAAAGUCAUGAUGGCUAAGAUCGAAGGCUCGAUAAGGCGGACGGGGCCUUGGAUGUGAUGGAGUCAGUCAGGUGUUUGAUAACUUUCAGAAGCAGCAGUGACAAGUGGGAUGGCAACAUUGGGGGAUUUCAUUUUUGGUGGUGCUCUAAGGGUGCUGAGUCGUGACUUUGAUGGUGAAAACCUAAGGUCUGACCUUCAAUGGUUGUGCCUGGCAUUACCUUGUUGAAAAUAUUGUUUUGAGAGCUCGGUCUUCUCCAGGGUGAAUAUCUAAGAUGUUGGAUCGGCGACGACGGUGCUUGUGCACUGUUUCCUUCUUAAAGAUGUCGCUUUUCGAGACCUAUUAUGUCUUCCGGGUUUUGUCUUUGGUGGUGGUUUGCGUGCUGCUGUUGAGAGAAGUUGACCACUAUGACGAUACCAUUUUUCUUCCUUUCUUUUUCUUUUCUUUUCGGGUUGUGUGCACUCUGGAUGUCUUUGUGAUAUCUUGUUGGUGCAGAGGCUAGAUGUAAUUGGUAUCUUCGUGAUAUUAAUAUAUUCCGCUUUUUAAAAUAAAAAAUUAAUUCUUCUAUACUCGCGUGUCGUGGCUGCUUUAAUUCUUAGAGAGACUAAGAGCAUCUCCAACGGCUGCCCAACCCGCCGCGCACAAAAUAUCUGUUUACGGCGCGCCCAUCCAAAAAUUUAGCGCGUCGUGGAACGCUGCCUCCAGCGGAAGCCCAAAAAUUAGGCGCGCGCGGGACACUCCAGCAGAAGCCCAAAAGGAGGGCGCGUGGCGGGACAUGGGCGACUGAGAUUCGGUGAAAGUGCGUGUGACGAUCGCUGUAUUUUAUAAGCGUGCUGGACGCCCGCCCGCCUUCUUUCCCGCACGCGCCCGCCCGUCUUCUUUCCCGCACGCGUAAUCGUUUUCCGUACGCGCUAGUUACCGCGUCCGUUGGAGCACGUGAAGCGUCUCGCACGCGUUAAAAUAAAGUUUUAACGUACGGACGCGUUUUGACGCGGCCGUUGGAGAUGCUCCUACAAGCUAAGCUGGAGUGAUGAAAGGGCCGUUGGUUCCUUUGGUGCCGUUUGACGACAUGCUCCUCCUGUACUGUGCUUCUCUCUUUGAUUUGCCUGUUUUGCUCAUUUCCUGCUGGUGAUGUGGUCUCCUCCUUCGUUAGUCACGGUGGGCAACUUCGUCAAUGCGAUUUUGCUUUCCUCGCAUAUGCCAGACACGUCGGUGGCAAGAAUAACCCCUGACUUGGCAUGUUGCAUCACAUCUUGUGUGUGUUUAAAGCAUGUAUUUAUCUGCAUUCAUUUCAUGUUUAACAUGUCCCACUAUCCAGGACGCACAACCGCAGUAUCCACAGCGGCCUCCUCCGCGCUGUGGUUGUGCCUCCUCCGUUCGGAGGCACAACCGCACUAUCCACAGUUCGUCAGCCCUGCAAUCACGCGGACGAAGGAGACGACAAAAGCGCAGCGCGUUUCCUCCGUUCGCUACCGCGACCGAUGGGCACUUAUAAUGAAACAACAAAUGCCACGUCAGCUCGAUCGGAAUCAAUACUCAAAACGUAUUAUGAAUGAAAGUGAAUGAAUGAAUUGUUGUCUUCAUUGAUCAUCAAUAAUUUAGGAAUGUCGGUUACAAGGUAAAGGCGCCUGUAGGAGGCGUCGCUAGAGGGAGAGGCGUCCGUGCGCUCCAAACAGGCGCAUGUAAAGAGGAAAAGGCGGGCUUUGGGCACUAGGUUAACUGCUUAAAGCAGUUAACAUCUAAUCCUAACACUCCCCCUUGCACAAAGCUAUGUCUUGUAUGUCUCUUGUCCUUGUAUAAUCUUGAAGAUACUACAUGUAGUCUUGAUGAUCUUUGAAGUUAAUAGUUACUCCUUCAAAAAUCCUGUAAGAAAAAUAUAAGGAGAAUAGUAUUUGAUAUGUUGUGAAAACUCCUUUAAAACCCGAUGGAAAAAGUAAGGAGAAAAUGAUACAACAUAUAAUGAUCAUUGUCUCUUUGAUAACUUAUAUGAGAAAACCUUGAAAGGAUAAAACUCAUUGGUAAGUUUAGAAGACAAUUAAUAUGUCUUGUAUACUUCCGUUAAAAACCCCAGUGGGGAAAAUAGGAUGUAUGACAUAUAUUCUUGUGUUGAUAUUACCUCAUUAAAAACCUUGAUGAGAACAGAUGAGUAAACUCAUAAAGGGAAAAGAGUGUAAUAUAAUGUUUGAACGGGUUAUUUUUCAGAGAGAAACUCCCCCUGAUCUUUGCAAAUCCCGAAGUCGUCGCAUACCUAUCCCAUGAACAUAUUUUUCGAAUGUUGAAGCUGGGAGUGAUUUUGUUAAUGGGUCACCGAGAUUAUCGCACGAUUUGACUUGUAAAAUGUUUAUCUUUCCUUUCUUCUGUAAUUGAUGGGGAAAAAAUAAUUUAGGAGAAAUAUAUAUGCUUAGUGAUAUUGCUCUUUAUGUAACCCGUUUGCAUUUGAGCAACACAAGUAGCAUUAUCUUCGUAGAUAAUGGUUGGAGAUUCGAUAAGACCUUUACCACACGAUUGUUGUAUGUGGUUUAUCAUUCUGCGAAGUCAUACACAUUCGCGUGAUGCCUCAUAUAAUGCGAUUAUUUCAGAAUGAUUGGUGGAUGUAGCCAUUAGAGUCUGUUUAGAAGACUUCCAUGAGAUGGUUGUCCCACCAUGUAGGAAUACAAAACCGGUUUGUGAUCUGGCAUUGUGGGGGUCAGAUAAGUAGCCAGCAUCUGUAUACCCAAUCAAAUCAAUGUCCAAAUUUCUUUGAAAUUGAAAGAAUAGGUCAAGAUCCUUUGUGCCUUGUAGAUAUCGAAAGACAUUCUUAACUCCAGUCCAAUGGCGUUUAGUGGGAGUUGCGCUAUGUCUAGCCAGUAAAUUCACUGCAAAUGCAAUGUCAGGCCUCGUGCAAUUUGCAAGAUACAUGAGCGCUCCAACGGCACUAAGAUAUGGGACUUCAGGUCCCAAUAUCUCUUCUCCUUCAUCCCUUGGUCUAAAUUGAUCUUUCUCUAUGUCUAGAGAUCGAACAACCAUGGGAGUUUUGGAUUGAUAGGAUUUGUCCAUAUUGAAUUUCUCCAAUAUUUUCUGGAUAUAUGCGGUUUGAUGAACCAAAAUACCUGAGGGAAGGUGCUCGAGUUGUAAUCCUAAGCAAAAUUUGGUUUUACCCAAAUCCUUCAUUUCAAAUUCCGUCUUUAAGUGAUUGCGUGCUUCAUCAAUAUCUUCAGUGGUUUCAAUGAUAUUAAGAUCAUCAACAUACACUGAAAUAAUGCAAAAUCCGGUUGCGGACUUUUUUGUGAAAACACAUGGACAAUCAUCAUUAUUUGAGUAUCCUUUUUUCAAAAAGAACUCACUAAGUCGGUUGUACCACAUGCGACCCGACUAUUUUAAGCCGUAUAAAUACUUGUUUAAUUUUACACAAUAUGCAUUGCGUUUUGCGUUUGGAUUCGGGAUUGGGACUCCAUCAGGAACCUUCAUGUAUAUGUCCGAAUCAAGUGAACCGUAAAGGUAAACGGUCACUACAUCCAUCAACUGCAUAUAUAGACGAUUUUGUACUGCAAUAGAAAUACAGUGACUUCCCGCAAAAAAAAAAACAAUACAGUGACAUGCAUGCAUCGCGAUGCAAACCAACCAAUAGUAGUACUCCCUCCGUUCCUAAAUAUAAGACUUUAUAUAGAUUGCACUAUGAACUACGUACGGGUGUAUGUAGACAUACUUUAAAGUGUGGAUUUACUCAUUUUGCUCCGUAUGUAGUCUACAGUGAAAUCUCUACAUGGUCUUAUAUUUAGGAACGGAGUGAGUAGAAAGUAGGUAGAGAAGGUAAUAAAGUAGUCGGCGAGUGACCGACUAGCUAGGUGGUGGUGACCAUGNNNNNNNNNNNNNNNNNNNNNNNNNNNNNNNNNNNNNNNNNNNNNNNNNNNNNNNNNNNNNNNNNNNNNNNNNNNNNNNNNNNNNNNNNNNNNNNNNNNNAGCAGCGGAUGGUGCCGACUCCGGAAGAAACGAGCAGCGACGGCAGUAGCGUAAAGAUUUGGGCGAGCCUCACAGGUUGACUGGCACAUGUAAAGCUUCCCUGGCCUGCAAGUGAGACCAGCAACGGCAGUAGCAUUAGAUCGAGGAUGCUGCCGGCUUCACAAAUUGUGUCAAGAAAGAGUUUGCUGGCAGCAAUGGCGAAACUGACGGCAAAGAGAAAAGAUGGAUGUUUGCUUAGAGACAAGUAAUGAGGAGAACAGAGUACGUAUGGCACCUUUGCUCGGCCAGUUGGCACGGAACGGCGGCCUGCUUCCUUCCAUGAUUUUGCUGCCGCCCCGCCACGGGGAGGGGGGGGGGGGGGGGGGGGGNNNNNNNNNNNNNNNNNNNNNNNNNNNNNNNNNNNNNNNNNNNNNNNNNNNNNNNNNNNNNNNNNNNNNNNNNNNNNNNNNNNNNNNNNNNNNNNNNNNNNNNNNNNNNNNNNNNNNNAUCCUCAUCUUGCUAAGGCUCCAGCAUAAAAGCCUUCUGAGUUUAAAUUAUCUGCAAUUUUUCUCACGGCCUUAUUUGAACUCUGAAGCCUACCCGGCAUCGCAGAGCGAAGACCUCGAGCUCGUCAACCCUGUCAGUGACCGCUUCCUGAAUAAAUACUUCAGUGGGAUUGUUCCCUUGUUCCAAUUCUUCUAUAUACUUUAUAGCGGGAGUCGACAGAGAUAUAUGCAGUAUUGCCAUAUUUUUUCGAGAACACCUAAAAAGGGGCAGGGUUCCUGUAUUUCAUUGAGAAGAAAAAAAUUUGUCCAGUUGAUAAGGAAAACCGGACCCAAAUACCAAACAUUCUCGAAAAAAUAAGGAAAACCGAGUGAAACCAAAAAACAAAGAAAAAAAAGAAAAACAAGAAAAAAGAGGCACUAGAACUAGAAGAUAGGGACGAGACAAAAACGUCAUCAGGAGACAUCAUCUGAGCCAGACACCAGAACACCUAGGCCCAAAACAGUAAGGCGGGACUCAAGAACAACCGGACUGACCGCUAUUCGUCGAAGACUCUUCCGUCUCGGCCUCAAUGAAUCAUGUGGUAACAUUAUCUUGUGGAAAGCAUUCUGAGAGGUCCAACUUUGACUUCCCCUCUCCAAAGAGCUCAACGUCUCGAUCACUUGCGGUGAGAGUGGUUUUUUGUACAUGUCCAGAUAUGCCUGUAUCUUUUGUUCUGGCUCCUCUGCUUUUUUGACCUCCGACAGCUCACAAAAAUACUCCAACAUCCUGUUCUGCGCGCUUGGAUGUCGGGAUGUUGCAUGCCUUGUUCUUCUUACGUCCUUAUCUGAAGCCUACCCGCCAUCGCAGAGCGAAUACCUCGAGCCCGUCAACCUUGUCAGUGACCGCUCUUGUCUUGAAUAAAUACUCCAGUGGGAUUGUUCCCUUGUUCCAAUUCUUCUCUUUACUUUUCAGCGGGAGUCGACAGAGAUAUAUGCAGCAUUCACAUAUUUUCUUUCGAGAACACCUCGAGAGGGGCACGGUUCCUGCAUUUCAUUGAGAAGAGAAGAAUUUGUCCAGUUUAUAAGGAAAACCGGGCCCAAAAACCAAACAUUCUCGGAUAAUUAGGGAAAACAAAAUGAAACCUUAAACAAAGAAAAAACAAGAAAAACAAGAAAAAAGAGGCCCUAGAAUUAGGAGAUAGGGACGAGACAAAGACAUCAUCAGGACACAUCAUCGGAGCCAGAUACGAGAGCACCUAGGCCCAAAAAUAGUAAGGAGAGACUCAAGAACAACCGGACUUUCCGCUAUUCGUCGAAGACUCUUCUGUCUCGGCCUCAAUGAAUCAUGUGCUAACAUUAUCUUGUGGAAAGCAUCGUGAGAGGUCAAACUUUGACUUCCCUGCAAUCCUCUCCAAAGAGCUCAACGCCUCAAUCACUUGCGGUGAGAGUGGUUUUUUGUACAUGUCCAGAUAUGUGUGUAUCUUUUGUUCUAGCCCCUCUACUUUUUUGAUCUCCGACAGCUCACCAAAAAACUCCAACAUCCUAUUCUGCGCGCUUGGAUGUCGGGAUGUUGCAUGCCUUGUUAUUCUUACGCCCUUAUCUAAAGCCUACCCGCCAUCGCACAUCGAAGACCUCGAGCCCGUCAACCUCGUCAGUGACCGCUCCAGUCCUGAAUAAAUACUCGAGUGGGAUUGUUCCCUUGUUCCAAUUCUUCCCUAUACUUUUCAGCGGGAGUCGACAGAAAUAUAUGCAGCAUUUGCAUUUUUUUUCGAGAACACCUCAAGAGGGGCAGGGUUCCUGCAUUUCAUUGAGAAGAAAAGAAUUUGUUCAGUUUAUAAGGAAAACCGGGCCCAAAAACCUCACAUUCUGGGAUAAUUAGGGAAAACCGAAUGAAACCUAAAAACAAAGAAAAAAGAAAAACGAGAAAAAAGAUGCACUCGAACUAGGAGAUAGGGACGAGACAAAAACAUAACCAGGAGACAUCAUCGUAGCCAACCACCAGAGCACCUAGGCCCAAAACAGUAAGGCGAGAUCCAAGAACAACUGGACUGGCCGCUAUUCGUCGAAGACUCUUCUGUCUCGGCCUCAAUGAAGCAUGUGCUAACAUUAUCUUGUGGAAAGCAUGCUGAGAGGUCCAACUUUGACUUCCCUGCAAUCCUCUCGAAAGAGCUCAACGCCUCGAUCACUUACAAUGAGAGUGGUUUUUUGUACAUGUCCAGAUAUGCCUGUAUCUUUUGUUCNNNNNNNNNNCCCUUUGCUUUUUUGAUCUCCGAUAGCUCAGCAAAAAACUCGAACAUCCUAUUCUGCACGCUUGGAUGUCGGGAUGUUGCAUGCCUUGUUCUUCUUACGUCCUUAUCUGAAGCCUACCCGCCAUCGCAGAGCCAAGACCUCGAGCCCGUCAACCUUAUCAGUGACCGCUCCAGUGCUGAAUAAAUACUCCAGUGGGAUUAUUCCCUUGUUUCAAUUCUUCUCUAUACUUUUCAGCGGGAGUUGACAGAGAUAUAUGCAGCAUUCGCAUAUUUUUUUCGAGAACACCUCGAGAGGGGCAGGUUCCUGCAUUUCAGUGAGAAGAAAAGAAUUUGUCCAGUUUAUAAGGAAAACCGGGCCCAAAAACCUAACAUUCUCGGAUAAUUAGGGAAAACCGAAUGAAACCUAAAAACAAACAAAAAAAAGAAAAAUGAGAAAAAAGAGGCACUAGAACUAGGAGAUAGGGACGAGACAAAAACAUCAUCAAGAGACAUCAUCGGAGCGAGACUCCACAGCACCUAGGCCCAAAACAAUAAGACGAGACUCAAGAACAACUGGACUGACCACUAUUCGUCGAAGACUCUUCUGUCUCGGCCUUAAUGAAUUAUGUGUUAACAUUAUCUUGUGGAAAACAUCCUGAGAGGUCCAACUUUAACAUCCCUACAAUCCUCUCCAAAGAGCUCAAUGCCUCGAUCACUUGCAGUGAGAGUGGUUUUUAAUAGAUGUCUAGAUAUGCGUGCAUCUUUUGUUCUGGCCCCUCCACUUUUUUGACCUACGACAGCUAACCAAAAAACUCCAACAUCCUAUUCUGCGCGCUUGGAUAUCGGGAUGUUUCAUGCCUUGUUCUUCUUACGCCCUUAUCUGAAGCCUACCCGCCAUCGCGGAGCGAAGAUCUCGAGCCCGUCAACCUUGUGAGUGACCGCUCCAGUCCUGAAUAAAUACUCCAAUGGGAUUGUUCCCUUGUUCCAAUUCCUCUAUAUACUUUAUAGCGGGAGUCGACAUAGAUAUAUGCAGCAUUCGCAUAUUUGUUUCGAGAACACCUCAAGAGGGGCAGGGUUCCUGCAUUUCAUUGAGAAGAAAAGAAUUUGUCCAGUGGUAAGGAAAACCGGGCCCAAAAACCAAACAUUCUCGAAAAAAUAGGGAAAACUGAGUGAAACCAAAAAACAAAGAAAAAAAGAAAAACGAGAAAAAAGAGGCACUAGAACUAGAAGAUAGGGNNNNNNNNNNUGAGACAUCAUCUGAGCCAGACACGAGAGCACCUAGGCCCAAAAGAGUAAGGCGAGACUCAAGAACAACCAGACUGACCGCUAUUCGUCGAAGACUCUUCUGUCUCGGCCUCAAUGAAUCAUGUGGUAACAUUAUCUUGUAGAAAGCAUCCUGAGAGGUCCAACUUUGACUUCCCCUCUCCAAAGAGCUCAACGUCUCNNNNNNNNNNUUGAGAGUGGUUUUUUGUACAUGUCCAGAUAUGCGUGUAUCUUUUGUUCUGGCCCCUUUGCUUUUUUGACCUCCGAGAGCUCACCAAAAAACUUCAACAUCCUAUUCUACGCGCUCGGAUGUCCGGAUGUUGCAUGCCUUGUUCUUCUUACACCCUUAUUUGAAGCCUACCCGCCAUAGCAGAGCGAAGAUCUCGAGCCCGUCAACCUUGUCAGUGACCUCACUCCAGUCCUGAAUAAAUACUCAAGUGGCAUUGUUCCCUUGUUCCAAUUCUUCUCUAUACUUUUCAGCGGGAGUCGACAGACAUAUAUGCAGCAUUCACAUAUUUUUUUUCGAGAACACCUCGAGAGGGACAGGAUUCCUGCAGUUCAUUGAGAAAAAAAGAAUUUGUCCAGUUUGUAAGGAAAACCGGGCCCAAAAACCUAACAUUCUCGGAUAAUUAGGGAAAACCGAAUGAAACCUAAAAACAAAGAAAAAAGAAAAACGAGAAAAAAGAGACACUGGAAUUAGGAGAUAGGGACGAGACAAAAACAUCAUCAGGGGACAUCAUCGGAGCCAGAUACCAGAGCACCUAGGCCUAAAACAGUAAGGCGAGACUAAAGAACAACCGGACUGACCGCUAUUCGUCGAAGACUCUUCCGUCUCGGCCUCAAUGAAUCAUGUGCUAACAUUAUCUUGUGGAAAGCAUUUUGAGAGGUCCAACUUUGACUUCCCCUCUCCAAAGAGCUCGAACAUUUUUCAUUUACAUGCACUCGAACAUUUUUUUCUAAAUACAUGGUGAACAUGAUCUAAAUACAAGAUGUACAAUUUUCAAAUAUACGAUGAACAAUUUUUCUGAAUACAUGACGGACAUGUUUUGAAUACACGGUGAUUGGAAGUCUGAAUGAUAUCCCUGUCCAACUAGUUGAAAUUGGAAGAAUGACAUUUUUCUCUGUAACUGGCAUGUGCUAGAAGAAUGUUAUUUCCUUAUGUAAUUGGCAUGUGCUGUUGGAAGUGGCAGUAGAAAUUUUCUCUCGCUGUUGCCGCAGGCACCAAAAUUAUGCUCUCCUUCCACCUUAGCAUAUUCCAGAAGGAUUCAUCGCACAUAAAAGUGACGGCUUGGGGCUUACAUUACGCCCCAUGGCUGCAUCAGAUUGCAAACUGUCGCCCCACUUGUAUUAAUGGCUCUGGUUUCAUUCCUUGAAGUAUUUGAUGAAUUGACUAUGUGGAUUAUACAGAUAAAGAUAUGGUAGAUUUGUAAAUGUGUACAGGGCACACAAAAUUUAGAUCUGUUUCUGUUAAUGCUACAUGCUAUAGAUAAAUGUACGUCUCUUACAUAUUUGUGUGCUCCAGCCAUAUUUAUAUUUCAGAGUGGCUGUGGCGUGUGAAAUGGGAGAGGCGAUUGAGGAUAUAGUGACCCUGAGGCAGAGCAUCCUCUGCUCCCUUGCAUCAAGGAGUGACAUGAAACCAGGUAUUGUUAUGAGUAGUCCCAUACUGUGCUUCUUCUCUCCGUGAGAUGGCAGAACAUGGGAGCAGAUCCAAUGUUCCUUCAAAAAAAAAUCCAUGUUGUCUCCAAGUGAGACGGAACUGUUAUUUCCAACGAAUACUCUUGUUUCAUGGCACACCACCUUGCAGAUUAUUAUCAGACAAAUCCAGAUGGGUGAGCUGCUUUAAGCCGCCAAGCUCUGUUGGGAGGAAGCCCCAAAAAUUGUUUCGCUGAAGAAUUAGGUAUUCUAACAAUACAAGAUUACCAAAAGAACCUGGAACUUGACCAAUGAAAUUGUUGGAUGACAAGUUUAACAGUCUUAGCCCUGACAUAUUGCCUACCGAAGCAGGGAGAUGACCUUCAAAAUUGUUGUUGUCCAAACAGAGAUGUUGAAGAUUCAGGAGGGUGUCACCAAAGUUCGAUGGCACUGUUUUCCCUAGCAUAUUGGAAUAUAAGUAUAAAUACUGGAGUGAAGACUGGUUGUACUUGUACAGGGUUUCUGGGAUUCCACCUGAUAACAUGUUAACACCAAGGCCUAAAUAAACAAGAGAUGUGAAUUCUCCCAUCUCAUCAGGAAUGGUUCCCGUGAGCUUAUUAUCAGUAAGCACGAUGUCUUCAAGCCGACUGCUGUUUCUUAGGCUUGGUGGGAUUGUUCCGGUGAGAUUAUUCGAGGAAAGCCAUACUUUCCUUAGCUUAGAUAGCCGACCUAUACCAAGGGGAAUUUCACCCAUUAGUAAGUUGGCAGAUAGGUCUAGGAUCCUUAGCGUGGAGCAGUUUGUGAGAGUAUCUGGAAUGGUCCCUUGCAGUAAGUUGUUUCCCAAGUCAAUGUAUUCCAAUCUGUGGAGACGGUUGAGAGGAGGUAACUCGCCGGUGAAGCCAUUUCUGGACAGGUCCAGUGUCCUAAGGAACGUUAGGUUCCCGAGGGAGGGCGAUAUCGGGCCCAACAACCCUCGUCCGCUGAGGUAAAGCUUAGUGACUCGCCCCGAGCUGCAGUGGACGCCCUCCCAACUGCAAAGAGGGACGCUGGCAUGCCAAGAUCUCAAGGCUUGUCUUGAGUCGUUAGUGAUGGCCCACUUGAAAUCUAGCAGCGAGAUCAUGUCCGUGAUGUUACCAUGGAUGGUCGUCGAGGAGCAGCGGAUGAUGCCGACUCCACAAGAAAUCAGCAGCAGCGACAGUAACAUAAUGAUAGGGGCGAGCCUUAGCGCUUUACCAAGGACCCUGUCACCUGCAAAGUGUGAAUGAAGAAUAAAACACUGUGCGCACUAUGUUUAACGCGAGAUUGGUCAUUGUGUGCAUCAAUCGAUACGCCAUCUUGUUUCCAAAGAGAAAAAAAACCUUAUGAGUAGGUUCAGUGGCGGAGCUAUUAGGGGGGACUGGCAGGAGCCAUGGGUCCCCCAUGACCUAGUAAGUGUAGUAUAAUGCCCCUAUUUCCCUUCAGAUUUAAAGAAAUUUUGUGAAGAUUACCAUCAUUUGGCCCCUCUCAUCAAUAUUAUCACUCAUUUUCCCCCUAAUCAAAUUUUCCUCGCUCCGCCGCAGCGUGGGUCAGCAACAAUACUAGUAGGUUUUGUGAGGUUGCUCUCAUGAACAAUACUAAUAGGUUUCAUGAUCCGAUUAGGGAAAAUACUAGAAGUUGAGCUGAUGUGAAAAUAUUAGAGGGUGUUUGUUUCCAGGGACUUACUGAUUUAGGGACUUAAAAAAGUCCCUAUAAGUCCCACCUAAACCAAACACAAGGGACUUAUUGGGACUUAUUGUGGUGAUUUGGGACUUAUCAAAUAAGACUCUNNNNNNNNNNNNNNNNNNNNNNNNNNNNNNNNNNNNNNNNNNNNNNNNNNNNNNNNNNNNNNNNNNNNNNNNNNNNNNNNNNNNNNNNNNNNNNNNNNNNAACAAAAUUUUCCUACGCGCACGAAGACCUAUCAUGGUGAUGUCCAUCUACGAGAGGGGAUGAGUGAUCUACGUAUCCUUGUAGAUUGUACAACAGAAGCGUUAGUGAAUGCGGUUGAUGUAGUGGAACGUCCUCACGUCCCUCGAUCCGCCCCGCGAACAAUCCCGCGAUCAGUCCCACGAUCUAGUACCGAACGGACGGCACCUCCGCGUUCAGCACACGUACAACUCGACGAUGAUCUCGGCCUUCUUGAUCCAGCAAGAGAGACGGAGAGGUAGAAGAGUUCUCCGGCAGCGUGACGGCGCUCCGGAGGUUGGUGAUGACCUUGUCUCAGCAGGGCUCCGCCCGAGCUCCGCAGAAACGCGAUCUAGAGGAAAAACCGUGGAGGUAUGUGGUCGGGCUGCCGUGGAAAAGUCGUCUCAAAUCAGCCCCAAUACCUCCGUAUAUAUAGGUGGGAGGGAGGGGACCUUGCCUUGGGGCUCAAGGAGCCCCAAGGGGGUUGGCCGACUCCAAGGGGGGAAGGCUCCCCCCCCAAACCGAGUUGGACUUGGUUUGGUGGGUGGGAGUCCUUCCCUUCCUUCCCACCUCCCUUUUUUUUCUUUCUCUUUGAUUUUUCUUUGUAUGGCGCAUAGGGCCCUUUUGGGCUGUCCCACCAGCCCACUAAGGGCUGGUGCGCCACCCUUAUGGCCUAUGGGCUUCCCCGGGGUGGGUUGCCCCCCCCCGGUGAACUCCCGGAACCCAUUCGCCAUUCCCGGUACAUUCCCGGUAACUCCGAAAACCUUCCUGUAAUCAAAUGAGGUCAUCCUAUAUAUCAAUCUUCGUUUCCGGACUAUUCCGGAAACCCUCGUGAAGUCCGUGAUCUCAUCCGGGACUCCGAACAACAUUCGGUAACCAACCAUAUAACUCAAAUACGCAUAAAACAACGUCGAACCUUAAGUGUGCAGACCCUGCGGGUUCGAGAACUAUGUAGACAUGACCCGAGAGACUCCUCGGUCAAUAUCCAAUAGCGGGACCUGGAUGCCCAUAUUGGAUCCUACAUAUUCUACGAAGAUCUUAUCGUUUGAACCUCAGUGCCAAGGAUUCAUAUAAUCCCGUAUGUCAUUCCCUUUAUCCUUCGGUAUGUUACUUGCCCGAGAUUCGAUCGUCAGUAUCCGCAUACCUAUUUCAAUCUCGUUCACCGGCAAGUCUCUUUACUCGUUCCAUAAUACAAGAUCCCGCAACUUACACUAAGUUACAUUGCUUGCAAGGCUUGUGUGUUAUGUUGUAUUACCGAGUGGGCCCCGAGAUACCUCUUCGUCACACGGAGUGACAAAUCCCAGUCUUGAUCCAUACUAACUCAACUAACACCUUCGGAGAUACCUGUAGAGCAUCUUUAUAGUCACCCAGUUACGUUGCGACGUUUGAUACACACAAAGCAUUCCUCCGGUGUCAGUGAGUUAUAUGAUCUCAUGGUCAUAGGAAUAAAUACUUGACACGCAGAAAACAGUAGCAACAAAAUGACACGAUCAACAUGCUACGUCUAUUAGUUUGGGUCUAGUCCAUCACGUGAUUCUCCUAAUGACGUGAUCCAGUUAUCAAGCAACAACACCUUCUUCAUAAUCAGAAGACACUGACUAUCUUUGAUCAACUGGCUAGCCAACUAGAGGCUUGCUAGGGACGGUGUUUUGUCUACGUAUCCACACAUGUAAAUGAGUCUUCAUUCAAUACAAUUAUAGCAUGGAUAAUAAAAGAUUAUCUUGAUACAGGAAUUAUAAUAAUAACUAUAUUUAUUAUUGCCUCUAGGGCAUAAUUCCAACAGUCUCCCACUUGCACUAGAGUCAGUAAUCUAGCCCUCACAUCAUCAUGUGAAUUACAUUGUAAUAAAUCUAACACCCAUACAGUUCUGGUGUUGAUCAUGCUUUGGCCGUGGAAGAGGUUUAGUCAGCGGGUCUGCUACAUUCAGAUCCGUGUGCACUUUGCAUAUAUUUACGUCCUCUCCCUCGACGUAGUCGCGGAUGAGGUUGAAGCGUCGUUUGACGUGUCUGGUCUUCUUGUGAAACCGUGGUUCCUUUGCUAAGGCAAUGGCACCCGUGUUAUCAUAGAACAAGGUCAUUGGAUUCAGUGCGCUUGGCACCACUCCAAGAUCCGUCAUGAACUGCUUCAUCCAGACACCCUCCUUAGCCGCCUCCGAGGCAGCCAUGUACUCCGCUUCACAUGUAGAAUCUGCUACGACGCUUUGCUUGGAACUGCACCAGCUUACCGCACCCCCAUUAAGAAUAAAUAUGUAUCCGAUUUGCGACUUAGAGUCGUCCGGAUCUGUGUCAAAGCUUGCAUCGACGUAACCUUUUACGGCGAGCUCUUCGUCACCUCCAUACACGAGAAACAUCUCCUUAGUCCUUUUCAGGUACUUCAGGAUAUUCUUGACCGCUGUCCAGUGAUCCACUCCUGGAUUACUCUGGAACCUACCUGCCAUACUUAUGGCCAGGCUAACAUCCGGUCUAGUGCACAGCAUCGCAUACAUGAUAGAACCUAUGGCUGAAGCAUAGGGGAAGGAGCGCAUAUGCUCUCUAUCUUCAUCAGUUGCUGGGCACUGAGUCUUACUCAAUCUCGUACCUUGUAGAACUGGCAAGAACCCUUUCUUGGAUUGUUCCAUUUUGAACCUCUUCAAAACUUUAUCAAGGUAUGUGCUUUGUGAAAGUCCUAUCACGCGUUUUGAUCUAUCCCUAUAGAUCUUAAUGCCUAGAAUGUAAGCAGCUUCUCCUAGGUCCUUCAUAGAGAAACUUUUAUUCAAUUAACCUUUUAUGCUCUCCAAAAACUCUACGUUGUUUCCAAUCAGCAAUAUGUCAUCCACAUAUAAUAUUAGAAACGCCACAGAGCUCCCACUCACUUUCUUGUAAAUACAAGAUUCUCCAACCACUUGUAUAAACCCAAAUGCUUUGAUCACCUCAUCAAAGCGUUUGUUCCAACUCCGAGAUGCUUGCACCAGUCCAUAAAUGGAUCGCUGGAGCUUGCACACCUUGUUAGCAUUCUUAGGAUCGACAAAACCUUCGGGUUGUAUCAUAUACAACUCUUCCUUAAGGAAACCGUUAAGGAACGCCGUUUUGACAUCCAUUUGCCAGAUUUCAUAAUCGAAAAAUGCAGCUAUUGCUAACAUGAUUCUGACGGACUUAAGCAUCGCUACGGGUGAGAAAGUCUCAUCGUAGUCAACUCCUUGAACUUGUGAAAAACCCUUUGCCACAAGUCGAGCUUUAUAAACGGUCACAUUGCCGUGAGCGUCCGUCUUCCUCUUAAAGAUCCAUUUGUUCUGAAUGGCCUUGCGGCCCUCAGGUAGUACCUCCAAAGUCCACACUUUGUUCUCAUACAUGGAUCCUAUCUCGGAUUUCAUGGACUCUAGCCAUUUGAUGGAAUCUGGGCCCACCAUUGCUUCUUCAUAAUUUGUAGGUUCAUUGUUGUCUAACAACAUGAUUGAUAAGACGGGAUUACCGUACCACUCCGGAGCAGCACGUGGCCUCGUCGACCUGCGUGGUUCGACAGAAACUUGAACUGGAGUUUCAUGAUCAUCAUCAUUAACUUCCUCCUCAACCGGCGUCGCAAUGACAGAGGUUUCCCCUUGCCCUGCGCCACCAUCCAGAGGGAUGAGAGGUUCGACAACCUCGUCAAGUUCUAUCUUCCUCCCACUCAAUUCUCUCAAAAGAAACUCCUUCUCCAGAAACGCUCCGUUUUUAGCAACAAACACUUUGCCCUCGGAUUUGAGAUAGAAGGUGUACCCAACUGUCUCUUUUGGGUAACCUAUGAAGACGCACUUUUCCGCUUUGGGUUCCAGCUUUUCAGGCUGAAGCUUUUUGACAUAAGCAUCACAUCCCCAAACUUUAAGAAACGACAACUUUGGCCUUUUGCCAUACCACAGUUCAUAUGGUGUCGUCUCAACGGAUUUUGAUGGUGCCCUAUUUAAAGUGAAUGCAGCUGUUUCUAAUGCAUAACCCCAAAACGAUAACGGCAAAUCAGUAAGAGACAUCAUAGAUCGCACCAUCUCUAAUAGAGUACGAUUACGACGUUCGGACACACCAUUACGCUGUGGUGUUUCAGGCGGUGUUAACUGUGAAACAAUUCCACAUUGUCUUAAGUGAGUACCAAACUCGAAACUCAGAUAUUCACCCCCACGAUCAGACCGUAGGAACUUGAUCUUCUUGUUACGAUGAUUUUCCACUUCACUCUGAAAUUGCUUGAACUUUUCAAAUGUUUCAGACUUGUGCUUCAUCAAGUAGACAUAACCAUAUCUACUUAAAUCAUCAGUGAAGGUGAGAAAAUAACGAUAUCCGCCGCGUGCCUCCACGCUCAUCGGACCACACACACCGGUAUGUAUGAUUUCCAACAAGUCACUUGCACGCUCCAUUGUUCCAGAGAACGGAGUCUUAGUCAUCUUGCCCAUGAGGCAUGGUUCGCACGUGUCAAGUGAAUCAAAGUCAAGUGACUACAAAAGUCCAUCAGCAUGGAGUUUCUUCAUGCGCUUUACACCAAUAUGACCUAAACGGCAGUGCCACAAAAAUAUGGCGCUAUCAUUGUUAACUCUAACUCUUUUGGUCUCAAUGUUAUGUAUAUGCGUAUCGCUAUCAAGAUUCAAUAUGAACAAUCCUCUCACAUUCGGUGCAUGACCAUAAAAGAUGUUACUCAUAGAAAUAGAACAACCAUUAUUCUUUGACUUAAAAGAGUAACCGUCUCGCAAUAAACAAGAUCCAGAUAUAAUGUUCAUGCUCAACGCAGGCACUAAAUAACAAUGAUUUAAGUUCAUCACUAAUCCUGACGGUAACUGAAGUGACACUGUGCCGACGGCGAUUGCAUCAACCUUGGAACCAUUUCCUACGCGCAUCGUCACUUCAUCUUUCGCCAGCCUUCGUCUAUUCCGCAGUUCCUGUUUCGAGUUGCAAAUAUGAGCAACAGAACCGGUAUCGAAUACCCAGGCACUACUACGAGAGCCGGUUCAGUACACAUCAAUAACAUGUAUAUCAAAUAUACCUGAUUUUUCUUUGGUCGCCUUCUUAUCUGCCAGAUACUUGGGGCAAUUGCGCUUCCAGUGACCCAUACCCUUGCAAUAGUAACAUCCGUUUCAGGCUUAGGUCCAGCUUUGGGUUUCUUCGUCGGAUUGGCAACAGGCUUGCCGCUCUUCUUCGAAUUUCCCUUCUUUCAUUUGCCGUUUCUCUUGAAACUAGUGGUCUUAUUCACCAUCAACACUUGAUGCUCUUUACGGAGUUCAGACUCUGCGACUUUCAGCAUCGCAACCAACUCGCCGGGAGACUUGUUCAUCCCUUGCAUGUUGUAGUUCAACACAAAGCCUUUAUAGCUUGGCGGCAGUGAUUGAAGGAUUCUGUCAGUGAUAGCUUCUUGUGGGAGUUCAAUCCCCAGCUCAGCUAGACGGUUUGAGUACCCAGACAUUUUGAGCACAUGUUCACUGACAGAUGAGUUUUCCUCCAUCUUGCAAGCAUAGAAUUUAUCGGAGGUCUCAUACCUCUCGAUCCGGGCGUUCUUCUGAAAGAUAAACUUCAACUCCUGGAACAUCUCAAAUGCUCCAUGACGCUCAAAGCGACGUUGAAGUCCCGGUUCUAAGCCAUACAAGACUGCACAUUGAACUAUUGAGUAGUCCUCCUUACGUGCUAACCAAGCGUUCUUAACAUCCUGAUCAGCCGUAGCGGGUGGUUCAUCUCCUAACGCAGCAUUAAGGACAUAAUCCUUCUUCCCAGCUUGUAAGAUUAGCUUAAGAUUACGAGCCCAGUCUACAAAGUUGCUUCCAUCAUCUUUCAACUUAGCUUUCUCUAGGAACGUAUUAAAAUUCAGGAUGACUGUCGCGUGAGCCAUGAUCUACAACACAAAUAUAUUCAAAGUGGACUUAGACUAUGUUCAAGAUAAUCAGAGUUUAACUUAAUCAAAUUAUUCGCUAAACUCCCACUCAAAACGUACAUCUCUCUAGUCAUUUGAGUGGUUCAUGAUCCACUUACACUAGCUCAAGUCCGAUCAUCACGUGAGUUGAGUAUAGUUUCAGUGGUAAGCAUCCCUAUGAUAAUCAUAUCAUCUAUAUGAUUCAUGAUCGACCUUUCGUUCUCAUGUGUUCCGAGGCCAUGUCUGCACAUGCUAGGCUCGUCAAGCUUAACCCGAGUGUUCCGCGUGCGCAACUGUUUUGCACCCGUUGUAUGUGAACGUUGAGUCUAUCACACCCGAUCAUCACGUGGUGUCUCGAAACGACGAACUGUAGCAACGGUGCACAGUCGGGGAGAACACAAUUUCGUCUUGAAAUUUUAGUGAGAGAUCACCUCAUAAUGCUACCGUCGUUCUAAGCAAAAUAAGGUGCAUGAAAGGAUUAACAUCACAUGCAAUUCAUAAGUGACAUGAUAUGGCCAUCAUCACGUGCUUCUUGAUCUUCAUCACCAAAGCACCGACACGACCUUCUUGUCACCGGCGCCAUGCCAUGAUCUCCAUCAACGUGUUGCCAUCGGGGUUGUCGUGCUACUCAUGCUAUUACUACUAAAGCUACAUCCUAGCAAAAUAGUAAACGCAUCUGCAAGCACAAACGUUAGUAUAAAGACAACCCUAUGGCUCCUGCCGGUUGCCGUACCAUCGACGUGCAAGUCGAUAUUUCUAUUACAACAUGAUCAUCUCAUACAUCCAAUAUAUCACAUCACAUCGUUGGCCAUAUCACAUCACAAGCAUACCGUGCAAAAACAAGUUAGACGUCCUCUAAUUUUGUUGUUGCAUGUUUUACGUGGUGACCAAGGGUAUCUAGUAGGAUCGCAUCUUACUUACGCAAACACCACAACGGAGAUAUAUGAGUUGCUAUUUAACCUCAUCCAAGGACCUCCUCGGUCAAAUCCGAUUCAACUAAAGUUGGAGAAACCGACACUUGCUAGUCAUCUUUGAGCAACGGAGUUACUCGUAACGAUGAAACCAGUCUCUCGUAAGCGUACGAGUAAUGUCGAUCCAAGCCACUUCAAUCCAACAAUACCGCGGAAUCAAGAAAAGACUAAGGAGGGCAGCAAAACGCACAUCACCGCCCACAAAAACUUUUGUGUUCUACUCGAGAAGACAUCUACGCAUGAACCUAGCUCAUGAUGCCACUGUUGGGGAACGUCGCAUGGGAAACAAAAAUUUUCCUACGCGCACGAAGACCUAUCAUGGUGAUGUCCAUCUACGAGAGGGGAUGAGUGAUCUACGUACCCCUGUAGAUCGUACAGCAGAAGCGUUAGUGAACGCGGUUGAUGUAGUGGAACGUCCUCACGUCCCUCGAUCCGCCCCGCGAACAAUCCCGCGAUCAGUCCCACGAUCUAGUACCGAACGGAAGGCACCUCCGCGUUCAGCACACGUACAGCUCGACGAUGAUCUCGGCCUUCUUGAUCCAGCAAGAGAGACGGAGAGGUAGAAGAGUUCUCCGGCAGCGUGACGGCGCUCCGGAGGUUGGUGAUGACCUUGUCUCAGCAGGGCUCCGCCCGAGCUCCGCAGAAACGCGAUCUAGAGGAAAAACUGUGGAGGUAUGUGGUCGGGCUGCCGUGGAAAAGUCGUCUCAAAUCAGCCCCAAUACCUCCGUAUAUAUAGGUGGGAGGGAGGGGACCUUGCCUUGGGGCUCAAGGAGCCCCAAGGGGUCGGCCGAGUCCAAGGGGGGAAGGCUCCCCCCCAAACCGAGUUGGACUUGGUUUGGUGGGUGGGAGUCCUUCCCUUCCUUCCCACCUCCCUUUAUUUUCUUUCUCUUUGAUUUUUCUUUGUAUGGCGCAUAGGGCCCUUUUGGGCUGUCCCACCAGCCCACUAAGGGCUGGUGCGCCACCCUUAUGGCCUAUGGGCUUCCCCGGGGUGGGUUGCCCCCCCCGGUGAACUCCCGGAACCCAUUCGUCAUUCCCGGUACAUUCCCGGUAACUCCGAAAACCUUCCGGUAAUCAAAUGAGGUCAUCCUAUAUAUCAAUCUUCGUUUCCGGACUAUUCCGGAAACCCUCGUGAAGUCCGUGAUCUCAUCCAGGACUCCGAACUACAUUCGGUAACCAACCAUAUAACUCAAAUACGCAUAAAACAACGUCGAACCUUAAGUGUGCACACCCUGCGGGUUCGAGAACUAUGUAGACAUGACCCGAGAGACUCCUCGGUCAAUAUCCAAUAGCGGGACCUGGAUGCCCAUAUUGGAUCCUACAUAUUCUAUGAAGAUCUUAUCGUUUGAACCUCAGUGCCAAGGAUUCAUAUAAUCCCGUAUGUCAUUCCCUUUAUCCUUCGGUAUGUUACUUGCCCGAGAUUCGAUCGUCAGUAUCCGCAUACCUAUUUCAAUAUCGUUCACCGGCAANNNNNNNNNNNNNNNNNNNNNNNNNNNNNNNNNNNNNNNNNNNNNNNNNNNNNNNNNNNNNNNNNNNNNNNNNNNNNNNNNNNNNNNNNNNNNNNNNNNNCUUAGUACUGGAGCCAUCGCACCCUGGUGGCGACUCAAAGGGGUUAAGCGGGAGAGACACGGCGAUUUACCCAGGUUCGGCCCCUCCGAGAAGAGGUAAUAGCCUACGUCCUGCUUUGUGUGUAUUGAUGUGGAUUCGAUUACAAGGGAGGCGUAACUCGCCCUAACCUAGCACUCGAUGAUUUCUAACCUGCCUCUUCCUUCCUAAACCCGCCUUUAUAUAUAGGUCGAGCCCUUAGGGUUUAGAAGAGUCCUUUCCUCCUUACAAAUCAUGAACACCGCGGUCUCCAAGUCGCCACCUUGCCAAUCCUGGAAACCUGCCGUAAAUCAUAUCCAUCUUGGAACGUCGAACCGUCCAGGCAGAAGCCCAACUAACCUUUAAACGGUGAAUCGCCUUAUAGGUAACCCGGCCCAUAACUGGCGGGUCACUUAAUAGAUAAUAUCCCCAACAUUAGGCCCCAAAUUGACUUGAACCCUCAUGCCAAUGCUUUCAUUUCAUUUGAAGGUGAUUCACUCUUCGACGCUCUUCAUACGCCAGAAAUUUUAACUCGCCAAACGAUACCGAAAGAAAUCUUUGAAUCGCCAGCACAUUUCCCGUCGGCGCCUUCCUUAGCCCUUGAUUUUUGGGAACUCCAACACAAUCCCAACGGAUCCUUCGGGCGCAUCCUUAUCCCGAAAUUUUCGGACGUCAUCAAAGCGAAUCUUCUCCUUGCCAACGGUUCCCGCUCAUGACGCCUCGAUUCCUGCGCCCCUCCUUAUAAAUAGACGGAGGGGACAGGGCUGACAGCAUCUACCUACCAGUCCUGUCGACCCCCCCCCCCCACACUCAUCACAGCAAGGAAACGCAAGGCGACGCAUCCCGAAGACUCCGCCGCCGGCCACAGCCUCUGCUCGAGGACUCCGGCGCCGCUCGCGCGUCACCGCUGCUCGAGGAAAACCCCGGCGCCGCCCGCAAGCCAUCGCUGCCCGAGAAAAAAACCCCGGCGCCGCCCGCAAGCCAUCUGCCCGAGGAGCCCCGACGCUUCCUGCAAACCGUCGCCCGCCGCCAAGUUCUGCCGCCGUCGAGGAUCCCCGUGACUCCUCUACUACUCCGGUUAUCGCCGUCCUUCUCCGGCCAAGACCUCCAGGUUAGGCACCCAUCUCCCCUCUUUUAAGAACAGAUUUGUUGCCUGUUAUUGCUUCCGCCAUUGCCAUGUCCUCGACAAAGAAAAUCCUUCGUUUGCAACUAAUGUUACUUCCGAACUGAUUAGUUCAAACGCCGUUAGGGUUCCGGCUCCUUAAACAGCCUUAUCCAUCUAUCUCCUCGCAGUUUAGCCGGAUGUACUAGUUUAUUUAAGCACAAGGCAUUACCCCAACAGUACUUUGUUCAUGUUUGAGCCCUGCCGAUGAACCCUGAUAACUGUCCACCAGAUCUAUUUCCCAUUCACUGUUUGUAGAAAAUUGUUUGUGAACUUCGUCCUUUCCUUAGCGUUUCGGAAAGAAUAGAGUACUCUUCGAGAAUAGCCCUGCUCCUAUAAGUCGCCACAUCGGCCUGACUGGGCUAUCGAGUCCGGCGGGUCAAGCGGAGAGUCGCCCCCUAUUCACAUAGUGAACGUACGAGACAUAUAAUGCCACUCUUACCCAUUUGUAGCAUGGGUGCCGUUUUCAAGAGCGACUGGCUUCCCACCAAGGUCGACGAUGCAGUGUUGGCGAACUACGUGAAAACCGGCUGCUUAGAUCCUCAGGAAGUCAUCGGAUGGCGCACCGGGUUAGCAGAAGACCUCCCCUGCCCCAAGGAAGGGGAGAUAGUGGUUUUUGUGGAACACUUGGAACGGGGUUUCAAGCCGCCAGGAUCCAAGUUCCUUAGAGACGCCCUGAGUUUCAUGAACGUCCGACUCCAGGAUUUGGGACCCAACUCCAUCAGCAACCUAUGUCAGUUCCAAGUUCUCUGCGAAUCUUACUUACGGAUCGAGCCUUCCGUCCCUCUGUUCUGGUACUUUUUCCACUUGAAUCGCCAGACAGAGUUCCAUAAUGGUCCCAGUUUGGAGCUUGGCGGGGUCAAUGUUCAACGUCGCAGGGACAGCGCAUUCCCUUCACUCACUAUGCCCAGCCAUCCCAAAGGCUGGGGCGAAUCUUGGUUUUACUGCAAGGAAACAUCCCCGCUGGCGAGAACAAGCUAUUGGGCUACAGGCCAACCCGCCUUCCAGUCAACUUCAAGCUUCCUGACAAACUUACCGAGGAGGAAGAGUCAGAUUUUAUCCCAGUUCUGUCCGAGUUGAGAUCUCUGACCAACAAUGGUCUCACCGGGAUCGACCUGAUCCGCUGCUGGGUCGAAUGGCGGAUUCUUCCUCUGAGUCGCCGAGACGGCCUGAUGUGCGAUUUUGACGGUACCCUGGAUCAUCCCCAAUGCUAUUUCCACACAGCGUUGACGGAAAAAGAUAUCGUCGCCAUCAUCAGGAAAUUGACUGGUGAACCCGCAGCAAAGUGCGGCCAGAUCGGCCUCAAGCCCUUCUGCAAGAUUAACCCGGCACCCAAGGUAACCAAAGCUAACUCGCCAUUUUAUUUCAUCCGCCUUACUGCCAUCUUGACCUCAUGCCAUAUCCUUUCCAGAAAGGCGACAAGUUCUGGUCUAGGAGACCUAAGAAGCAAGCCAUGAAAAGUGCUAAGCCGCCUUCCAAGAAGAGCAAAGGCAAGGGUAAAUCUACCGCGGCCGAACCAUCUGAAGUCGACGAAUCCCAGGCCGGCGACGCCCUUUCAGAGGUACCAAUCCGUCCUCUUCUUCACUCGCCACCCAUCACCUUUCCAGCUUUCAUUUACAUCUCUUACUCUUUUCGUAACAGAAUGAAGAUAACGAAAGUCAAGAAGACUCCGUCGAGGUAAUUUCCAUCUCCUCCGAUUCAUCUCCUUCACCACCUAAGCCGGCCCGGCGCAUAUGUGGGAAAGUACCUUUCUCACAUCCAAAUGCCCAUUUGGAUCCAAAUUUCUUACUGAAGAAAAUGCAGCAUGCCUCGAAACGGAAAACACGGAGUCAUUCCGGCGACUUAACUCCUGGCUUGCCAACAGCGAGCAAAAGAAACCAAGCAAGGUACUUCCCCCCCUUUUCUUUAUUUGUGCAAUCAUUGUUCGUGUUGCUUUGGAUCACAAUCAUAACCCGCCUGUAUUAUCGAUGUAUAAAUUCUGCAGGAUUCUCCCCCUACUUCCGGCGACUCAGUGAUGUCGACCCUUCCACCAAUGAUCCGAGUCCCAGGGUAAUUUUCUUGUCUUGAUCCUUGAGAAAACAUGCUUUUUAAUUUUUAACAUACCUGUCUCUUUCAUUAGGGUGCAAGCCAAAAAAAAGGAAGACCAGUGGAUCAAUCCCUGACUCCACUCCUGAACCUCCAAGGAAAAUCGCUCCGACCCAAGAUGGCCCGAGCCAAGACGAGCCAACAAUCCAAGCGGACCUUCCUGAUUCACCCAAAGGGUCACCGGAUGUCCCUAAAUCGCCAAUCGUCAUGGCAGCAGCUGAAGAACCAGAUGUCGUAGUUGUUACUGGUUUUGGUUUCUCUAAGCCGGCAACAACGAUCCUCUCCAAGCACACAUCAUCACCUCCUCCAUUGACUCCCGAGUCUGGGCCUUCCAAGGCAAAACUUUCUGAUUACGCAGGUCUAGAUUUCGAAGAACUCUGUUCUGGCUUCGCAAGUCGCCUGCAGACGAGUUAUGAAAUGGAGAAGAAUCUGCUGAAGAUGUUAAAUCACAAGCAUGAGGUAAAGUUUAUACUCUACUAUUCCCAGUAACCCCCAAGGGCCGGGUCAUCAGUAAAACGAUGAGUCGGGUCUUUUUAACAAGCUUCACGACCAGUAACCCCAAGGGCCGAGUCAUCAGUAAAACGAUGAGUCGGGUCUUGAUUCCUGUAUAAUUUCCUUUAGAAAAUUAUACAUUAGCCCCCAAGUGUCAGGGGUAUUGCCUUGCAAUAUUUCUGAGACUUGUCUUCAUUUUAAAAUCUUUUAACAGGAACAUCUUGCCCAAGCCGAGCUAGCUCUGGGCGACUUAAAGAAGAAUUUGGCGGUCCAGCAGGAUGCCCGAGCUCAAUCAGAAGACAAAUACAAGUUGGCUCUAGUUGAACGGAAAAACUCAAAGCCGAGUUAGAAUAAACUCGGGCUGACCGAAMUGCUGCCUUGACAAGAGCCGACAAAGCAGAGGCGAAAUUGGCGACUGUGCAGCAAGAGUUAUCCGGCUUAAAACGCCAUAUUUUCAACAUGACACAAGCCAUCUUUGGUAAGUUUUUAUCUAACUUUCGAAUCCUAUCUUCUUUUUGAGCAAAUUCCUUACCGUUGACUUACCGGUUAUUCAAUCUCAGGUGCGAGAGUCGCCAAUCUCCAAAAGGACAGCGUGCUGAUGCUGAAGGCUGUCUAUACUCUGACGGAACAGCUGUACACAGGCAGCGUACUGACCGUCAAAGCUGUGAUAGGUGCAAAGGAGCCCAUAACGUCCAUCAAAAGGUCCUUGAAUACCUAUCCACGCUGCCUCCUCAAAUUGGCGAGUUAACCCGAUCAGCCGCCCGAAAGGGGGUCCUGACGGCUCUGAGUCGCUGCUCGGCGUACGCUCCGGAAAUCAAUCUGGAAGAGGUGGUUGCCGGCUUCCCUCAGCUCAGAGACGAUGGCUCGGAAUUCAUGGAAGAAGAUUACCAGAAGGUCGUCAAAGGUUCUCGACUGGCCGCCACUCAGCUCGCCGCCAGCCUUGACUUGACAAAAUAUCAGGCGGCUUAGGAUGAGAAGAAUAAGAAGAUCAGCCCGCCAACCUUCGUGGUGACCAACUUGAUCCCUCGGCGACCCAAAAAUCCCUUCGACUGGGAAGCGGACCUGACCUCAAUCUUGACUGAUGAAGAUGAUUUUGCCUCUUUGUCCCGAUGUAACUAGGUUCUAGGCGACUUACAAAUCGAGGCUGGUCAGAGCUCAAACCAGGACUUAGCGAAUUAGAAUUUCCUUGAAUUUGGCCCAAGAGCCAUGUAAUAGCUAGUACUAUCUUUUGAUGACAUCUGCAAAAAACCCUUGUACCGCUCUUGAGGCGGGUUAAAAUAUUUGGUUAAUCCUUAACAAAGAUAUGGUUGCAGUACUUAGUCUGCCAAGGCCAAGUCAUAUCACGAGUAAUUUUGUCGGCUCAUACGGUCGCGACAGGGGGAGGCGAGUCAGAAACUCGUGCACCCACCCUUAAUGCAGGUUUCGUCGGCUCAUACGGUCGCGACAGGGGAGGCGAGUCAGAAAGCNNNNNNNNNNNNNNNNNNNNNNNNNNNNNNNNNNNNNNNNNNNNNNNNNNNNNNNNNNNNNNNNNNNNNNNNNNNNNNNNNNNNNNNNNNNNNNNNNNNNUCUUGAAAAAAUCGUAUUAGAAUCAACUWAGUGUUUAAAAUGGUUCCAUUGGAAUCAUAGUUGGUUCCCUUCAAAUAGUUGUAGUGAAACAAUUUUGAUUAGUUGAAGGGGAACACAAUCUGAUUGGAAUAGUGUUCCAUAAUCUGAAAAAUCGUAUUAGAAUCAACUAGUGUUUAAUAUGUUCCAUUGGAAUCAUAGUUGGUUCGCUUYCAAAUAGUUGUAGUGACACAGUUUUGAUUAGUUGAAGGGAACACAAUCUGAUUGGAAUAGUGUUCCACUAUCUGAAAAAUCUGAUUGGUUCAAUAUGUUCCAUUGAAAUGAUAGUUGUAGUGAUACAAUUUUAUGCGGUGUUCUUUGAUCCAAGGUUAUGAAAAUUGCAUAUAGCUAGUGAUCUCUCUAGGUUCCAUUGGAUAGCAAUAUGAUAUGUCAUAGUCAUGAAAAUUGCAUAUAGCUAGUGAUCUCUCUAGGUUCCAUUUGAUAGCUAUAGUGAUCGUUCUAGGUUCCAUUGCAUAUGUUCUAUUUGAAUCCUAAAGAUAAUUUUCUCUUUAGUUGUAGUGAAACAUGUUUCCUUAUUGCAGCAGUAUGUAAUAUUUGUUCCAUUUUAAUUUGUUUCUGUUGCAGUAGUGACAAGCAUUGUCCAGAACUCAUGGACUUCCUUCGCAGCGGCAUCACUUUUGCUACCGUUGACAUAAGGAACGUCAAGCUGAAGAUGAGGUACAGCUUCGGUAUUGAGAUACCAACUGGUUGCCUCAUUGAUCUCCAAACGGUAUUCAGGCUUCGACAUGUCAGGACUUCGAUGGCUCAUAUGGCAGUUGCCUUGAUCGACGAGGAAUAUGGUGAUAUGAAGACCAGUUUCCCAAAGUCUCAGCACAAACUUUGGGAGAAGGCCCCACUUGAUCGUAUCAACAUUGAGUAUGCAGCAAAAGAUGCAUACGUUUCAUACGAGUUGUACCGCAAGAUUCGAGUCGUCAACUAUGGCCAGCGUCACCUCGAGGAAGGUGGACAUUCUGAUUCAGACGAGUAGUGUUCUCAACGUCGAACACUUGUAUAUAUAUCUAUGGUAGCUAUUAUUAUGUACUGUUUGGACUAGUAUCAUGUACUGCUUGGACCAAAUUAUAUAUGUCUAGUUUCUGUUUGUGCCAUUAUAGUUUCCAAAUUUGAAUGGUUUAGCCCUUUCUAACUUCAUUUGCUACUUUUGAAUGGUUUAGCCCUUUCUAACUUCAUGGUACCAUGCAUUUCGACCACAUAUAUAUACAAAAGUCUUCAGUUCAAAUAAGUUCAAAAAUGAAAUCCCUUUUGUAACAGAUAUGUUUUUGAUUAAACAGUCAUUUAAAAAUGAAAGACCAUUAGUCCCACGUGGCGUGCAGCGAAACCACGUGGCGUCCAGCGGAACCACGUGGCAUGCCGCGGAACCACUUUUGUUGUGGGGUCGCUUUUCCUUCUUCUCCUUGUAGCUAGAUAUUUGUUAUGCAUUUAGGGAAAGAAGGAAUAGCGACCAUCAUCGACGAUCAAAAAAUCAGGUGAGGGAGUGUCCAACAUACAUGAGAGAAGAAGAAUGUCGACUGUUGCUGUGGGGGUCGUUUCUCCUUCUUCUCCUUGUGAAACGCUGAUACUUCGAGAGAGAUUGUCCGUUUUGUACACGAAGUGCAUCCAGGUUUGUCGUAGCCCUCUCAACUUUUUAACACAUGCUAUGUGGGUGAAAUGAUGAUAGCAUGCCAAAUUCUCAAAUAUGCAAAAAGAAUUUUUAAUAAACAUAGUUUUUAAUUGAAACUAACAAAAUAGAUAAUAGUUUGGAUAGUCAAAAUAAUUACUUWUGAAAAUAGAAAAUAGUUUUGCAUUAUUUAUUCAAUUUCAAACACUUUUCAUUAUCAUAGUUUUGUCAAAUUCUCAAAUAUGCAAAAAGAAUUUUAAUAAACAUAGUUUUAAUUGAAAAUAACAAAAUAGAUAAUAGUUUGGAUAGUCAAAAUUAUUAAUUAUGAAAAUAGAAAAAAAUUGAAACUGUAUGAGAAUUUAUAGAGAAAAUUCAAUCUAAAUUCAAAGUGAGUUCACUUUGAAUUCAGGUUGAAUUUUCUUCAUAAUUUCGAAUAUAGUUUCAAUUUUCAGUGAGUUUAGGCCCGUAAGCCUGCUUUAGAGAGGAGCUCGUAGGAGAAGCUGCGACGGGGCAUAUAAACAAGUGUUAGUCCCCCUCGCUGGGUGAGGUGGGACUAAACUUAUCGUGCAGCCGAGGAGGGGCUUUAGUCCCGGGUGGAGCUACGCCCCGGGACUAAAGACCCCCUUUASUCCCGGUUUGGAGCUCCGCACCGGGACUAAAGGCCCCUGCUUUCCCGCCUUCUGGUCUGCCGAAAAAGUGCCUUUAGUCCCGGGUCGUGGCUCCAGCCGGGACUAAAGGGGGUCUUUAGUCCCGGUUUCGAGCCACUCACCGGGACUAAAGAUCCACCUAUAUAAGCGGGAGUUAGAAAAUUCCAACCCAAAUCGUCCAUUUCUCUUCUUCUUCCUCUCGUUCUCCUGCCCAGCGCGGCACAGCGACGAACUCGAUGACGCCGUCAGGCUGCUCGCCGUCCUGCUCGCCGCCGCCUGCCGUCCUCCUCGCCGUCGCCGUCGUACUCCUCGCCGCCGCCGUCCUCCUCGCCGCGCGCCGUCGACACCUCCGGCCGGUAAGCCCCCCGCCCCUCCCCCCGAACACUCCGGCCAGUAGAAGAAAAGAAGAAAAAGGAGAAGAAAAGAAAAAUAAUAGAAUAUUUAGGUUUGUGCUAGAUUAUUAGGGUUAGUAAUAUUUAGAAUUAGGACAAAGGAAAAUAAGAAGAGGAGGAGAAGAAAAGAAGAAAAAGGAGAAUAAGAAGAGGAGGAGAGGAGAAGUAAGAGGAAAAAUAGAAGAAGAGGAGAAGUAGAAGAAGAGAAUAAGCAGAGGAGGAGAAGAAAAGAAGRAAAAAGGGAGGAGAAAGAAAAAGAAGAAAAAAGGNNNNNNNNNNNNNNNNNNNNNNNNNNNNNNNNNNNNNNNNNNNNNNNNNNNNNNNNNNNNNNNNNNNNNNNNNNNNNNNNNNNNNNNNNNNNNNNNNNNNUGCGUGUCAAGUAUUUGUUCCUAUGACCAUGAGAUCAUAUAACUCACUAACACCGGAGGAAUACUUUGUGUGUAUGAAACGUCGCAACGUAAUUGGGUGACUAUAAAGAUGCUCUACAGGUAUCUCCGAAGGUGUUCGUUGAGUUAGUAUGGAUCAAGACUGGGAUUUGUCACUCCGUGUGACGGNNNNNNNNNNCCGGAGGAAUACUUUGUGUGUAUCAAACGUCGCAACGUAACUGGGUGACUAUAAAGAUGCUCUACGGGUAUCUCCGGUAGGUGUUCGUUGAGUUAGUAUGGAUCAAGACUGGGUUUUGUCACUCCGUGUGACGGAGAGGUAUCUCGGGGCCCACUCGGUAAUACAACAUCACACACAAGCCUUGCAAGCAAUGUGACUUAGUGUAAGUUGCGGGAUCUUGUAUUACGGAACGAGUAAAGAGAGUUGUCGGUAAACGAGAUUGAAAUAGGUAUGGGGAUACUGACGAUCGAAUCUCGGGCAAGUNNNNNNNNNNAACUUAGUGUAAGUUGCAGGAUCUUGUAUUACGGAAUGAGUAAAGAGACUUGUCGGUAAAUGAGAUUGAAAUAGGUAUGGGGAUACUGACGAUCGAAUCUCGGGCAAGUAACAUACCGAAGGACAAAGGGAAUGACAUACGGGAUUAUAUGAAUCCUUGGCACUGAGGUUCAAACGAUAAGAUCUUCGUAGAAUAUGUAGGAUCCAAUAUGGGCAUCCAGGUCCCGCUAUUGGAUAUUGACCGAGGAGUCUCUCGGGUCAUGUCUACAUAGUUCUCGAACCCGCAGGGUCUGCACACUCAAGGUUCGACGUUGUUUUAUGCGUAUUUGAGUUAUAUGGUUGGUUACCGAAUGUUGUUCGGAGUCCGGGAUGAGAUCACGGACGUCACGAGGGUUUCUGGAAUGGUCCGGAAACGAAGAUUGAUAUAUAGGAUGACCUCAUUUGAUUACCGGAAGGNNNNNNNNNNCGGAUGAGAUUACGGACGUCACGAGGGUUUCCGGAAUGGUCUGGAAACGAAGAUUGAUAUAUAGGAUGACCUCAUUUGAUUACCGGAAGGUUUUCGGAGUUACCGGGAAUGUACCGGGAAUGACGAAUGGGUUCCGGGUGUUCACCGGGGAGGGGGGGGCAACCCACCCCGGGGAAGCCCAUAGGCCUUGGGGUGGUGCACCAGCCCUUAGUGGCCUGGUGGGAUAGCCCAAGAAGGCCCUAUGCGCCAUAGAAAGAAAAUCAAAGAGAAAAAAAUGAGGAGGUGGGAAAAGGGGGAAUGACUCCUCCUUCCAAACCUAGUUGGACUCGGUUUGGAAGGGGAGGGUUGCCCCCUUGGCUCGGCCGACCCCCUUGGGAGUCCUUGGACCCCAAGGCAAGGCUCCCCCUCCUCCCCCUAUAUAUACGGAGGUUUUAGGGCUGAUUUGAGACAACUUUGCCACGGCAGCCCGACCACAUAUCUCCACGGUUUUACCUCUGGACCACGUUUCUGCGGAGCUCGGGCGGAGCCCUGCUGAGAUAAGAUCAUCACCAACCUCUGGAGCGCCGUCACGCUACUGGAGAACUCAUCUACCUCCCCGUCUCUCUUGCUGGAUCAAGAAGGCCGAGAUCAUCGUCGAGCUGUANNNNNNNNNNGGUGGCGCACCAGCCCUUAGUGGGCUGGUGGGACAGCCCAAAAGGGCCUUAUGCGCAUUGGAAGAAAAAUCAGAGAGAAAGGAAAAAAAGGAGGAGGUGGGAAGGGAAGGAAGGACUCCCACCAACCAAACCAAGUCCAACUCGGUUUGGGGGGGAGACCUUCCCCCCUUGGCUCGGCCGACCCCCUUGGGGCUCCUUGAGCCCCAAGGCAAGGNNNNNNNNNNNNNNNNNNNNNNNNNNNNNNNNNNNNNNNNNNNNNNNNNNNNNNNNNNNNNNNNNNNNNNNNNNNNNNNNNNNNNNNNNNNNNNNNNNNNGCCGCGCGGACCGUCCCGGACACGAGGCGCGCAACGGCGCACGCCGACCACUCUAUGGUGUGGUUGCCCAGCUCCGACCCACUCUGGAAGACGCUGCGUGGCAUCGCCGCCACGCACGUCUUCUCGCCGCGCAGCCUCGCGGCCGCGCAGGGCGCCCGGGAGCGCGCCAUGCACCGCAUGCUCGAAGAAUUCCGCCGCCACGUCGGGCAGGUGGUCGGCAUUGGCCAUGUCCUGUACCACGGCAUGUUCGACCUGCUGACCAACACACUCUUCUCCGUCGACGGCCAGGACCAGCUGAGGGACCUUCUGGAGGACAUCGUGGGUCUUCUCGCCGAGCCCAACGUGUCGGACUUGUACCCAUUGCUCCGGGUGCUGGACCUGCAGGGCCUUCGCCGCUGGACGGCCACGCACAUGAACCGCGUCUUCCAUGUGCUGGACAAGAUCAUCGACGCCCGGCUGGGCGAGGGCAAGCAUCACCACGACGUCCUCGAUGCCCUCCUGGCGCUGGUGACCGCCGGCAAGCUGAGCCGCCGCGAGGUGAAAGCCAUGUUAUUCGACAUCCUGGCGGCGGGCACGGAGACAACCAAGAUCACAGUGGAGUGGGCGAUGGCGGAGCUGCUGCGGAACCCGGACGUGAUGGCGGCGGUGCGCGCCGAGNNNNNNNNNNCGACAAGAUCAUCGACGCCCGGCUGGGCGAGGGCAAGCAGCACCACGACGUCCUCGACGCCCUCCUGGCGCUGGUGACCGCCGGCAAGAUGAGCCGCCGCGAGGUGAAAGCCAUGUUAUUCGACAUCCUGGCGGCGGNNNNNNNNNNGUGGACGACCACGCACAUGAACCGCGUCUUCCAUGUGAUGGACAAGAUCAUCGACACCCGGCUGGGACUGGGCCUGGGCGAGGGCAAGCAUCACCACCACCACGACGUCCUCGACGCCCUCCUGGCGCUCAUGACCACCGGCAAGCUGAGCCGCCGCGAUGUGAAAGCCAUGUUAUUCGACAUCCUGGCGGCGGGCACGGAGACAACCNNNNNNNNNNCUGAAGGCCGCACUCCCGCAGGAGACGAUGAUCACGGAGGCAGACGUGGCGAAGCUGCCGUACCUGCAGGCCGCGGNNNNNNNNNNGGUGGAGUGGGCCAUGGCGGAGCUGAUGCGGAACCCGGACGUUAUGGCGGCGGUGCGCGCCGAGAUGAAGGCCGCCCUCCCGCAGGAGAUGGUGAUCACGGAGGCAGACGUGGCGAAGCUGCCGUNNNNNNNNNNAUGAAGGCCGCAAUCCCGCAGGAGAUGGUGAUCACGGAGGCAGACGUGGCGAAGCUGCCGUACCUGCAGGCCGCCGUCAAGGAGUCGAUGCGGCUGCACCCCGUGGCGCCGCUGCUGCUACCACGCCUGGUGGUGGAGGAGGGCGUCGAGAUAGGUGGCUACGCCGUGCCCAAAGGCGCCACCGUGAUCUUCAACUCGUGGUCCAUCA
rnacentral:lncRNA from 1 species